CCGCAUCAAUUCCAUGAAAUGGUACAUAAGCAGCAGUAAGUGUCCCAGAUCCUACACCUCGUUUUGCUGUAUCUGCGUACAGUUUCAGGAUAGCAACUGCAAGAGAGUAGCAUCAUCUGCCCUUCUGUAAAUUCUUUCUGCCAACCCACCUCGUUUGAAACAUAUGAUAACAAAUCUCAGAAACAGCUCUUGAUGCACAAAGCAGCAAGCACAGACCUUCUGUAACACAGUCACUGAACCAUAGCAUAUGCAGCUUCAUCAUAAAAAGUAAUCUGGUGUUCUCCUAGUUACAUCUGGCUCUCCUCUCCGAGGAGCAGGCUCAAACUGCAGCCACAAAUAUGUUUAACUCGGGGAUCAAAAGGCAAAGAGAAGCAAAAGAUACAUCCAAACAGCUAAUGCAAGCAAGACUCUUUUCCUUCUACUCACCAUUAAACACAUGAAAGGGGAAUGUGUAGGCGAAACAAAUUAGACAGAUUACCUGAAUAAAUGUGUGGCCUUUGCAGUCAUCCACUUCCAGGAUGGAUGCCAUGUUUCCACAGCGAUAGCAAUAAUUUGGUGCGCUAAAUAUGGUAACAACUUUUUGAUCCUGUAAUAAUUAGCAUUAUAAUGUGAACAGUCAUAUCCCAUUUUGGAAAAAGUUGGAGGGUGAAAAGGGGGGGGGGGUAAGGCAUCACAGUGUUGAGAGAUUAUUUACAUGAGCCCAAUUGAAUCCUUCCAUAACCAACUGAUGUGCCCUAGCAAUAAGCUUUAAAUUGUUGGUGUGAUUAAAUUGCUCUGAUAUGUCCUGUUGAAAUUCGAGAAACAAGAAAGUUUACUUCGCGUGAUAUCAAUGAUUCAACGAAAACAACUGAAGGGAAGAGCAGAUACUUGGCCAAAUGUAUAUCCAGCACCGCGGGGUGAAAUGCCCCAACCACAACGGUCAUCAGGGUCAGACCACAAAAGAUCACACAUGGGUCCCUCGUGAGGAACUUCUUGUACACGAUCAAAAUUUCGUAUGUUGUCUAGAGUUUCAACUGACGGAGACAACCCUCCAUGCAGACAGAAAAUUUCUGACUCAACCUAGAAUAUUUCAAGACAAGACAUUAAACACGUACAAGAUAUGACCACAUCGUCAACAGCAAGACACAAGGCAAGAGAAACAGUAUAAUCUAGAGAGCCCAUCUAAGUUGAGAAAACUAUCACUAAGACUACAAGAAUCAUCCAUUCAACUUUCUCACAUAAGACCAUGGCACUCCAGUUUGCACUUCAGCACACAUAAAAGCAGUGCUCCUGACAGGAUACCACCAAACUAGUAGCACCAAUGAAACUAGUAUGUGGUGAUAAAGGUUCUUCGUGCUCAGUCGAAAGACUGAUCCUUAAUAUGGUUAAGGAGACAGUCUUGAUGGCAACUGCUAUAAAAGUGCGCAAUUUUUCCACCAAAGCAGGUAGAAAAAGAGGACAGGCAAUUAAUCAGUUUUACUCACUUCUCUCCUCCCAAACAAACCACAUCCUUGCAGAGUCACAAGAAAACCUCUUUCCAAGAAAUUAAGAGCAAAAACAAGAUAAAAUGAAGGCUAUGACGUAAUAACCCACAAUACCAAAUGGGGUGGGGCAUCUGCAAAUCUGAAGAAUUGCACAAGCAAUAGAAUUGCUGCCACAUGUUUUACAACUUGAGAAAUCUAAAUUACAUAUUGACUUCUUGGAUUCAUUAAUCAUUCAUUGUCUGGCCAAAGAAUUUACCAACAAUUCCCCAGUGCUUCACCAUAUCCCCCGAAGUGAUUAAUGAUUGAACACAAAUUCAAGUUUUGUUCCCCCAUUUCACUUUCGAUCAAAUAACUUCAAAAAAUGCAAUAAGCCAAUGAUCCCAACAAAAAUUCAUUUACUUUGAAAAACAAGGGCUUGAUUGGAGGAUGGUCAUGUCAGGGAUGACCAGGGAAAAUGAGCAUUAAGGGAUUAUGUUUUUGACAUCCAAAUAAAGUGGUUGCAAAGAACAUCUUUAUCAUUUACGGCCGCACCUGCAACCAAGUCAAAAUCCCAACCAUCUGAAAUUACAAGACUUAUUUAACAUCUUUUAACAUAUUAUAACAUGUCAGAAGUAAUUUAUCAACCUUCAGAGCGCUACUUCCCAACAAAUGCAUAUCUAAUGUCAAGAUGCUGUGACAUGUAAUCAAAUGAAACAAUUUCUGUGACUUCAAGAAAAAAUUCAAACACUAACCACUCUGCAAUGUCCACAAGAAGAAAAGUCCUGAUCAAUUUAGGAAAAAGUACACCAAUAAUUGCCAACAUGGAAUGUUAAUUACCAGCGCAGUGAGUGGAAAGUAGUCAAAUAGAUCAGUAAAAAUCUUCCAGACAUUUGCAUUGCCAUAUCUGCAAGGUAGAGAUAGCCAACAAUUAAUACAGUCAGUUCCAAUUAAUACACUGCAGCCGUAGACAUUAAAUACAAUGAGUUCACGAUCAAGUAGACAAUUUGGGAUCUAUAACGUAGACAAGUAAAAGAAAUCCAUUGUGGCUACUACAUCUGAAACACUUUUCAACACCUGUUUUCCCUUGAAUUCCCUCAAUUGUCUUGUAUCAUUUUCAACAUUAAGAUUUUGUUCAUGUCACAUUUUGCACCAAUUCGACACCCCUGACAAUUAGAAAUGGAUAGGGGUAACAGGAUGCCAACUUCCAAAUGCAAUAUUUCUAUAAAACAAAAUCAGUUGCAAAUGACACCUCUUUUGGCAAAGCAAAAGAAGUUUGCCAGCAACUGUGUACAAAUUCAUAAAAGCAGUGUGCCAAGGUACAAUGCUGAAUUGUACAAAGGUUCCAAUAACAUCUAGACAAAUCAAUAUUACUCCAAUGCAUAUUGCAAGGUGUAUCUUCAGAAAGGUCAAAACCAUUCUAAAUUCAAUGCACUUAAGCAAGCAGCAAUAAGCCCCAUAUAUAUAUAUUCCAUGAAAAGUAGAUUUUAUCAUCUAAAGCUUCACAUGAAAGAUAAUUAGCUUCACAUGCAAGAUAAUUAAUCAACUGAUGAUACUGAGUUCAUUGAGUUCAACUUUUAUACUACCAACUUUUGCUCAACCUUUAACCUGCCAAAUUAGCUUAGCAUCAAAUUUUCAACUUAAGCAUGAACAAUAAAAGCCAAAAGGGACAAAGGGAGUAGCAUUUCCAAAGGAAAGUCUGAAACUGAAAAAGAAGACAAGAACUUACUUCCUUAGGCAUUCAUCAUAAAACCCAUAUACUUGAGUAAUCUGAGACAGGAAAUGGGGGGAAAAGAGCCAGUUUAGCAUAAAGCAUCCAAACCCAAAAGACAUAACAUGAUGGGAAAUUUCAAAAUGAAAUAAAUCCAGCAGAAUACAGAAGAGAAUAGACCUAUAAUCUCUCAAAUUACAACUUCUGACGAUAAAAAAGGGUAGCUACCACCCAGCUCCACUUAAUGUUAGAAUUUCAACACAUUGGGGACUCAUCCUAGUGAACAAGAAAUGGGAGCCAUAACUGGGUUGUUUAACAGCUAAAGAAAGUGUAUGAGAAGCAAGACAGGUUAGUCUAUAUACCUGUCGACUCUCAUGAUUUCCUCUUAGAAUAGUAAUUCGUUGAGGGUAACGCACUUUGAGGGAUACCAGAAGCUGAGAAGAAAUUUGACUAAUCAAAAUUAGAACAACCAUUGCAGCACCCAAAAUGCAGUACUAACUAAAGAAACAUGGCAAGAAAGAAAGAAGGGGAAAAACAAAGAAAAAAAGAAGACAUACAUUAACUAUUAGACCAAAACCACCAAAAGUUUCAGGAACUGAGUAUUGAAACAUAUAGAAUAGGAAAUUCUGGCAUAUACCUUUGUGUUCUAAAUACUAAAGUAUAAGAUAAAAGUCACUAACUAUUUUUGCCCUCACAAAUAUUUUAAACCAAAUUCUGCAUGCUACAACAAAGUAGGAAGCAUAUUUGAGAAGACUAGCGAAAACCAAGCACAAAAUAACUUGCCAAAACAUGAUGAUCUAUGUGAGUAAAAAUAAGUUUGCAGGGACACAGUUGUGCACACAGCAUGCUCAAUUUCAUGCAAGGAAUAAGGAGAAUUUAUUUCAGUGUAUUCACCCAGCUUAAAUUUUUUAAUGGCAACUCAAAAUUUUUAACUAACAGGACUGACACACAUGAAGAUCAUUUUUUCCAAUUCAAAGCCUCAAUUUACACAUCUCAAGAUCAAUUUUUCUCUAGCCAUAGCAUUGCACAAGCUAUAGUUAAAACCUGAAUUUAGAUUGCCAACCUAUACUUAAUUUGCCACCAUCAGCUGCCCAAUAUCUAAAAUAAAUUUGAGUCUCCUAACAAAAAGAGAGAGAGGAGAAAAAAAGAAGUAAUGCAAUUGCAGAUAUUCUGGUUAUCACGAUUAACAUGGCUAAGCAAAGAAACUAUUUUCAUUAAUAUGUAACAGAUUGAAAGAAAAGUUUAAAACUCACAGUUACAGUUUCAACUGAAUAAUACCCACGAUCUACAUAAUCUCCCAUAAACAAAUAAUUUGUAUCUGGACACUGCAAAGCACGCAAAUAAACUUAAUUAGUAAGAUUCAACUUGACAAACAUAUUAAGGAGAAAAAAAGCUUAAUCAAGUCAAAUCCCAAGGAUAUAGAUUAUGUUACCAAAAUAUAAAAAACAUGAAUAACUGACAAGACCUAGAAAGACUCCAGUACCAUAACAAUGUUGCAAUAGGAGGACAAACAACUAGACAAGCAUUUGAACCGCAGAGAGAGAGAGAGAAUCAUGCUACGAUGGGACCAAUCCAUUCAGGUCAUUUGGAAAAAUUAUAUACCCUUCCUGCCCCAAUAUAAAAACUUGGUCUAAUACCCAAAGUACAGAGAGAUGAAACAACUGAACACAGUUAUCUCAAGAAACCAAUUGAUUGAGGAGGCAGAGUAUUGAUUGAGCAGAUACCUUGCCACCAAUACGGAAAAGCUCAGCAAGAUCGUGGAAUUGUCCAUGAAUGUCACCACAUAUGGUCACAGGACUCUUCACAGGCUACACAGACAUCAAAAGAAAGUGAAACUCCUUACAUCACAUUACAUUCUAUAAACCAGGAAGAUUCUUUGAUAGACAACAAACAAUAUGACAAGACCAAAUGAAAGACCAAAAUGAAUAAAAACUGUCAGGCUUCAUGUUACACCCAUUCAAAAGGCAUAGUAAAGCUCCUUGCAUGCAUAUUAAACAUAGAGUUUCUGCUAAGUCAAUAAAAAUGCUUUGAAGAUCAUUGCCUCACUAUAUAUGAUGUUGAGACCAACUAUGACCAACAAACACAGCCUAUAUCUAUCAGAAGAAAAACUUAUUACCAAGUUCAUGCAAAUUCUGGGGCAAAAAACUUUCUAGCUACAUCAUUUAAAAAAAUGUGAUUUCAGACUAUGCAGCAGAACCAUAGAUAUCAUAAAAAAUUUUCUAGGAGGACAACAACAAAGCUUUGUCAGUUUGAUAAUUCACAAAAGCAACUCCAAAACCUCAAAAUCACCGAAACAACAGCUUUAAGUUGAAAAAAAUUAGAUCAUUUAAAGGAGAUCAAAACAUGCAGCAUGAAUUAAAGCUGAAACCUUUUGACUCCACAUAACCAAAAAAUCCACCACAUGUAAAUGCAUAAACAAGUUAGCAUAUUUUCUUUAACUUUCUCCCCUACAUAAAAUAUUACUUUUACAAUUAAAUGUUAAACAACAAGUUUUCUCCCAACCAUGUACCAUCAGAAGAAUGUUCUACCGUAACCAACAGUUCCUCUUACAUGCACCUCAAUAUAAUAGUUCACGGACAACAAAAAUCAAGUACAUAAGCAACCAGAAGAUUGUGCAUUGCAGCAUUAAUAAAAUUAUCAGAGAAAAUCAUACUUGAACAUUGCUCUCAUCCAUUAAGAUCUCCUUGGCCUUCUCACAUAGCAGUCUCACCUAUAUACAGGAAGAAAAGAGCACUUGAAAAAUAAUAUUUCAACCACCAAAACAAAAAAUUCAAUAGGAUUACACAACAAGAUAAAUAAUUCAAAUGUGUAUAUGACGCAUUACCACAGAUAGAAUUUACCUAUUUUGGAUAAUAAUCAUUCCAAAUUUACAUCUUGACAUGCAAUUGAUCACUUUAAAUAUGUAUACUAACCUAUGUCUCAUUCUAUGGAAAGUCGCCUCAAACUGUAAUUCUUCUUUGUUUUAGGUUUCUUCAUAACCAGCCUCAACCACAUUAAACUUCAGUUCCUACAAACUCAGAGAAGAUUGACUAUAAUUUGAUGCUCCCAAUCUCAUCUUGCCCUCCCUCCUUUAAAUCAUUGCACAUCUACAUCUUGACACGCAACUGAUCACUCUAAAUAUGCAUACAAAGCUGUGUCUCAUUCUAUGGAAAAUCGCCUCAAACUGUAAUUCUUCCUUUUUUUUAAGAUUCUUCAUAACUAGCCCCAACCACAUUAAAUUUCAGUUGCCACAAAUUCAGAGAAGAUUGACUACAAUUUGAUGCUCCCAAUCCCAUCCUGCUCUCCCCCCUUAACCCCAUAACAUAUCUAGCAAAUGAACUUAUCCCAAACACAAACAAAACAGCUGGCCUAUUAUAAAUAUUCUCUGAGACUUGUUCUAAUGUUUCAGUGACUGUAACAAGAUAUGUAAUCCUCUAUCAAAAUUUAACAAUAAAGAACUUGCUCAACCUAGAAAAGUCUAGAAUUGAAUAUUCCAAAUGGUUAACAGUGUUUAUUCCUCAUCUUAAAGUGAAAAUUUCAAUUAUCACUGUCCCCAUACCCCAUCAGCUUCUUCCCCCCACCCCUCCCCUUCUACAGGAAUAGUAAAAAGAUCAGCAUUUUCUCCCCCUCUCCACCCCACCACCACCCCCCCCCCAAAAAAAACUAAACUAAAAUAAACUAAAUAAAAUGGUUGUUUCUACUGAAAGACCAUUUCUACAUCAUAACGAAAUUUGUAGCACAAUCAACCUUACUACGAAGUGCGUAAACUCCAUGUCCCAAAAAAAAAGGAAAAAAAAACUCGAAAAAUCUCUUUGUAUAUUAAAUUAUCCAGGAACAGAACUCAAAUGCUAAAUUUCCAGAAUCCCAUUGAAGAAUAAGGGGUCAAUUAAUUUUUUUAAAAAAAGGAAAAAAACCAAAAAAAAUUCCAUUCCUUUGGUUUUAUAAAUGAAAGAAAACAAGCAAAUAAUUCUGGUGCAUUCUGAUGUUAUCCCAAAAAAAAUCGAAAACCAAAAAAGUUCAAAACUUUCCAACCUUCUCCUCCAUUACAAAAUAAAAAAAAUUCCAAAAUAGAUCUGAUUUAACAAACCCAUUUCACUACAUCACCAGAUUCAACCACGUACACGAAAAGCUCCUUAAUUUCGCCAAAAAAAGUACCGUAAACUCCCACAAGGAAAGGAAGAAAAACCGAAAUUCAAGAAACAGAUCAAAGAGCAUCUCUAACAAAUACGUAAAUAACUUUUGCAUAUUCACCUCUUGUUCGGACAAGGGCUUGCACUGCAUAAGCUGAGAAAUCUGCUCAUCGAGGCUGCCGCCAUGAACAGAACCGGGAGACGGCACAGCCGAAUCGGAGCUCAUUUUUAACAAUUAAAAAUUUUUCUCUUUUUUUACAGAGAAUUUAUAGAAAUAGAUGAUAAAUCUGCAGAAUUGUGGAGUUGUUGGAUGGAACCCAAGAUGGCUUCUCUCUUUUGCGGAUUUUUGGUUUCGGCCCGCCUUCGGCUACGACGUCGUUUGGAGGAUUGAAAGUGGAGGGAGAGAAAAGAGUGGAGAGUGGAGGCAGUGAACGGUGGUGGUGAAACCAACGAGAGUGAAAGGGAAAGAGAGAGAGAGAGAGAGAAGGAACUCCCAAGGGUAAAAUGGGAAGGAUAUUUUAUUUUUUAGUUUUUCUUCUUUAAAAAAAAUAAUUAUUUUUAGUAGGAGUAUAAUUUUUCUGUACAGCAGAAUUUGUUUUUUUUUUUUAUUUUUUUUGUGGUGGGGAAGGAAUCAGGGACUUGUCCGGAUUGCUUUUUUUUUUUUUUUUAUUUGCCCGGUGAAUGUUAGGGGAUAAUAUUUCUUAGACCCUAAUUUACAAGGGGCAAUAAAAACAUAAUUAAACCAAGAAAACACAAACUUAAAACCUACUUUUUUUUUAAACAAUAGUUUCGAAUUCAGAACCUUCUACCUACAUUCUCCUACCUUAUCAUUUAACCCGACUUAAAGGCACGAUUAUUUGCAAUCUUAUACAAACUAAAUUUCAAUAAUAUCUUUUUUUGUUUCCUUUUCUAUUUAUUUUUUCUUGAAAGAAGCUUUAACAAAUCCUGAAUGCCGUCUGGUGCUUUUAUGUACCCAAUAUCUUUUUUUUCAAGCUUUAGUUCAGUCUCUCUUUGGGAUUUAAAAGGCGCAUGUCUCUUUUGCACCAAAAUUGGUGAGGAAACUAGGGCUGAUUUCUUGCAAGAAAUUAUUCCACAAAUAGCCAUGGCCAAAAUUCCUGGCAAACAUUAACAAAAUAUCAUAACGAGUAUACAUCUUGAUCUACAAACAAUCCCACUUGCGGCUAUAUAAAGCACCCCCACGGAAACUGAAAGGCCUCACUCCAGUCGAUCUGGUUUAGCGAUUGUCUUUGCUUGCUUCAAACUUGAAAGAUAUGAAGUCUUGUACUAAUCUAUUUUUGGCUUUUUUGUUCUGAUCAUGUUUUAUCCGGGUAAUUCAUUAAGGAAGUACACUUAGUUUAUCCAUUUCAUCUGCACAAAGUGGUUUUAUUUAAUAUACUCUAGCUUUUACUAUCCCAUACUAUUUGCAGCCAUAAUUGUUAAUCAAAUUCUUGGUUUUUACUGUCAAAAGCAAAGAACAAAAGUCAUGAUAAUCUUUUUAGGAAGUUUGUCUAUACAUACAUACAUAUAUAUAUAUAUUAUAAAUCUUUCUUGCGCUGAUAGUGUAAACACUAUUAACAUUGAAUGAAUGACAACUUUAUAAAAUUUAAAUUUGAAAUUUAAUUUUUGCACAUAUUAUGAAUCUAACAAUGAUAAUAUAUAUAUUGUCAGUGUAUACAAAAUUUACUUAUAUAUAUGUAUAUAUAUAUAUGUGUGUGUGUGUGUGUAAUAUACAGAGAAAUUCUAUGGUCACUUUAAAACAUUGCAAGGUAUGAUGUAAAUGCUUAACCAUAUUGCUUGAUUUUGUUGUACGAGGUUGUGUGCUACAGUUGCAUCUAUUUUGUUACUCGUACUAAUGUUCUUUGCUGGCAGAAACAAGAGUCAUGGUGGUCAGGGACCAGGGGCUAUCAAUGUUGGAAACUACUACUAGUAGGACAAAUUGUACCUAGCUUUUUCAUCAGAUCAAUGCAACGCCUUAACUGAUAUUUGUUCUGUUGAAUGUAUGGUUUGAGGGAUAAUGGAGACAUUUCACGUUGUUUGUGUGGUCGACAAGUGAAUCAAGUGGAGGAGUCAACUGUGUAAUAUUUAAUAAAAAAUAUCACAUGUUUAUUUUGAAUUCAAACACAAUAAUUUAUAAAUUCUUUAAUAAAAUUUCAGUUACAAGUUCAAUCAUUCAAAUGCAUAGUUAUUAAAUCAACACAGCAGAAGAACCGGAUUAGCAGGUCAGUGGUCACCGGUUGAACCGUCAAGUCACAUUAUAUAAUAAAAAAUAUAUAAUAUAAUUAAAUAAACAUAUAAAUAAUAAUAUAAGUACAGAAAUUCUUAAAUGUUAACAAGUCAUAACCUAUUUAUAUUUCAUAGUUCCUACAUACAAACCAUACCCAUGUAUGUUCCUUAGUUCAUGAAUUCAUAUUAAUAUUAUACACAAACAUAAAUAAUAAAUCUAAGUGUUAAAGAAAGAAAGAAACCCCUGCUCCCAAAUCCCUUUUCAAUUUUUCUCAUCUAAUUGUCAAAAACACAACAAUACCCAUGUUAAUGUGGUUGGUCAAAUUAAAAAUUUAGGUAAAAAGGUAAUUUUAAAAAAAUUUCCAAAAUCCAUCGGGUUUAUAAAAAACCGCCAAGUUUAGCAGGUCACCAGUUUGACCAUCCGAGUCAAAUGGUUCAAACGAGCAACUCCGAUCCAAUUGCUAAACCGGCCCGAUUCCAUGUGGGUCCAUCGGUUGAUCGGUUCAACUGUCAGAUCAGGUUGGGUUUAAUAACUAUAUUCAAAAGUGUAACAUAUGUCUUUAAAAUGAGACUUAGAUUUAUGCCUUGAAUUGUGUAACCUAAGUAAUAAUUAGUUUUAUGAAUUCAUUUAGUGAAUUUUUAUCAUUAUACAAUGAACCUGGAACUUUUCAAUUUGUAGUUGAAAAUAUGAGGCGUUAAUUUCUCUUAAUAUUAGUAUUUUAAUACUCCCAAUUUCUCUGCCUAUAAAUGGAGGUUUCUAUCUACUGAGUCUUACACAUAUUUUGCUAUUUCUAGACUAUCUUCUAUUUUACUUUCUCUCAUUACUAUAAGAGUUUAUAGGGCAAAGACAGUGUUAUGUAAAGUUUCUGUUUUACUCCAAUAAUGUAAAUUGGAGUAGACUAAUGAGAUAGAUUGGGUUAUUUUAUUCUAGGGGCGACACAUUUAGACUUACUGCACCAAAGGAUAUUUCAUAGGGGUGCGAAUCGUCUUAAAGAAAGUGACUUAUUCUGCGUUUCAACCCAUGCCAAAUUAACUUUUUAUGGUACAUAUUAUUUGCAUUUUUUAAUGCAAUAUUGAGGUAUGAGAUUUUUGUUAAUUUAUUUGUUAAAUUUUAUUAGAGAAAUUAUUGUUACUUAUAUGAUUAUUUUGGUCUAAAACCAACAAUUUUAAGACAAUUAGCCUCUUAUUGCAAAAGAAUUUUUUGCUUAAUCUUGACUAGCGUGAUUAAGGAAAAAUCAUUGGAUUUGUGGUUUCCUUUAGACUCAGGUGCAUUAGUGAGUCUUAGCUAAGUUUUUGUUGCUUAUUAGUUUGUGAGUAACCUGAAAAGUUAGAGGCUAGAUAUUGUGGCAAUAUAAGAACAAAUUUGAGAAACUAAACAUGCUACUUUGUACAAAAUUUGAAAUUGUCAAUUAUCUUAGCUUAUGAAAAAUGUCUUUCUCUACAAUUUCGAUUAUUGACAUAUUUUGUACCUAGACCUAAUUUUUCUCACUCCUUUGAGAUGCCACAUCUCUGGUUUUAAAAUUUCAUAGUCGAGUAUCAUAGUUGCUUGUUGGUGAUAACUGGUACAAAUUAUUAGCUUUGGAUAACUGUCAAUAGAUCUAGUGAUUGAUAAUGGCAUUAAGCCCUUGAGUACUUAAGUCAUUCUAUGUGGCAGUAAUCUUAGAACAAAUAUCUUUUUUAAUCCUAUAAUAGACUGUAUCUCAAAAUCGCAUCACAUCCUAUAGAAAUAUGAUAAAUAGUGGGGGUAAGUAAAUCUCUAUGGCUAGUAUGAAAUUUGUUCUUAAUUGCUAUAAGCAAUAGUUUUGUCAAGUGACUAUCUCAAAUUAUUUUUUGCAUACAUUAAUGCCUUCCUUAAAUUAUUAUUAUUUGUUGGCAUGUAUUGAUGAAAAGGAAAAGUCGGAAUUGGAGCAUUAUGAAGUGAUAGUAUGCAUUACUGCUCCUCUGUUGGAAGGUGAAGGAUUUUAAUAUAUUUUAAAAUUUGCUACCAUUUUGAUGUCUCGUGUGCAACUCUUGAUAAAUGUAUUUUUGAAAUAAAACACCGUGAUAGUGGAAGUGGUGAAAAAAUAAUGAGAUAUCAUUUUAUUUGCUCAAUUUAUGAGUAUAACAUUAUUUUUUUUUUGGAUUUAUUUUCACUCUUUUUUUGAGUUAUGUAGACUAGCACUCACUGAAAAGUAUGACCUGAUGUGAAGGUAUUUGAAUUAUUUUCUUGGUAUUUUUGCAAAAGCAAAAAUAACCAUGGAGUUUUUUGAGAAGGGCUUCUAGUGCGCUACUAGACUACUAGCCAUUGAGAAAAAAGUGAAAAAGUUGAAUAUGAACAAAUAUAUGCCUAUACUAUUUGGCAAAUAUAAAUAGAUGAGAAAUUUUCUCACUAGAGAUUGAUUCAAUAUAUUUGGCCCACUAAGAGAGAUUAUUUGGAAAAAUUCGAGAACAUCAUAUGUUUGCUAUUUUAUUUGUGUAAAAGAUAAAUCUCAAAUUAAAGUCAAAGAUAUGAUAUACAUCGAAGGGGAUAUGACAAAAGCCCAAUAUAUAUUAAAAAUCGUCUACGAGAAUACAAUUGCUUAGGGACUGGAGAUCCCAAGAACUAGGUUGGAGACAAACAAAUCAUAGAGUGGUUUGAUUGAUUAAUAUGCAUUAUUUUGAUUAAAUUGUCUAUCCCUAUGGCGUAAGUGCAUUAGUGAUGGAAUCACGAUAAGUGAGGUUGAGUAUUUCAAGUCCUUAUGGGUAGCCCUUAUGGGUAGGAUGUCUAAAUCAUGGGAGAAUUCUUGAUAGAUUCACCUAUAUAAUUGUGGACGUGGGGUUGUUUCCUACGAGAAUUUGGAUUAGUUCUCUAGGGUUGUCAUGAAAACUAGAAUAAAGCACAAGGCCAUAAAUGUGUUUGCUUAUGAAACCUGUUUUAGAACAUUGAAAGGUUCAUGUAUGUGAUAUGAUUCCACGUGCCCUCAAGUAGCCAUCGUUUAAAGGCUAAAUCCACCUUCACUUUAGUACAGGAAUUGUUGAAUGCUAAAUGAAGGUUUAAAGGCACUGCCACCUUUAUUAUGCAUGAACUUUUAAUCUUUGCCCUAUUAAGUGUUUAGUAUUGAACACUAUAUUAUUUUUUAUUAAAUAAGUGGGGGAUUGUUAGAUAUUUUAAUUAAAAAUGUCACAUGUUUAUUUGAAAUUCAAACACAAUAAAUUACAAAUUCUUUAAUGAAAUUUCAGCUACAAAUUCAAUCAUUGAAAAGUGUAACUUAUAGCUUGAAGUGUGUAACCUAUGCGAUGAUUAGUUUUAUGAAUUCAUUGAGUGAUACAAUGUACCUAUGCCUUUUCAAUUUGUAGCUGAAAAUAUGAGGUACUAAUUCCUUUUAAUGUUAGUAUUUUAAUACUCCUAAUUCUCAGUCUAUAAAUAGAGAUUUCUAUCCACCGAGUCUUACACGUACUUUGCUGUUUCUAGAUUAUCUUCUAUUUUUCUUCAUCUCACUACUAUAAGAGUUUAUAAGGCAAAGAACGGUGUUAUGUAAGGUUUUCUGUCAUAUUCCAAUAGUGUAGAUUGGAGUAGGCUACAAUGAGAUAGGUUGGGCUAUUGUAUCCUAGAGGUGACAUGCUGAAACCUACUACACUGGAGGAUACUUCGUAGAGGCAUGAAUCGUCUUAAAGAGAGCGACCUAGUCCAUGCCGCAACCCACGCCAAAAUAACUUUUUAUGGUACAAAUUAUUUGCAUUUUUAAUGCAAUAUUGAGGUAUGAGAUUUUUGUUAAUUUCUUUGUUAAAUUUUAUUAGAGAAAUUAUUGUUACCUAUAUGAUUAUUUUGACCUAGAACCAACAUCAAGAACAAAAGAAUAUAACUGUUGCAUUGUGAUAAGUGAAGAUAUUUGGUUUUCCAUUUUGUCUUUUUUUCCCAUUUAAAUGGAUUAAUUUGAGAAUAAUAGUAUCACAAUUGAGAUUGGCGUGUGAACUGUUUCCUGGUUUGUAAUGUAUAAAUCAAUUAAAGAGUCAGUUGAUCAAUGUAUGUGUAUAUAUAUAUGUGUAUAGGUGUGUAUAUAUAUAUAUAUAUAUAUAUAGGAUGUGUGUGUGUAUAUAUAUAGUUGGAGAAUAGGGCUGAAAACAAGUGUCAUUGAGUUGGACAGAAGUAUGUUCAAAAUUGGUUUGAAGAUUAAAAGUAAUCUUUGAACUUGUCUUGUAUUUGACAAUUUUUUGAAAGAAAUUGAUCAAGUUUGGCUUGAAAUUUCUAAUGUAUGUUCAUAAAAAGUUGGCUUGCCUUAUCUUAGUAUCGAAGUCAAGCACAUACAAUCAAAGCUCGGUUUAGCAUGACUUGAAAUUUUAUGUUGAAUUAAAUAAAGAUUUUCACCCUAAUUUAUUGCUUUUUUCCCUUAAUUUUUGCCCCAUGAUUUUCAAGAAAUCUAUACGAUGAAUUAGGGAUGUGAUUAAAGUCAAUUAUACCUAUUCAAGAAAUCUAUUAUGAUAAAUUAUGGAUAUGAUUAAAAUCAAUUAUGCCUAUUUAAGAGAUAUAAGUAUUAUAUGCUUGUUAUUUAAUAAGAUAAGCAAUAUACGGAAGGAAAGAAGUGAAGUUCAGGAAGGAAAUUUUAGACAUAUUUUUAUGAAAUUUACUUAUAUUAUAUGUUCCUGAAUAUAUAGAGUUGAACAAUAUGAAGAUCGUAAUUUGUUUGUUAAUAUUUUCAAGUUUAAAAUUAUGUUCGAAUUUGGAUUGAUACCUAAAUAAACAAGUUUGAACGAGUUUGAUUCGAGUCGAGUAUCAAGGUGAUUGAUCCGAUUUAUUGUCCUGUUUGGAAGGGAUGGAAUACUGUGAUCAAAGAAGCGGAAAGUGGAAAUGGGGAAUUGAGGAGAUUCAUACAAUAACUAUGACAUCUUCGUUUUGUUUUCUCAAAUGAAGAAAACAAUCACACUUCUAACCAUUUGUCCUUUUAAUGGCCUUGCAAGUUCUUGUUGUGCGUACAAAUUAUAGUAUGUAGCGUUUCAAUUGGGUUCUUUUGGAAACCCAAGUCUUGGCCCAAACUAUAAAUAUUAAUUAGGCUUGGUCGUGAUCCAUUUCAGUUAGAUAAACCUGACUCAAGCUAAGAUAUUUUUUUUGUUUGGCUUUGGGCUUGGAAACAUUCUGGCCCAAAUUAAAGAGUUUCUUCUUUAAAACUUAUUAACUAUUAUUUUCCCCACAGUGUUAUUUAUUUAUGACAUACAAUACCAAAUUUCAAAAACAACUUCAAAAAUAACUCUAAAAUCUCAAAUACAACUUACAAAAAAUAAAAUAAAAUAAAAUAAAAAGAAAAAUAACAAAUUCUAUCACCUUUUUCUUCUUCCACUCAUUAUCACCAGCCACCCACACUACCAUCUAUCGUCGCUACCAUUUCUCCACUCCUCUCUCCUCCACAUCCACUAUCACUACUGCGACUCCUCUCUCCUCUCUCUUCCUCUCCCUCCCUCUUAUUCCUCCCUUUUCCCCUCCCCUGCUUCGCAGUCCUUCCUCUCUCUUCCUUCUUGGUCUAGUCGCGGCCUACCCUCCCCCUUGGUCUGGUCGCAGCCCACCAUACUAGGGGACAAAGGGAAGGGAAGGGAAGGGGAAGGAGAGAGGAUGAGGGAGGAGGAAAGAUGUGGUGGCAAUGAUCGAUAGUGGUAAUAGGUGGUUGAAUAAGCAUGUUGAUUUGUUCAUAUUAAAUAAGUAUGUUGAUUUGUUAUUAUUUUGUAUAAAUUAAGUACAAUUUGAUAUAAGUUGAUUACUAUCAUUUAAUAUAAGUUGAAAGCAAUUUGGUGUAAAUUGAGAGUAUAUUGUUAAUUUAUACCACCUUGUGCGAAUGAAAUUCGUGAAGCCCCAUUUCUGUAUAAUUUUCUUAACACGAGCCCUCAAGAGUAGAAAAGCAAUGCGGCCUGAAUGGUUCGAUUUGAAGGACAAUGUUGGAGUUACACGCAUCGAUUGUCAAAUGUUACGAGUGUAAGAAAAAGCUUAGGGAACAGAUUUGUUUAGUUACUGCUAUGCGCUCUUCUUUUUGGGAGAAUUUGUUUCAAAAGAAUAUUGUUGUGCAGAAACUGCCAAUCGAAAAAUAAUUUGAGUGUUUUUGUAGACGUACAAUUGCACAUUCCGAGUUCCCUGGUGGAAGUCAGGAGCUUCAACAAAUAACGUCUUAAUGAACCACUAGAAUUUUACCCGUAACUUAGUACGGGUCUUUUUUUUAUUGUGAAUUUAUAUAAAUAUGAAUAAUUUAAAUAUGAAAAUUAAUAACAAUCGUACAUGUCCAUUCAUAUUCACUUUAAAAAAUUAAUGUACUCUAAAUGUUUAACUAUUUACUGAUUUUUAAAAAUUUAUUUACAUACUUUCACUUUAAUAUGAUAGUAUAUAUUAAAUAAUGUAUCUCAUAUCAAAAACUUGAUAGAUAUUCUUUUUUUAAAACAUUCUUUAAGAUAAUUUAAAUUUUUAUAAGGGAAAAUCAUUUAAAACUUCCCUCAUAUUUUGUAAAAUGAUUUUUUUCGUCUAUCACUUUUAAAAGUAUACUUUUACGUCCUUUAUAAAUUUAUAUUGAUCAAAUUUUGUCCUUAUCUAGAUUUUCAACUAAUUUUUUGUCGAAAUUCACCACAUGCCUUGCACGUGAUCAUUUUUUAAGGAUAGAAUUGUUAAAUCCAAAUUUACAUAAUCCGAUCCAUAGUUCCUUACAUUUCACAAAAUGAAUUUUUUUAUCUCUCACAUUUCACAAAAUGGAUUGUUUCGUCCCUCACAUUUCACAAAAUAAAUUUUUUCAUCCCUCAUUGAUCAUGUAUACGAAUAACUUUUUUUUUUAAACUCAUGUAUAUAUCUAUUUGAUUUUGCUUGAACGUACUGUUUAAGUGAAAUUAAAUAUUUUUUAAACUCAUGUAUAUAUCUAUUUGAUCGCUUGAACGUACUGUUUAAGUGAAAUUAAAUAGAUAUAUAUAUAUAUAUAUAUAUAUGGGUUUAAAAAUUGUUAGUUUUUCACUGAUGUUCAUUUCCUUUUACUCGAAAAUUGAAAAUAAAGAAGACAUUUAAUCCUAAACAUUGUCAAGUGUUUAUAUCGAAUUAAAUUUGGACAGAAAAAUACACAAAGGAAAAGUAUGACAAAAAAAAGUAAGUGAUUGAUACUUUCAAAUUUUACGACAAUCACAAGGCAAAAACUUAAAGGUAGUGAGUAAAAAUUUUAAAUUUAAACUGUAAUUUGUUAGCAUGAUUAUAGAAUUCGAAUUAGGAUCGAUUUUUAGAUAGCCUUAUUACACAAUUCAAUAAAUGAAUUAUUACCAAAAGUGAAAGGUUAUAAAUAUUGAAUAGAUUCACAUGGUGAAAUCAAAUAAAUAAAUAUAUAUGGGUUUAAACCAAUAUUGUUAAGUUUAAACCCAUGUAUAUAUCUAUUGAAUAGCAUGUAUACAAUUACAAUUAGUCUGUUUAAAUGAAAUCAAAUAGAGAUAUAUUACAUGAUAUUCGUACUGUUUGGGUAAAAUCAAAUAGAUAUAUACAUGGAUUUAAAAAAAAAUUAUUUGUACACAUGGUCAAUGAGGGAUGGAAAAAUUUAUUUUCUGAAAUUUGAGGAAUUAAAAAUUUUAUUUUGUGAAAUAUGAGGGACGAAACAAUUCAUUUUGUAAAAUAUAAGGGAUUAUAGAUCGAAUUAGGUAAAUUUUAAUUUGACCAUUUUACCCUUAAAAAUGAUCAUAUGCAAGGCACUUGAUGAAUUCCUGCCAAAAAUUAGUUGAAAACUUAGGUAGGCGUCAAAUUUGACCAAUGUGAAUUUGUAAGGGACGAAAAAUACACUUUUAAAAGUGAGGGACGAAAAAAUCAUUUUAUAAAAUAUGAGAGAUGUUUUGAACGAUUUUUUCUUUUUUUAUAAUAAUCAUAAAUCUAUAACUAUAUAUUCACAUUUAAUUAAGUAGAAAAGUUCCAGCAAUCCACUUUUUUUCAUUAAUAAAUAUUUAGUUUCUAACAAUAUUGGUAAUUCUGUCGAUGCAAUAAUUAAUUCUCUUUUUUACACUAAGUUAAUUCAAAAUUAAGGAAAGAGAUGAUGAGUAAUUUGAAUACUAAUCAACAAUAUGGUGAUGAAAGGAAGUAAUUUAUGGAAUAUGUAAGAUUUUACUAAUUAUAAUUUGAAAAGGGUUUACUAUAGUUCUAUAUAAUAAUUUGAUAGAAAGCAAAUAUCAUUAAAAUAAGAUUACUUAUUUUUAAAAGUCAUUUUAGAUAUCAUUAAGAUAAGAUAAGUUAUUUUUUAAAUUUAUUUUAAAAUUAGGGACAAUUUUUUAAACAUAUAAUAUAAUAUUCAAUAAGGGUAAAAUCCAAAUGAUCCAUAACUCGUUAAUUCUUUUCAAUUAAGCAUGCCACAUAGGAGUGAUAAAUACUCUAAUUAAAAUAGGUAUUUUCAUAUAUAUAUAUAUAUAUAUAUAUAUAUAUAUAUAUAUAUAUAUAUAUAUAUAUAUAUAUAUAGAUUAGUUUAUUGUUGUUAAGCAAAUUCUUCUGUAAGGAAAAAAAAGCAACACAUUUUUUUUCUCUUUGUAAGCUUAUAAGAGUGGUAUUGGAACUUUCGAAUAAGAUUUGUAACUAAUUACAUGUUUGUUACUUCUUGGAAAUGGGGACAAGAAAAAUGGUAUUAUCACGUUACUCGGUUAAACUAUAGCACUAUUACUAAUUUAUCCAUUCGCAUGAUUAUUAAUUUACCCAUUUACGUUAUUUUUUAGCUACUUUACUUCUACCGAAACCGACUCAACAUGUUGAAAAUUUUAGAAGAAGAGUACCCUCAUCUCUUAUGCACUACUACAGGGCUAUCAUCAUUUUACUUCCUAAAACUAUAGUGCUACUAUCAGUUUACCACCUAACGUUAUUUCUUAAAUAUUUCACUCCACCAUUAAGCAACUCAAUAUGUUGAAAAUUUCUUAAUGAAAAUAUCCUUCUCCCAAUCUGUAGUCAAAACAAUACAAAUUUUGGAAAAACUUUUGACAGGUUGUCGAAACCUGUGCAAUAAUAAAACGUGCUCAAACUAAAAAUAAUUUCUGUAAAUAGCGGUAAGCAGGGUCGAAUCCACAGGGACUGGGAGUAAUUGUUUCUUUUCGAAUUCUCAGUGACAAGGGGGUGUUUUUAUCUCAGAGGUGACAAUUUAAACAAUCCAACUAAGAGUAAAAUAAUAAAAAUAAAAUAGCCAACUAGAAAUUAAAAUAACAAUUUACCAAAAUCAAAGGAUCUAGCCAAGGAAUAACUUCAGCAAUGGUUCACCUAAUUGAUCAUCGAUAAGCAAAGGCAAUUCCAAUUAUUUAUCAAUAAAUAGGUUAUAACUGCCAAACAAGCGAAGACAGUCAACCCCUCCUUACUGUGUCGAUGAUUAAGGUACGCCCGUUAAUCACUGCUCUAAUUGAGAAAUAAUCCUAGGUACGCCCAUAGAAUUUAAUUUCCCAAUUGCCUUACGUAUUAGAGGAGCCCUAUUCUAAUCAAAUAACGCACUACCAGGGUUAUUUUAGAUUAGCCCGCGUAUUCCCCUGACACAAGUCUAAUUAUGCCAGUUGUCACUAUUUUGAGGCAAUUAAACAAUUACGGAUUCAAUCCCUCAAUUGACAAUAGAUUAUUAAAUUGAUUAAUUAUCCGGAUCCAAGACAAUCAAUUAAUUAAAUAACCAUAAGCACUGCAAUCAAAGAAUAUGCCAAUACCAAUAAAUAAGAGAAAAAGAUAAAAUUAAAUCGAUCUCACAAAUUUAGGCCAACCAAGACCUCCGUUGUUCCUUGACUAGAAAAGAAAAAUUAGUUCAUUCCUGGUGAACAAAUCCCACGCAAAGUUGGAGAGGAAGCCGCAGCCAUUGUCCUUGACCAAGGGAGCUCAGUUCGCUCAGUUGAUGGAAGAAUAUAGAAAGUGACCAAGACCUUCAAUUGCUCCUGACAUGCGCAGGAGACAUCCACCCAAGACUCAAGGGAAAAGUCAAAAGGAAAACUAUGCUAAAGGUCCUACGUACGAGGAAGGUAAAACAACUACUAAGAACUAAAAGGGAAGAAAAGUCAACAAAGGCAACUCCCUGGUGCUAGUGCUCAUUCUCUGCCAUAUAUCAAUUGCUCCUAUUCUAAUGGCUACUGUGUGCGGCAGCCCCCUUGCGGAGAGGACGGAGCCUCCGAAGGAAGAAGAAGCACACCUUGUGCGGCGCUCCAGCCUCCAGUAAAAUAGAGGCCUCUGCCCUGCUCUCUUCUUUUGAAAUUACCAAAAUGGGCAAAAGUCUUCCUUUGCCAAUAAUGCCCCCGGGAUAAGCUCUGUGCCUUGGACUCUUUUUCUGUCAAAUUAGCACCUGUUAUUAUAUUUUCGUUCUAUUCCCUGAAAUAAAUGCAAAAUACUAAAAGUGAGUAGAAUCCCGCAAUUAAUCCACAUCAAGUCAGGUAAUAGGAGAAAUUAAUUAUAAAAUAAAUGAUAGAAUUGCAACCUAUCAAUUCCCCCCACACCUAAACCAUGCUUGUCCUCAAGCAUGAGAACAUCAAAUAAACACCAAUAUUUGACAAUGGUCAUUACUCCAUCUACCAUAUUGCCAAGAUACCAAGAAAAAUAAUAAUCAAGCAUCAAUAGUCAAGUCCAAGAAACAUCACUCCGGUUAGCUUCUAAACCACAAACUUCUCUAAUUUCAGGAUAACUAAUCUAAGAAAAAGGAAUAACGCAUAACAUUUAUCAGCAAAUGGUCCAACUAUUAACCAAAAUCUCAACAUUAAAUCCAUAAUUCGGCAAGCUGACUUUUAUUACACACUAACACAACCUUCACUUUUUUUUUCACAUUUUUUUCUACUUUUCUCUCUUUUUUUUUUGAAUAGUAACAAAAGACUUAGUCGCUAGCCAUUAGAGCCUUUUGACGCGAACUCCAACAUUGGCCAGAUGAAGGAGCCCGGUUACUCAGCUUCUAUCGCCACGUGACCACGUACUCAUAGCAAUUACUACUUUUUGACGCGAGAAUCGACACUUUUAGGUGCAAAUCCCCGGUUAUUCAGUAGUAACUAAUAGCGGAGUACAGUCAAGUUUAUGCAUAGCUAAAAAUCACAAAAACUCAAUAUAACACAAGAACCAAAAGAAAACUUGUAUCAGCUAGCCUCAUUUUCAAACAUGGAGAACUAAAGUUAAUAACCGGACCAAUUCACAUGAAAAUGCCAAUAAUCAUUCCCUAUGCCUAGGAAAGUUAACCAAAAAUUAUAAGAGUAAAACAAUCAUCGAUAUUCACCAAAGAGAUGUUUUUGAAUUCAACCACGUGAACUGGAUAUCCUUUUAUUAUUAAAACUUGGCAAAAGUAGAAAUAAAGGCAAUAAUCCAACAUCAAACUUGGCAGUCAUAGGAGAGCUAGACAGAUAAAUGACAAAAAGUAAACGAAAACUAGACAAAUAACAGACUAAAAAUAAAAGAAAAAUAUCUGAAAACUAAGAACUAGAAAAACUAACACCAUAACUGCUCCCCCCCACACCUAAAUCCUACAUUGUCCUCAAUGGAGGUAAUAAAGUAAUUAGAGUGAAGAGAACAAUGAAACUUCCCUCUUGAGUGGUGAAGGGAUAGGCGGGAAUGGUGGAGGAAAACCGAUGUGACGGAAAUAUGCACCCAAGUGCUGAGACAUCUAACUCAAUUCAACUAGCAAAUGCAAAACUCUGUCCACCCAAAAUCUCAACAAAUAGCUCCAAUUGGCCAGUUACCGUUUGAACUCAAAAUCAGCAAUAGCAAUGCAGAAAUUAGACAGUAACAAAUCAAUAAAAAUACUCAGCUCUCAAUCAAACAGUCACCCAAAUAGCAACCUAAGUCAGCAGCCAUCUUGGCACCGACUAAUCACUUAAAUUGGACCUAAGUCAACGAGUAGAUUCAAGUGCCCUCGUGCCACCCAAAACGUCAACCAAGUGAAACAAACGGGCAGAGUAUUCUUCAAAUUGUUAACUUAAAUCCAGUCAACAACCAAGGCAGCAAAACAACCCAAAACAGUGCAAUUAGCAACCCCAGCAAUUCAAUCAGAUGCACCCAAUUGGAAUAAGCAAUGUAAAUGGCAUAGAAACCUCCCAAUUUAACAAACAAGUGCGGUAUUUCAGCUCACCCAAAGUCCCAACAGUCAGUUCAAAGCAACAGAAGAUCCCACAAGUAUAGAAACCAGCAGAAGCAACUGGCAAAAGAAACUCAGCAAACAACAAAGCAAAACUCUCCCAGUAGUAACCCAAUUAAUAACAAACAAAAGAAUUUUAGCAAGUAAUUCAUGCGGCCAGCCCCUCUAAUUCACAAGCAAUUUCAGAAAUAACUCAACCAAAAUCCCAAAAGAAACCUCAGCGAGUUAUCCAGCAAUUCAAGCAAAAUAAUGCCCAGCAAUUCACAACUAGUCAACCAAUGUCCACAAGCAACAUGAGGUCCAAAGUGUCCUCCAAAGUUAACAAACAGUCACAGCAAUCAGCUCACCCAAAGUCCCAACAAAUGGCUCCAGUUGGCCAAUGAAUUGCACAAUUUAACCCAACCCAAAAGAAAUAGCAGUUCCAAUCAACAAUAGUCCGACCAGUACCACUGGCGGAAAUCACCAAUUGAGAAAAUAAAUUCCAACCGUCAACAAUGCUAACUAUGAAAAAACCCCGACAGUACCAAUUAGUUAUUAAGAGAUUGGGGGGCAAGUUCCAAAUUACCUCCACCGUAGAUGACAACCAAACUGAAGGUGACAGUGGCGGGUGGCUUCAGGCGCGCAAGUGAGGCGCGUGGCUGUGGUCAAGGGUGGAGCAGGGGCGAGCGGCUACGUGGGCAGCAGAGGCGGGCAGCGAGGUGCGAAGUGGAUGGCUGGCUGGUCCUUCGCGCGAGACGCGAGGUGGCGGCGUGAGUGAGGUGGGCGGCGCGAGUAGGCGGAAAGCAAAAGGGAUUCGGACAACAGAGAGAGAGCAGGAGAGAAGGAAGAAAGAGAAGAAGAAAGAAAGAAAGAAAGAAAAAUUUUUUUUUUUUUUUUGAAAACUGAGCUACGGUGAAAAGGGAAGCAGAAGAAAAAAAAGAAAAAAAUUUUUUAUUGAGAAACCUAGCUACGGUUGAGAAAAUUUUCUCUUUUUUUUUUCCUUUUUUUUUUUUGAAUCCUUACCUUUCCCGCGAACGUGACGCGGGCACGUCAAGAGAGCAAGCGAGCUCCCAGAAGUUUCUGAUCGUGAGCUUCCUGCACAUCACCACGCGGGCGCGUCAUGAGGGCAAGAGAGCUCCCAGAAGUUUCUGAUCGUGAGCUUCAUGCACGUCACCACGCGGGUGCGUCAUGACUGAAGGUCACCUACAAAUCAGCAAAAACGAAAAUUAACACCCAAAACCAAUCAAACUCAAGAAAAACAUAUUUAAACUAUCACACGAAAUCAAACAAAUAAUUAAAAGGAACAAUUGGGUUGCCUCCCAAUGAGCGCCUCUCUUUAAUGUCUUUGGCUAGACAUUAUCAUGUUUUGUUCAUGGAGGAUAAAAUCGUGUGGCUCGUUUUAAUGCUUCAUCCUCUAUAUAGUCCUGAUAACCCUCGUAAAUAGAAUAAUCCUUGAGCAUACGAGCUACGGGCAUCCAUGGACUAGUGAAUGGCGCCAAACGAGUCGAUGAUAAUUUGCAUUCUCCAUUCACUUCUCCCUCACUUGCAUUUAUUGGUUCAAGAUAUCUCGCCAUCGCCACUCUUAAUUUAUUCCUGUCAUGAAAUUCAAAAUUGUCUGGUAUAAUAAAGUCAAUUUCGUUAACAGGAAUUGAAGAGUAAGAGUCAGGAGAAUAUUGAUGAAGGAGUGGAGAAGAUGUCACCGCAUUUGGAGAUUGUUCACUGGAUUCUUUCACGUGAAUGGGUUGCGGUUGGGGUUCCAUUUCUUUCUUUUUGGCUUCUUUUUCAACUGCAUCUGUAGAUUCCUCAUUUUGACACUCUUGCAUCUCCUCAUCACUAGUCAAGCAAAUUGCACUCUCGUUUUCUUCUAGAUCAACAACGAUUUUCGAGGGCAAUUUUUCCAUUUGAGAAGCCCAUCGAUUUAUUCUGGAUGUCAAUAGACGUAGUUGAUCUGCCAGAUAAUUUAAUGCAUCCUUCAUCAUCUCAUUCUCCAUUAGUGUCUCCUGUUGGAAUUGGUAUGUGUUAGUAGCUAUUGGUUUAACUAUUUCUUCAAGAGACAUACCUGACAUAGAUGCCGAUUCUUGAGACUCAUACUGCUGAAAAUUCAUUGGCCCCGUUGGAUAAUUAUAAUUGGAGUUAUCCCACCCUCCUUGAUCAUACCCAUAUGGAUUAGGGUUAUACCCCGUUUGAGACCAGUGUGAAAAAUCUCCAUAAUUAUUGAGUGGAACACUCAGAUUAUCUUGAUAUUCGGGGCACAUACUGGUUGAAUGAUCCCUGGCAUAACAAAUUUUACAUGUUGCAGCAGCCAUUCUUUUUCUAAUAGAGUUUACUGCCUCUGCAUAUGCCAACUCAGGAAAAAAACAAAUCUCAUCGCCUUGCCCGGAAAUAAAAUCCAAUACAUCACCAAAAUACGGAGUGUUAGAAGCCAUAAACUAUAUCAAAAAAAUAAGAGAAAAAAUAAAUAAAAAAUGAAAACAAAAUGAACUCAAAAGGAAACAAAUUAAUCUGACACCAGUCCCCGGCAGCGGCGCCAAAAAUUGACAGGUUGUCGAAACCUGUGCAAUAAUAAAACCUGCUCAAACUAAAAAUAAUUUCUGUAGAUAGCGGUAAGUAGGGUCGAAUCCACAGGGACUGGGAGUAAUUGUUUCUUUUCGAAUUCUCAGUGACAAGGGGGUGUUUUUAUCUCAGAGGUGACAAUUUAAACAAUCCAACUAAGAGUAAAAUAAUAAAAAUAAAAUAGCCAACUAGAAAUUAAAAUAACAAUUUACCAAAAUCAAAGGAUCUAGCCAAGGAAUAACUUCAGCAAUGGUUCACCUAAUUGAUCAUCGAUAAGCAAAGGCAAUUCCAAUUAUUUAUCAAUAAAUAGGUUAUAACUGCCAAACAAGCGAAGACAGUCAACCCCUCCUUACUGUGUCGAUGAUUAAGGUACGCCCGUUAAUCACUGCUCUAAUUGAGAAAUAAUCCUAGGUACGCCCAUAGAAUUUAAUUUCCCAAUUGCCUUACGUAUUAGAGGAGCCCUAUUCUAAUCAAAUAACGCACUACCAGGGUUAUUUUAGAUUAGCCCGCGUAUUCCCCUGACACAAGUCUAAUUAUGCCAGUUGUCACUAUUUUGAGGCAAUUAAACAAUUACGGAUUCAAUCCCUCAAUUGACAAUAGAUUAUUAAAUUGAUUAAUUAUCCGGAUCCAAGACAAUCAAUUAAUUAAAUAACCAUAAGCACUGCAAUCAAAGAAUAUGCCAAUACCAAUAAAUAAGAGAAAAAGAUAAAAUUAAAUCGAUCUCACAAAUUUAGGCCAACCAAGACCUCCGUUGUUCCUUGACUAGAAAAGAAAAAUUAGUUCAUUCCUGGUGAACAAAUCCCACGCAAAGUUGGAGAGGAAGCCGCAGCCAUUGUCCUUGACCAAGGGAGCUCAGUUCGCUCAGUUGAUGGAAGAAUAUAGAAAGUGACCAAGACCUUCAAUUGCUCCUGACAUGCGCAGGAGACAUCCACCCAAGACUCAAGGGAAAAGUCAAAAGGAAAACUAUGCUAAAGGUCCUACGUACGAGGAAGGUAAAACAACUACUAAGAACUAAAAGGGAAGAAAAGUCAACAAAGGCAACUCCCUGGUGCUAGUGCUCAUUCUCUGCCAUAUAUCAAUUGCUCCUAUUCUAAUGGCUACUGUGUGCGGCAGCCCCCUUGCGGAGAGGACGGAGCCUCCGAAGGAAGAAGAAGCACACCUUGUGCGGCGCUCCAGCCUCCAGUAAAAUAGAGGCCUCUGCCCUGCUCUCUUCUUUUGAAAUUACCAAAAUGGGCAAAAGUCUUCCUUUGCCAAUAAUGCCCCCGGGAUAAGCUCUGUGCCUUGGACUCUUUUUCUGUCAAAUUAGCACCUGUUAUUAUAUUUUCGUUCUAUUCCCUGAAAUAAAUGCAAAAUACUAAAAGUGAGUAGAAUCCCGCAAUUAAUCCACAUCAAGUCAGGUAAUAGGAGAAAUUAAUUAUAAAAUAAAUGAUAGAAUUGCAACCUAUCAACUUUCACUUUUUUUUUCACUCUAAGCGUACCCAAAAAAAAAAAAAGAAAAAGGAUUUGUCUCCUCUUUUUUUCACUGUUACUAAUGUCAAGGGAAUGAAAAAAAAAGGGGAUAGAGAGAUGGGACAGAAGGAUACAAAAGCACAAUUUUUGAAAGCAGAAAAAUAAAAAAGAAUUCAAUAUUAUUAUUACUUUAAGAUUGUUUGUGUUGGAAUUGGGUGGUAGGUGGAAGAAUAAGAAGUGAUUUUAAAAUAAUAAGUAUACUAGAUUCUUUCUUAUUUUUUCUUUUUUUUUUAAAUAAAAAAUUGAACUCUCUCUCUCUCUCUCUCUCUCUCUCUCUCUUUCUCAGCAUUACUAAGGAUGCAAACCAAAAAACAAAAGGAAGGGAACAGUUUUGCUUUGGUAAAUAAAAAGAAGAACCAAUAUAUGUGUGUGUGUAUACACAUAUAUAAUUAAUCUUAUAUAUAUCGACAGUGUAUACACUAUCACGAUUGGAUUCAUGAAUAUAUAUACUAUCACGAUUGGAUGCAUAACAUAUAUGAAAAAUUAUAUAUAUAUAUAUAUAUAUAUAUACUCUGUGUGUGUGUGUGAAAUGAAAAAUGCUCUGUUGUCUCUGCUAAACUCUGCCAAAUAGCAUUCAGACUAAACAAAACAAAAAGGAAGAAGAGUUGGCUGUGCAUUCAUAUUUGGUCGACCGACUGGGGAAGUUCUCAACUGAAGCCUUUAGUUGAAAUGUACUUCGACGUUCAAUGUGAAAAGGUUCAUUUGAAUAGCUGGAUUCUAGAUCAUAUUCUGCUGCAAUGUGGAAAGAUUGGGAAUUCAAUUUUGUCUUGAUGGGAAACAUGUAUUUAAUAAAUCAAAUCAGCUGCAGAGGCGGCCAAUGUUUCAGGUGGAAAUGCUACGAGAAAAAUAAAGGAGCAAGUAUACAGAAUAUGAGCUGGACAUCUAGCCCUCUAAACAUGGCAUAAUUCGAAGCUUAAGACAACUUCUGAUAACAUGAAUGGUUUCCACCAACAAUUGAGAGAUUCUCUACAUGGCUGUUUACCUUCAAAUUGUUUGUUCUUGAUUUAAAAGGAGAAAAAAAAACAAAAAGAAGGAAAAAAAUAACGCAAAAUUCAAUAUGGUAUUUGAAAUUCUCCGACCAUCAAUAUUUAUCGACCAUCAUGAAUGGCUCAGCAUGUUUGUCGAAAAAAGAUACAAUAGACAUCCAGCUACCCUAAGAGGAGAUGGUAGAAAUAGGGAUACCUGUGCAGGUGCAGCUGUGUUCGGUUAUUGUAUUUCUUGUAAUAGGUGUAUCCUUACCUAAAUUAUUGUAUUUUUUAUAGAGGAUAAUUUUAGAAACCUCUCUCGAGAUUUUUAACAAUUUCACUUAGUUCUCUUGAGAUUUAAAAAAUUGCACUUAACUCCCUUGAAUUUAUCAUUUUGGUAACAAAAACUAUUCUCUUUUUUUAAACAAACGGCAAUAUCAGGUAACAAAAACUAUUCAAUGCUCAAAAUUUUGAAUGAAUAACCCAAUUUGCCCUUAUGAAAUUGUAAAGUUCAUUUUAUUUUCUUACAAAAUUCUAUAAAAAAAAAUAUGGAAUGUGCACAAAACCUCAAACCCACUUUCAACCCUUUUUUCUACUAUUCUAAACCUUCAUAUUCUUACAUCUCAAAUUAGUACCACUAUCUUCAUGACCACCGCUACCAUCAGUCCCAAAAUCCUAAAAUCUCAAUCUAAGUUACAAAAGAAAAAAAGAGUACCGUAAAAUUUAAAAAAUUUGACUAACUGUAUUAAUAUAACAUCCCAUCUCUCAAAUGUUGGAGUACCAAUAUAUGCCCCGUUAUAUUUAAAUCUUCAACUUGCAUCUCCUUCUAUUCAUCUUUAGAUCUUUCAAGUCAAGUUAAAAUUAAUUUGUAAUAUGUUCGAAUUAUGUUUAGGAUAUAAUUAGUUAUUCUAAAAGUAAACCUUGUUUUUGUUUCUAUUAAAUAUUUAAUUGUGUGGUGCAUUCCUAUGCACAAGAUUAGGAGCGUAUUAUUUAAUUGUAUGAAAAAUAUUAAUAAAUUAAGGUUAUUAUGAUCAUUUUAUAGGGUCAAGGGAGGUAAGUGUAAUAUUGAAAAUCUUAAGGUUACUAGAUGAAAUUGUCAGAAACCUCGAGAAAGGUUUCUGAAAUUAUGCCUUUUUAUAAUUAUUUGGUCUAUACAAGCAAAAUUUAUAUUUUUUGCCAAUAAAAAGAGUAAAAUUUACAUGUACAACACGAUAAUAUAAUUGUAUGAAAAAACAGUGUAAUAAUUGUAACUAGCGCAUGCAACCGUGACUUAGAUUAGCGUACCGAUCACUUUUCUAUAAAUAUAAUUACAUGAUAAUCGAAUCCACGACAUCUAAUUCCUAAUGCCUUGACCCUCAUUUUGUUUUAUAACUUGACCAAUUUUAGACACCAGUUGAUGGACUAGAUAUACCGCAUUACGAGCCUACACUUUUCAUUCGAGUUUUGGAAUUAGGCUAAAUCAUUAUUGUUAUUCACCAUAAUAAAUUAGAGUUAAUUUUAUAUAGGAUUAUUAUCACCUUACCCCCUAAACGUUUGGUGUCACUAUCAAUUUGCUCCUUAACAUUAUCUUUUAGUCACUUUACCCUCAAGACUAAUGGUCAAACUUAACGGAAUUUGUUAAUUAAAGUGAAAAGACAUGUUUAACCCUUAAAAUGAUUAUCACUUUACUCCCAUAAACUAUAGUUUCAUUAUCAAUUUACCCCCUAAAAUUAUUUUUUAGACAAUUUAUCUUAUCAUUAAACCAACUUAACAAGUUAAAAAACUUUAGAAGCAAAUACCCUCCUCUUUGCAUAAUAAAAAUAAUAAAAAAUUUAGAGUGGCUCUUCUCAGAGGCGGAGGGAAGGGGGGCCGGGGGGGGCAACCGCCCCUCUCCAAUUGUUAAAAAAAAUUUCUAAGUAAAACAUUUUUUAUUAUUAUGUUUUGCCCUCCCAAAAAUUGAUCAAAAAAUUCACUUUGCCCCCCCAAGGGCCCAAACAAUAAUAUUUGAAAGUUAUUUGGACUUGGUUCAAAUAACAGAGAAUUGCCACUAUUUUCUUAAAGGAGAAUAACAGACUUGGUCCAAAUAACUUACCUACUAUUUUCUGAACUUCACAAUUGCCGUUUUUCACCAAUGCACCUCUUAUUUCCUUCUUACAGAAAAGCCUCAACUCUCAACUCUCAACUCCCAACUUCAAUUCCCUCUUCGAUCUCCAGUUUUUUUUUUUUUUCAUUUCCAAAUACAAGCUAAUACUCUAUGGCAGAGAAUUGUAACUCCUCAGUUCUCACCCAAAUUUUUCUGCAAAAGUUGAAAUGCGUGGCUUUGAAACUGGAUAUACCAAAAGCUCUGAAAUUUUAAGCUAUUACCAUUUACCAGAUUAGUUUGACAUUGCAUUUAUUUAGUGAAAUGUGGGUGUAAGAAGUUUGCCCGCCAGUUGUUUGAUGAAUUGCUCGAGAGGGACUUGUAUUGUUUUUCGUACUUGGUCUUCUGAAUUCGGGUGAUAAGCAUUUAUUUUAGUUGAUUCUGAGACUGGUUUUCUUUUCCAAUUUUCAUACUAAUUUUAUUUUGAGGAUCCUGUUGGCUUCCUUGGGUGAUGGCCGGGCUUUUCAGUCAGGCUGAAUGGCCAAAAUUUGUAAGGGAAUUAGGGAAAUCAGUCUCUUGCAUUGGUCAAAUUCCCAUCUUUAUAGGCCAUAACCAGCAUUUCUCAAUCAAUUUUAUUUCGAUUACAGGUUAUUGUUUUGUUGCAAAUAUAGUGGUAAUGGCCAACAUGACAAUUGAUUCUUUUUUCAAGAAAAGACAUCUAGAACCAAGUGGAAGUGGUGAAACUCCUUGUCCUCUUCGUGAUUCUUCUCCUAAGCAUCAAACAAAGAAAUUUUGUAGAGCUGAAUCAUUAGAGUUUGAUAUUUCAUUCAUAGAACAUGAUCCUGGAAAGCGAAAAUCCAUUUGGGAAUAUCUAGAGCUUCAAAGGGAUGAGGUACGGAGAGCAUAUAUUAAGUUUGGGCCAUACUAACCUGAGCUUCCGAUUGAAUCAAUGGUUGUUGACAAGAAGGGCCGACGUUUCCUUUUCUCUUGGUAUAAAUUGUUUCCAGAUUGGUUGGAAUUUUUUCCAACAAAGAAGGCUGUCUUUUGUCUUCCUUGCUCACUUUUUUCCAAGCCAACGGACCGUUUUGGAUCAAUGGCCUUCACAACUAGUGGAUUUAGAUCAUGGAAAAAGGUAAAUGAUGGAAAAAAUUGUGCUUUUUUUAAUCACAUUGGAAAAGAUCCUAACUCAUCACACAAAGUGACAAUGCAAUGCUAUCAUGAUUUGGGAAACUCAUUGCAACAUCUUGAUAAAAUUAUUGAGAAGCAAAAUUCUGAGCAGGUUGCAAAAAAUCGGUUGCAACUUCAAGUUUCCAUAGAUGCUGCAAAAUGGUGUGCAUUUCAAGCGGUGGCUUUUAGGGGUCAUGAUGAAAGUUUAGAUUCUAACAAUCGAGGUAAUUUUAUUGAGUUGAUCAAGCAUGUGUCUUCUUAUAAUGAAAAGUGGCUGCUGUGGUCCUUGAUAAUGCUCCUCAAAAUGCAUCUUAUACUUCUCCUACGAUCCAAAAGGAGAUAUUAUCCAUUUGGUCAAGCAAGAUACAAAAGUAUAUUCGAGAAGAGAUUAGUGAUUCAAAAUUUUCUAUACAUGUUGAUGAGGCUCAAGAUAGAUAAAAAAGAGAGCAAAUGGCUAUUGUUCUUAGAUUUGUGGACAAGCAAGGCUAUAUUUGAGAGAGAUUUUUUGACAUUGUUCAUGUGCACGAAACCAAUUCCUUGACUUUGAAGAAGGAGAUAUGUGAUGUCCUUUCUCGCCAUAAUCUUAGUGUGCAAAACAUUCGUGGCCAAGGAUAUGAUGGAGCUAGUAACAUGCGUGGAGAAUGGAAUGGACUGCAAGCAUUAUUUAUUCAGGAGUGCCCCUAUGCAUAUUAUAUUCACUGUUUUGCUCAUCGAUUGCAAUUAGCAUUGGUAGCAACAUCUCAAGAGGUAGUUCCUGUGGAACAAUUCUUUACAUACUUAUCUCUUCUUAUAAAUUUAAUUUCAUCUUCUUGCAAACGUGUGGACCAACUUAGAGUUGCUAGAGCUGCUAGAAUUGUUGAAUUGAUUGCUAUUGAUGAACUUGAGACUGGUAGGGGUCAGAAUCAGAUUGGCACCUUAAAACAGCCAAGGACUACAAGAUAGGGGUCUCAUUUUAGUUCUAUCUGUAGCUUAUUCACAGAAUAUGAGGACAUUUGCUCUGUCCUAAUUGAUGUUAUCAAUUAUGGAAAUACAUCAACUCAAAGAAGUGAAGCUGACAGAGUUUACGAUUUCAUAACAUCCUUUGAUUUUGUUCUUGUUAUGCAUAUGAUGAGGGACAUUUUUGGAUUUGCACAAGUACUUUCUCAAGCUUUACAAUGCAAAUCUCAAGAUAUUUUGAAUGCCCUUAAAUUGGUUUCAGUAACAAAGGAUCGACUUCAAUGUUACAGAGAUAAUGGAUGGAAUGAAUUGUUCACCAAUGUAAAGACAUUUUGUGAUGCACGAAAUAUAGAGAUGCCUGAUAUGAAUGUCAUUUAUAAAGCAAGUCGAGGAAGAAUUCGAAAACAAAAUGAUCCAAUUACCAUGUAGCAUCACUACAGGAUUGAUGUGUUUUUGGCAACGGUUGAUUCUCAAAUACUUGAAAUGAAGAAUAGGUUUAAGGAAGAUAUAAUAGAGUUGCUUAUUCUUAGUUCAGCAUUGCACCCUAAAGAUAGUUUUCAGGCUUUCAAUAUUGAACAAAUUUGUCAACUUGCAAACAAGUUUUAUUCAGCUGACUUCACAGAUCAAGAGAAGUUACACUUAAGAACUCAAUUAGAGCUUUUCCAGAUUGAGUUUUCCUGUAAUUCUCAGCUUCAAAAUUUGUCAUCACUUCAAGAGUUGUGCCAAGUGUUAGCAAAGACAAGAAAGUCAAUGUGCUAUACUCUUAUUGAUAGAUUGGUUCAUCUUAUUUUGACUCUUUCUGUUUGAACAGCUACAACAGAGCAUGCAUUUUCUGCUAUGAAAAUUAUCUAGACUUGUUUGCGUUCUAGGAUGGAGGAAGACUUUCUUGCUAACUCUAUGAUAAUGUAUAUUGAGAAAGAAAUUGCUAGAACUUUUUAUAUAAAUUCAAUCAUUGAUGACUUUGAUAAAAUUAAAAGUCAUCGUGCACAAUUUCAUAUGUCCCACACAGUCAAAUAGAUUUGUAAAUAUGAUGAUAUUUUUGUUUAUGUGAAACGUAUAAAUAAUUUUCAUUCUAUAUAAGGUUGUUUCUAAUCUUGUGGUAUAUAUGUUCACAUUAUUUUUUUUUAUAAAUAUAUUUUAUUUUCAUUGCUAUAGACUCGCUCCCCCCAAAGUUAAUUCCUAGCUCCGCCACUCUCCUUUUUAGUAUCAAGAAAAAAAGUCAAAGAAUUCAUUUCUUUUUUCUUGACAAUCUUAUUAAUAUUGAAAAAAAAAAUAGAAAGAGGGAGAGGGGGGAGGGGAGAGGGAGAGAGAGAGCUCAAUUCUUUUUUUAAAAAUUACAAAAAAGAAAGAAUUGAAUACUUUUAUUAUUUUAAAAUUAUUUCAUGUUUCUGUUUACUACCAAAUUCCAAUCCUAAUUUCGACAACCUUAAAGUAAUACGAUAAUGUUAUACUUUUCUUUAUUUUCUUUUUUUGCAAAAUCUAAUUUUCUGUCUCCUUCUUUCCCAUCUCUUUUUCUUUUUCGAGUAUUAAUAAGUGUGAAAAAAAGAAAUUUGAGAAAUCCCUUUUAUUUUUAUGUUUUUUGAUCUUUUAAAGUGAAAAAAAGGAAGAAUAACCAUUUCAACUUUUUUAUUUUUAAUAAUAUAUAAAAAAGGGUAAAUAUAUUUAAAAUUUUUUAACCAUAAUAGUUAGAUUAACGAUGAGGUAAAAUGCCUAGAAAAUAAUGUUAGGAACUAAAGUGAUUGUAUCGCUAUAAUCUAAACGAAUAAAGUGAUAAUAAUAAUGUAGUAAUGCUAUAAAAUAAGAGGGUAUUUUUGUCCAAAAUUUCUUAAUGUAUUGAGUUAAAUUACUUAUGGAGGUAAAGUGACUAAAAGAUAACGUUAGGGGUAAACUGGUAGUAGUAAUAUAGUUAAGGAGGUAAAGUGAUAAUAACCCUUUUAUAUAUACUGUACUUACAGUGUAUACACUAUCACAUUAGAUACAUGACAUAUAUGUAAAAUUUGAAUUUCACAUUUAAAUUUAGAUUAUGCAUCAUAUAUCUAAUGAUAAAAGUGUAUAUGAUAUCGGUAUGUAACAAAUUAAUUCAAUAAAUUAAACAUUUCAAAACUUGUGAUCAAUUGGUCCCUCAGUCCCCAUCCAAGAGUGUGACGCCUUACAAAUCCAUCGAAAUAAGCCCAGUUAUGAACAAAAAAAAAGAAUAAGAAGCUGAUUGAUUUCAAUAGUGUCAUGAUCAGCCCAUUAUCCAAAGAGAAGUUAAAAAAAUAAUAAUGAUAAAAAUUAGAGUGGUUCUACUGACACUGGAUUUUCCUACCCCUCAUGAGCAAGGAGUCAAAGAAUAAGUUAAUUGAUUGAAAUUAAAAUAAAGUUCUUUUUCAGAAAACUAUGUUAAUCACUCUAUGUAAAAUUUUCCCGGGGAAGGUUGAAACCAAAGUUCUAAAAAAUGACUCCAUGUUUGAUUUGUAUUCCUUCCAAAAAAACACUCCAUUUUAUUGGCAUUAGAUUACCAAAGGCAGCCACAUUCAUUGGCUCAAAAUAGAGGAGCCUGAUUGAAACUUUCAGUGGAAAAUAAAAAAAAGUAAACCAUUCUUCUCAAACAGAUAGAGGAAAAAAAAAACAGCGAACCCUAAAAGUUUUAGCAUUUUCAGCUUUGCUAUUUUCGUGAUGAUUACUGGUUAUGACACACAAAAAAAAUACAAAUUCACUGCAGGUGGACAAUUGAUUUCUAAUCUGGUGGGUAAGAAGUAUUUAGCUGAAAUUUCUGUAGGGGCCAAAACAAGUUCAAAUGCUUUGAUUCGUCAGCGAUUUUUAUUUAUUUAUAACUCUUUUUUUUUUUUGGGUAAGCACCACAUUGUUUUUACACUAGUGUAUGGAAAAGUUUGAGUCAAUAUCAUUGUUAAGAAGUAAAAUAGUUCCUGCAUGUACAAAGUAACAAUUGUAAAAAUAGUUUUGGAAUAAUGGAUUAAUAAUCAAAAUUUUCUUCUCCUUAACUUGCCAUAAUAAAAAAUUAACCUUCACAAAUUAAAUUAAAUCUUAAUCAUAUUAUGGAGGAAGAAACAAAGCGGAAAGAACUUGCCCUUAACUUGUCUGUCCCAAUAAUGCCAACUAAUGAUGAUCAUGAUAUGAUAUGUGACCAAAUUAUUAAAUUAAACUGACGAGAUUAAAAAAGAAUUAACUGAUUAAUAACACUUUUAUGUGGUUUUCUUACCAGGCAAAUAUUUAAAACAAGGCUUGCCUGCUACUACGAUUUAGUCUUUACUAGGCCAUACUUUUGUUGUCUGAUUCGGACAAAGAGAACUUUUUAUUGCUAAUUUCAAAUUUUUAAGGGCCGCCACCAUGGAUCAAAGAAAAAUUUAUCAUUGCUUCUAUACUACACAGAGUUUACGCUAUUUGCUGCUGAAUCAAUCCUUCCUUCCUUCUCUGAGAACAGAAAACUUUUGCUCCUAAUUCCAAUUCGAAGCAAGAAAAAAUGGCUGAUGCUGCUAUUAAUACAACUAUCAAUUUCGUUCUGGGGACUGCUGUUUCCCUUGCGGCUGAUCGUAUCCGUAUGAUUCUUGGGGUCAAAAAGGAGUUGGAGAGGAUAAGCGCGACUGCUGAAACGAUCCAAGGUUUCUUGGCUGAUGCUGACGGGAAAAUGCAUAGCCCAGGGGUCCAAGAUUGGCUCAAGCAGCUCGAGGGAGAGGUUUUUAAAGCAGAAUAUGUGCUGGAUGAGGUCAAUUAUGAAAAUCUCCGUCAGGAGGUGAAGUAUCGUGGUCAAGUCAAGAAGAGGAAGGUAUGCUUCUUCUUCUCAUUCUCCUGCUUUAGCACAAUCGUUUUUCGUUCCAGAUUGGCUUCAAAAAUCAGGGACAUCAACACCAACCUAGACAGGAUCAACGGUAAAGCCAACGAGUUGGGAUUGGUUGUGAAGUACCAAAUUGAAGCCGCACUCCCAGCUGCCGAUGGAGCCACCACAAGCCGACAGGCUGACUCUAUUCUUGUUCCAAAUGUUGUGGGAAGAGCCAGCGAUGAAUCAAAGAUAGUGGACAUGAUGUUGAGCCCCUCUGAUAAAGUUAUUUCUGUUGUUCCUAUAACAGGCAUGGGAGGGUUGGGAAAAACAACUCUCGCUAAAUCAGUGUACAAUAAUCCGCGAAUUGAUGAGCAUUUUGGCAAGAAGAUUUGGAUUUGCCUGGCUAAAGAAAUUGAAUUAAUGGAGCUGUUCAAAUUCGUUUUGGAAUCAUUGACAAGAAAAAAAGUUGAAGUGGAUGGUGGGGAUGCUAUUGUUCAAGAAAUUUGAGGAGAAAUUGCGAGAAAACGACAUCUCCUUGUUCUUGAUGAUGUGUGGAAUCAUGAAGAAGGAUUGUGGAAUGACUUUUUCACCACUUUGGAGGGACUCAAUCCAACCAAAGGAAGCUGGUGUCUUGUUACUACUUGUCUGGACCCAGUAGCUGAUGCAAUGUCUAUACAUAUGAAGAUGAAUGAUGGUCCAUAUAUCUUGGGAAGGCUAGCCGACGAUGAGUGUUGGUCUAUUCUGAAAGAAAAGGCAAUUAGAGGGGAAGGAGUACCAAAGGAAUUGGAAGCAUUAAAGGAGAAAAUUCUUAGAAGAUGUGAUGGUCUACCACUAGCAGCAAGUUUAAUUGAAGGUAUGUUACGUAACAAGGGAAAGGAAAAGUGGCUGUCUAUUGUGGAGGAGACUCUUGGAUGGAGAUCAAGGUGAGAUCGAGCAAAUACUUAAGGUGAGUAUUGAUCAUUUGUCACCUGUAUCAGCCAAGAAAUGUUUUGCAUGCUGCUCGAUCUUCCCCCAGGAUACUGAAUUGGAACAAGAUCUAUUAACUGAGCUUUGGAUAGCGGAAGGCUUUCUUCAACCAGGCCACCAAAAUGGAAGUGUGAUGGAGGAAAUAGGGAGUGACUAUUUGAGAAUUUUGCUGCAGGCUUCCUUGUUGGAAAAAGUAGAAGAAGAGGAGAGAACAUAUUAUAAAAUGCAUGAUCUUGUGCAUGAUUUUGCAAAAUCAAUCUUGAAUCCUAAAAGCAGCAAUCAGUACCGCUACCUUGCAUUGUACUCAUCUGAAGCAAAGGCAAAAAAUAUCACAGAGAAAAUUCCAACCUCACUUCGCACAUUAUUUCUAGAGAAUGGCAUAUCUGAUAACAUGUUAUCAAAGAUGGAGUACUUGCAUGUUCUGAAAUUGGCUGGACCAGAUGUCAAUGUGCUGCCAAACUCCAUUGGCAGCCUGUUACAUUUACGGUUUCUUGAUAUAUCAGAUUCUGGUAUUACAACUUUGCCAGAAUCUCUUUGCAAGCUUUACAACUUGCAAACACUGAGGAUCAAUGGUGAAAAACUUCAUGAAGGUCUUCCAGAGGGCACAAGCAAUUUGAUUAGCUUGAGACAUCUUCACUAUUAUCAUAGUGAUGCAGAACUCCAAAUGCCGAUCAAACUGGGACGAUUGACUAGCCUUCAAACAUUAGAGUUCUUUAACAUAGGAGAAGAGAAGGGUCGUGGUGUUGAAGAGCUUGGAACCUUGAAAGAUCUCAAAGGAUCGUUGGUGAUAAGAAAUCUUAAGUUAGUAAAGAGUAAAGAAGGAGCUGCACUAGCAAAAUUAAUUGAAAAGUCAAAUCUGUCUAGGUUGGUAUUCGAGUAGGGAAGUGGGGAUCGGGAGAGUGAUAACGGCGAUGGAGCUGUGUUGGAAGGUCUCCAACCUCACUAUUAUUUACAAAUGUCAGAAAUUCAAGAUUUUAUGGGUUACCAAUUUCCGCAAUGGUUUAUGAAUUUGUCGAAAUUAGUGUCCCUGGAGUUAAAAGGUUGCAACAGAUGCAGAGAACUCCCUGCUGGGCUAGGAGAACUACCAUUCCUCCAACUUCUUUCUUUGAGUAAAUUGGAAAACUUAACAUGCAUUGGCCUUUCAUUCUAUGGUAUUUUUGAUAAGCAGGAUGGAAGAGGGAGCACUAGUGAAUGCAAAUUCUUUCCAGCCCUUAAAAGCCUCACUCUAGAAGAUAUGGUGAAUUUGGUUGAGUGGAGGGACCCAGACGAAGUGAGAUCAACAACGGAUGAAGAUGUAGCUGCAUUUCCUGUCCUGUGCUGAAGAGGUUGUCUAUCAGUGGUUGCUCCCAACUGACCACUGCUCCAACUCCUAGUCAUUUUCCAACUCUUGAGGAGCUCGAAAUCAGAUUCUAUUGCCACUCUUCUCUGGCAGAAAAGGUUUUAAACAAUAGAACCACUCUCUCGUCACUCAAACUAGAUGGAAGUAUGUCUUCGCGACAUAAUUCUGAAGCUCAUCAACAAAUAGAAUCUCUCCAUUUGGUGAAAAGACCUUUGAAUUCAGAAGAUGGUAGCCACCAAGGGAGUUCUUUGACUCUAGGAGAUGGUUGUGAGCUUCUACCGAGUGAAAUGGUCGAGCGACUGUGUCAUUUUCCAAGUCUUCAACAUCUACAAGUGUCGUAUUGCCCCAAUGUGACGAGUCUAAGAAGAUUAAAUUGCGGCACCUGUCUUGAGAGUUUAAAAUUGUUUGACUGUGAUAAUUUGAGGGAGUUGCCGGAAAAUCUGUAUAAGUUCCAGGCCUUUCGUGAUUUGUCUAUACGGGUAUGCCCCCUAAUUGAUCUUGGAGAAAAUCGGAACGAUGGACAGAAAAGCCUCCUCAAGUCUCUCAAGAGUUUGACAAUUUCUGAUUGUGAUGGGUUGACCACUAUAGCCAGUGAAAUGCUAGAGUCCUGUUCACCUCUUCAGAGCCUUCAGGUGUAUGAAUGUCCCAAUCUGGUCUCCUUUCCACUUGAUUUGCAACAGACGCCUUCUCUCGAGACCUGCAUCUUAACCAAUUGCCCCGAAUUGAUCAAUGAUAUGCCCAAAGGAUUUGCCUUUCUUACUUGCUUAACGACAAUGAUGAUCGGGCCCUUCUCAGAUUACUCCUUGGUUGAUUGGUCUGGAUUACUAUCAUCAUCAACACUCUGUGAGCUUGAGUUAAAUGGGAUGUCUGAUAUGGAGUCUCUUCCACAUCAGCUCCAAUACUUGACUACUCUCACGUCACUAUCUCUAUUCGACUUUGGAAGAAUUAAAGCAUUACCACAUUGGAUUGGGAACCUUGCGUCUCUUGAAAGACUAGUAUUAGAGAGUUGCGAAGAGCUUCAAUAUUUGCCCUCCAUGGCUGCCAUGAGACGCCUCACUAAAUUAACAUAUCUGCGGAUUAUUGAUUGUUCUCUGUUAAUCGAUAGGUGCAAUUUUGAAAGUGGGGACGACUCAGAGUGGUCAAAGAUUUCACACAUGGAGCUUGAUAUUGAUUAACAUUCAUCUUUCUAAGUCGUCCUGUAAGAUUUUCACCUCUGCUUUGUUCUCUCUAAUGUAUUCGCUUUUCUUGGUCCCUUCUUUUAAUCUCAUUAGUUCACUAAAUUUGUUCUCAGUGGACAUUGAUUUCUCUAUUCCUUUCUGUAAAUAUUGGUUUCCUUUCAAUUUAUAAGCUAAUUGUUGUCAUUAAGAAAGCGUAAUUUCACAGAUUGAAAGAGAUUAAAGCUGUGGACUUGAUCUUCUUCUUUGAACCAUCAAAAGAUUAUCAGCAUUUUGGAACUCAAAAUGAUUUUAAGCACUUUCUUUUUUCAUUCCUCUGGUUACCAAAUGACACCUUUCCUGGCCGAUGUACAUACUUAAUAAUUUGAUUUGUUGGCCGGUCAUAAUUGAAGCAGUACUGUAAGGUAACAUUCUGAUAAUUUUUCGCAGUCUGUUUUAUGAAGUAGAGUGGCAGGAAAUUUCUUUUACCAAAAAUGUUAACCCUUUGAAGAUGCCUCAACUCUCUGAUGAUCUCCAUUAGGAGCUAUGUUGGAGUAAAGCUCCUGCUAUGUUGGAGUAAAGCUCCUUAAAAGAGAAACAGAUUGUCAUCUGAAGCAUUUUAUUUUUAAUGGUUGAAGCUUUUGCAUUCUCCCAGACUUGUAUUAUCCCUUUGAGGACGUUACAACUUUGUGAUGAUCAUUAACCGUCUGAAGCUUGUUCAUUUUCAUCAUUGUACAUAUAAAGGACAAACCAACUCCCAAUAGAGGAGUUGGCCACCACUGUAUAUAGUGGGGUGGGAGGUCAAGGGUUCAAAUCUUGCCUCCCAUCAAUGUGCUUGAGUGUUCUAAAUUCAUACCGUCUGUUUACAUAACUUUUUAAAUAGAAUCAUAUAAUUAUUAGGGUAAAUUUCACUUUACCCCCUCAUGGUUUAACAUUUUUUUUACAUAUAAUUUCGACAUUUUUAGAAGUUCUAUUACGAGUAACUAUUUCCGUCACUUUGACACUUUAAUCCAAACCAUGAAGGGGUUAUGUAUAACUUUUGAAAUCAUAGGGGAGUUAUGUAAAAAUGCUAAAUUAUAGGGGGGUAAAAUGUAAUUUAUCCUAAUUAUUAUCACUUGAUUUCAAGAUACGAGACAAAUCAUGCUAUACAUAGUAUUAGGCUUUAAUGCCUUAAAUCUUAGCCGUGGACCAUUUAUAAGUUUCAAAAUUGUAAAUUUGUGUCACACUAGCACAGCUUGAAAUGGAAAUCAAAACCUUAAAGUACAUCCUUUUAGUAUAGAGGAAAAUAAGGUAGGCUAGGGGUAAAGAGUGGCAAGAGAUUCAUACCCUUUCCGUGCUAGUCUAGCAAAGAUGUAUAACGGUUUACUAUUUGUCUUCGUAUAAAACCAUAUAUAUAAUAAAAGAUUUUACCACUUGAUUUCAAAAAACGAGCAUAUACAAGUCGGUAAAUGUGAGACCUUUUUCUUUUUUGAUAGAAAAGAUCAUUUCAUUCAAACAAAUUUGUACUAAUGGUAGAAAAUACAUCAAAUAAACAUGACAUAGAUAUAUAUAUAUAUAUAUAUAUAUAUAUAUAUAUAUCUGAAAUCAAUAGAUAUAGCAGAUCUAAGAAAACAAUACAAAUAAAGAUAACAUUGAUGCUCCCAUAUAUCUUCUAUUCGGAUGAGUUAUUGUAGCUUAAUACAUCAGUGCAUGUUUGCUGAUAAUUAGAUCUGUUUAAAACUAAUUCAAGUCCAAAGAGAAAUUUAGAGAUGAUAAUAAUGGAGAAAUUGUAUAUAUGAGAAAGUAGAUUUUAGAUUUACAGAAUCUCAAAUUUUACAAAGAUAAAACCCUAAAAAACUCUUACAAUGAAAAAUCCAAAAGAAAAUAAAACUCUCACUAGGAGAUCCUAGGAGAGAAGAAUUAUCUCAUUAGAAAAUCCUAGGAAAGAAUUUAUUCAUAUAAGAAAAACUAAAAACUAUAAAAAGUACUUCCUCUCAUGGGGAAAGACCAAAUUUGGUCUCUCUUUCAUUGGAGAGAUGGAAAAAAUCUUGAUUGAAAGAGUUCUAGAGAGAAGGGAAAGAAAAGAGUUUGGGUGAGACUUUGAUGGCUUAGAUCUUACCCGUGAGAUUUUAGUUGUGGACUUCAAUUAGUGCUAGCGGCUUAUUUCUCGGUUUGCAUCUGCAAUUGUGCUAAGUUAACCUAAAUUAAGGAGUUGAUAGUAUGUAAUGUAAAUAAUUAGUUCCCACAAGAAAUGAUUCUACAAUCAACUAUGACCAGAAUUCGUAGCAAGCAAUAACAAAAUAUCGCAACGAGUAUGUAUCUAGAUUUACAUGCAACGAAAUCCUUGCUCCUGCCAAAGUUUGAAAAAAAAUAGAAUUUAAAUUCAAUGUGCUUGAUUGAAUGCAGCGGAAAUUCUUGGAACCGGAGCAUGGAAAAAUUGGCCGGAAAUAGAGGAAAUCACUUUGCAUGGAAAGGCCAAUAAUAAAAAAGUUCUGUCUUCCAUAAAGAAAUUCUUGGAACCGGAAUGGAGCUUAUAUCUAAGGCUCCAUCCCAAAACUUUUUGCAACUUCAAGUCUUCAAUAAUUCCACCAGUCACCGUUCUUUAUAGAGAAGCUUCAUCAAUUCUUGGACUGACCAGUGAAUUGUAAGUUUCAUAUUUCUUCAAUUUCUUCUCAUCUUUUAUAUAAAAGCUGUUCUGCUCUAAUUUUGGCUGAAACUAACAUGAAUAAAGGGACAAGAGAAAGAAAACGGAGGAACAAUCAAUUUUGAGCUUAAAAACAAUGCUCUAUGAGCAGCUUUGCUACGGAAUUUUGGUUUUUUAGGUCUAAUUCUUGGAUUAGUAUUUUGUGUCUUAGUAGACCUAAAUUUGUGUCCAGAGCUUGAAACUUUGUGUCGUCAGAUUGGCCUCCAUCCCUUUCAUCAUUGGCAGUGAUGAUACUGCAAAAUAAAUAAAUAAAUAAAUAAAUGACUUUUUCUGAGAGGAAAGCAAGCGAUGAUUGUCAGUGUAGAUGAGAAGAUCAACAGAGAAAGGGAGAGACUAACAGAUUGGAAGAACAAAGAGAGCAACAAAGAGACCGGACUUGAUUGAAGCCUUCUCCAUCUUGAAUCCAACAGUUGGCAAUGAUAUUAUUAAUCUGAGUUUUUUUAGUGCAUGAAACCUAAUCUAUUUUGAGUCAUUUUAUACAAGGAGGAUGAACGAAAACUGGGAACGGAUGGGAAGGUUAUUGUCUCACUUGGAAGGCAUGAUGCAGUGGCUCGAUUUCCAUUCACAACAUUGAUUGGUCUUCUUCCUUGUUUGAUCAUAUCCAAGGAUCUAUUUCCUGGGAAAACAAGGAAGCAGAUGGACCUUGACCCUCGUAUUGCUCGCUACUAGUUUUCAGAUUGAUUGCCUUGUUUGUACAUAUUCUUUACCCGAAUCAUCUGAUUUGCACGUUGUUCUUGCCCUGUAUGUAUGAUCAGCAUCUGCAUCAAAAUUCAUUUGUUCAUCCAAACUUGCAUAAUACUAACUCCUGAAUUAUAAUCAUUGAUUCAAUGCUUAGAGAUGCCAAUUUUUACAUAUUCAUCGAUAUAUUACUCGUCUGUCCUAUUGAAAGUGUCAUACUUUUCUUUUUAAUUUGUAUCAAAUCUAUUGUCACUUAUCCAAAAUGGAAAUGUAUUUCUCAUCCAAUUUCAAUCUUUGCACUUAUAUAUCCAAUGAAAGUUAUUUUAUUAGUAGAAAAAUGUGGGCCCAAACAUUUAACUCACUGGUUUUUUUUUUGGUAAUUCGUCAUUUAUUUACUCUACUACUACUCUAACUUAAUUCAGAGGAGGCUCAACUGAAUCUAUAGGAAAGAUCAUGAUGUUUGAAUCACCAUCGAACCAAAUAAAUGAUGUGAGCCCCAACAUAUACGAAUUUGAGGAAACAACCUACUGUGACGAAUGAUGACCAAAACUUUGAAGUCUUUGGCAGUCGCUGCCAGCCCAAGCUGCUGGUGGUUAUUUAACUCACUAGUAGUGAAUGAAAGAUUAAAACACUUAGUGUGUGACAUACACCAUCCAAUUUUGAGGAUGCCCAUGUACACAAAUAGGGAUGGCAACGGGUGCGGGUGCCUGCAGGGAUAAAAAUUGGGCGGGGGCAAAAUAUAUCCCCCGUCUUAAAAUGGGGCGGGGGACGGGGCAACAUACAUCCGCCCCAUUCCCGCCCCGUCCCCGCGUACAUUAAAAUAUAUAUAUAUAUAUAUACACAACAAUCCCAAAUUUUUCUUCGAGCUGUAGGUCAGGCCAUCCACCGUCGGCUCCUUUUUCUUCCUUUCUUCUUUGUGUGGGACUUGCAUCUAUCUUCUUCUAUUGGUUUAAAAAUAUACCUGCAAACCAGUCUGGGCAGUAGAUCACGGUUUCUUCUGGAUCACGGUUUCUUCUGAAUCUGAGUUCAACCCGUUGCCAUCAUCUCCUCCUCCCUUAGCUGCACGGCUGCUGUCCGCACUGCCUGGCAGCACAUCAGCACAUCGUUUCCACCACCAACGCAAACCUCCACUCUCGCAACAUAUCCAGAUCGUUGGUGUCUAGCCGCUCCAAGGCAGCGAUCUCGCCGGGAAGCUGGCCCUCAACAAUUGGAUCAAAAGCAACAAACUUUGAGACACAUAAACAGAGGUCACCAUAUUUCUUGACGGACUAUAUCUCACCUCCAGAGUUCAGAUCGACCGCAACUCACGCUCCUGCUCCCAGCCUGGGCACUACCGUCUCUGCUCCAUUAGCCACUGAUCUGGCAAGAGAGCCUCCGACGAGUAAAGGAAGCAUCGCAAACAAGUCUCCCCUUAACUACAAAGUGUCUGAAGGCACUUUGAUAGAUGAAGUCUUCCACUUCGAUUUCUUUCCCUGCGGGGGACUGCGGGGGACACAGGGCGGGGGCGAAGCGGGGGGUAGGGGGCAAAGGGCGGGGGAUGGGGGAAGUUAUUUAACAACGGGACGGGGGAAGGAUCCCCCACCCCAUUGCCACCCCUAUACACAUAUGGUCGAGUGACGUGUAAACUCUUGAGACAAACCAAACAAACGGACCUCACACGUGUUGACUUCCAAGACAUCUCUCCGCUAGUGAGUACGCUUCAUAAGAACAUAAUAAAAGGAAAAGUCUGAAGUAACGAUUGUUGCGGUAACGAAACUCUUUUUACCUGAUAUAACAGGUAAAAACACUUUUAGCGAUCAUUUAAUUACCUAUUGGACUGGUCACCUAAAUAAGAUAGUACCUAAAAAUUUGGUUAGUAAGUUUUACAUAAAGAAUAGUAAGUUAACUCGAUAAAUUAGUAACUUUUAUGUCUCAAAAAGUAAAUUAGAAUAAAUAUGCAUGGAGCUUACUUUUUUUUUUGAAAUAAAUUACUACUUUAUAUCCGAAACUUACUUUUUGGAGAGUAAGUUUAGUUCAAGUAAUAGUAAGUUUUUAUAGAUUAAUAAUAACUAUUGUUGAUAGAAUAGUAAAAUUGGUUAGUGGUCAAAACCUACUAGUUUGUGGUAUAAAUUUGCUAUUUUACUUAAAAAAACUAAUAUGUAACAAGUAUUAGGAAGUUUAUUUGAAAUAAUGCUGAGAUUUUUUAUUAAUGAUUGAAACUUAGUAUUUUAGUUAGUAAUUACUCGUAAUGUAAAUGUAUGAUACACAAUUGUAUGUAUCAUUUAUAAAUGUUAUAUGUUUUAAGCAUUUUAAAUAUACUAUGAAAACUUUUUUUUUUUGCACAUGACCUUAUAAAAUAUGUAAGAAUAAUUUUUCAUAUUAUAAAUUUUGAAUUAUUUUAGAAUUUGUGAAAGGUUAGAAAGUUUGGAUGACAAUAACAACAAAUCUUUCGAGUUAUAUAUAGAAUUGCACUUAUCUAUAUAUCACAAUUUCCAUAUAUUAAUACCUAUGAGUAUAAUAAAAUGAUAAAGGUUUAAUAAAUUUAUUUACUGGGUCACAAGUAUAAAAGUUAAAGUUGUAUUAUAAUAACAACAAAUUUUUCGAGUUGUAUAUAAAAUAGCACUUACUUAUACAUCACAAUUUUCAUAUAUUAAUGCCUAUGAAUUUAAUAAAAUGGUAAAAUUUUAAUAAAUUUAUUUUCUGGGUCACAAGUAUAAAAAUUAAAGUUGUAUUAAUGUAGCAUAAUCUUUGAAAAUUAUAGUCAAAUUACCCAUAUGUUAAGUUCCGUGACUUUCAAACAUACUUUGUAUCAUUUACAUUAUGGAUUUGUUUCUAUAUUUUUUCUAUCAAACUCUUUUUUUAUUGGCAAAUGGUAUGUAAAUUAUUAUAAAAUGUCAUUUUAUAAUAAUCAUAAUUUUUUAUAGAUGAAUGUUAUGUAAACUGUUAAAAUUAUCAAUUCACAAAUGACUAAAUCUUACUACUUUAUGGCAUAUAUUAGUCUAAUUGACUAAAAAAUUACUGUAAUCAUGUGUACGUUGAUUGUUGAAUUGAAAUUUCCUUUAUUACCAAUACAAGUCCUUCUAAUCAAAGCAAAAUAAAAUCAAAUAUCUUUUCUUUUUGUAUGUAGUAGUUAUGCUUAGUAGAAAAUUAUUAAACCAUUUUUACAAUACAUAAUUUCUCCUAAAAUUAGUAACAUUUUCCAUGACCUCUAAUCUUGUCAAUAAUACUAACCACCGACAUGUAGGUAAUCUUAAAAGCAAAGCCAUCAAUAUGACAAAAAAAUAAUAUUUUCGUACUGAACGAAAAAAAUUAUGAUUCUAUAUAGAAUUGAAGAAAUUCAUCAUGAAUGAGAAUGAAUUACAAAGUUAUCAUAUUUCUAAUUUCAUAUGCAUCCAGAAUUUCAUGCAGCAUUACUUUAGAGGAACUUUUCUUUUUCACACUAAGGAACCAAUCCCAAUCUCUACAUCUCUUUUAUUUUUUCUUUAACCAUUAGAUGUGGUCAAAGUUGUUAGCAGUAAAAUACUAAAUAAAUUUAAUUCCAUUUCAAGCUCUACUUAAUUGUAUACUAAUAUUUUACGCCACAAUUAAUUGAGCACCAAUUUCCUUUUUUUAAGUAGCUAUUAUUUAUUUUAUUGCUUAGGUUAAAUAUUUACAUAUAAAAUAAUAGCAAUAGAAUGCCAAUCCUCAGAUCAAUGGAACUUCAAUUAUUGUUAAUAAAACUAAUUUUGCAUUGAUAAUAAUUAGUCUACAGAAUGAAAAGUCAAUGGCAACAAUUGCAAAAAUAUAGCAAUUUUUAAUUAUGGGAAAAUAAACAACUAAGUUCCCAAAAUAUUUCACUUUUAUUGUUUAAAAAAUCUCAACUUGUUAACUAAAUUCAAAAUAAUUCUAUUGUCAAAAAUAUUUUUUCUCAAAUUAACUUUAAUGAUUAGAUGUGAGAUACAAAUAUGGUAAAAUUUCCCUCAUACGUAUGUCAUGGAUAUUUGAGACUUUUAGUAAAAAAAAAAAUUUGUUGUUAAAAUAGCAUUGUAUCAUAGUGUACUAAUUAUUUUAGGACCAUUUUAUACAUGGACUAAAUUUAAUUUAAAUUAUACAAUAGAUUAUAUAUGCAUGUGAUUCUCAUUUAUAAUUGUUGGAUCCCAUUUUUAUGAACAAUCUCCCAAAAAGUCCAAUCAUACUGAUUUUCUUAUAUUAAUUGUUAUACUAAUUUUGUCAUUUUUAUUGUUAUAUUAUUUCUCAUUUUGUUUGGGCUUUAACUCUUAUUAUUUCUUGUAUCCCAAAUGUAAAUUUAUUAAAACUUUAUCAUGUUAUUAUAUUCAUAGGUGUUAACUUAUAAAAAUUUUGAUAUAUAAACAAGUGAUAUUCUAUAUAUAACUAGGAAGAUUUGUUGUUAUUGUUAUCCAAACUUUCAAACUUUUAAAAAUUGAAAAUGAUUAAAAACUUAUAAUAUGAUAAAAUUUUAUUAUAUAUUUUACGAGAUUAUGUAAAAAGUCAAACUAUUUUUCAUAGUAUUUUAAAAUAUAUAAAUACAAAAUAUUUUUAAAUUAUACCUAUAAUCAUGUAUUAUAUAGGUAUAUUACGAGUACUUACUAACCAAGGUACUAAGCAUUAAUCAUUAAUAAAACAUCUUAUCGUUAUUUCAAAUAAAUUUCCUAAUACUAGUUUGAAAUAUGUUUUAAAGUAAAAUAGUAUAUGUGUCCCAUAAAUCAGUAAGUUUUGAUUAUUAAUCAAAUUUACUAUAUUAUCAGUAAGAAUUACUAUUUAUGUAUAAAAACUUACUAUUACUUGAAUUAAACUUACUCCCUAAAAAUUAAGUUUGGGAUAUAAAGUAGUAAUUUAUUUAUUUAAAAAGUUAGUUUAAUAUUUAUUCAAAUUUACCUUUUGAAGUAUAAAAGCUACUAAUUUAUUAAGGUUAACUUACUAUUUUAGAUGGGAAACUUACUUUCUUAUUUUUAAGUGUUAUCCUAUUUAGGUUGAUAGGUCCAUCAAGUAAUCAAAUGGUCGCUAAAAGUGCAACAACCUGUUAUAUCAGGUAAAAAACUGUUUCGUUACCAUAACUGUCGUUACUAAAGCAUUGUCCCAUAAUAAAAAAGUAAUGCAAAAUUGACCAAAUUAUCUUUACUAUUGAUAAAAAGCACUCCUCCCAAAAAGUAACCAUCUUUUUUUGGAACGGAUGGAGUAUAUUAUUAUGAUUGUGAAAGUCAUACUCUGCCAAAAAAGAAAAAAAAAAAUACUACUCUGGCUACAUGUUGGACAAUGCCUUUUUUAAUGAAACUGAUUUGUGGUGUAUGCAAGGCUGUUGCUGUUGAAGUAAAUGUGCUCUUUGUUUCGAAAUUGUGCUUCUGUUUUGUAGAAUCUCGAAUAGAGUUCCUAGGAUUUGAAUGUUCUUUGUUUCCAUUUUAGUGCUUAUUCAAAAUAAUUUUCUUUUGGUAAUUAUCGUCCACUUUUAAAUUCAGGACUCAAGCAGAGGUCAAUCACUUGUGUUUUUUUUAUUAGCAUUAGUUUUUCCAGCGUCAAUUGCAACUUGUUCUCUUGAACUAUUACUUGUUAUCAAUUUUACCCCCUAACAAUUUUCAGUUGCUACAUUUCACUAAAAUUACUAUGUAUACAACUCAAACCAAUUGAACAUCAGUGGAUAAUGGAUUCUUGUAAUUGGUGUGACAAAAUGACACUUCUGCUGUUUCACUUGUAAGCCACCACCAAAAUAAAAAGUCUCACGACAACAAAUCACUAAUUUCCAACUUUUCCUUUUUGUUUCCCUUACCCAAUUUGAAUGCUAGCUCAACAUCAGUAAAAGGUAUCAAUUGGCCUGAAUUGAUAUAAGGUUAAAACACCCACAAAGAAACUUUCACAGGUGAUUAUCCAUAAAAUUUAGGACAAAUUCCACUUUACCCCCCUGUGGUUUAGCAUUUUUUUUACAUAAUCCCCCUAUGAUUUCAAAAGCUAUACAUAACCCCCUUAUGGUUUGGAUUAAAGUGUCAAAGUAACGGAAAUAGUCACUCGUAACGGCAUCACCUAAAAUGUCAAAAAUACCCUUAUGUAAGGUUGAAAUUUAUGUAUUAACCAAAGGGGGUUGUGUGUAUAUUUUGAAAAUCAUAAGGGGGUUAUAUGGUAAAGUAUUAAACCAUAAGGGGGUUAUAUAGUAAAAUAUAAAAAUUAUAGGGGGUUAAUGUGUCAUGUAUUUAUAAGGGUAAUUUCGACAUUUUUAGAAGUUCCGUUACGAGUGACUAUUUCCGUUACUUUAGCACUUUAAUCCAAACCAUGAGGGGGUUAUGUAUAACUUUUGAAACCAUAGGGGGGUUAUGUAAAAAAAGGGUAAAUCACAGGGGGUAAAAUGUAAUUUAUCCUAAAAUUUAAGGCUUCAUUUGGAUUGAGAAAUUUGCAGAAUAAUUUGAAAUCCACUCAAAUUGCUCUAGUUGUUUGAAUUGCUUAAAAAAUAUUUAGGUUUGUAAUUCAUUAAUUAUUUAAUACAUUUUAAACACUAAAAUAAUUGAUGAUUUACAAAUCUACUUACCUUUUAAAUAACAUAAAUAGCUAGAGAGAUUUGAGAGGAUUUCAAAUCUUUCAUCAUGACAGAGUGUCGAAACCUGUGCAAUAAUAAAUCCUGCUCAAAUUAAAAGUAAUUUCUGUAGAUAGUGGUAAGUAGGGUCGAAUCCACAGGGACUGGAAGUAAUUGUUUCUUUUUAAGUUCACAGUAACAAAGGGGGUGUUUUUGUGCAGAAGGUGACAAUAAAAGAAGUUCAAAUAAAAUCUAAGAAACUACUAAAAAUUAAAUAACAAAUUACUAAAAUCAAAUGAGUGAUAAUUAAGGAUCUAGCCAAGGAAUAACUUCAGCAAUGGUUCACCUAAUUGAUCAUCGAUAAAAAACCAAUUACAAUUAUUUACCAAUAAAUAGGUUAUAACUGCCAAACAAGCGAUGACAAUCAACCCCUCUUUACUGUGUCGGUGAUUAAGGUACGCCCGUUAAUCACUGCUCUAAUUGAGAAAUAAUCCUAAGUACGCCCAUAGGAUUUAACUUCCCAAUUGCCUUACGUAUUAGAGGAGACCUAUUCUAACUAAAUAACGCACUAUCAGGGUUAUUUCAGAUUAGCCCGCGUAUCUCCCUGACACGAAUCCAAUCAUGCCAGUUAUCACUAUUUUGAGACAAUUAAACAAUUACGGAUUUAACGUCCCAAUUGACAAUAGACUAUCAAAUUAACUAAUUAUCCGGAUCCAAAACAAUCAAUUAAUUAAACAAUCAUAAGCACUGUAAUCAGGGAAUAUGCGAAUAUCAAUAAAUAAAAGCAAAAGAUAAAAUUAAAUCGAUCUCACAAUUUUUAGACAACCCAAAGCAUCCGUCGUUUCUUGACUAGAAUGGGAAAAUUAGUUCAUAUUGAAUGCUAAAAACCCACACGCAAUUGAAGAGAAAGCAGCUGUCAUCGUCCUUUGAGAUUUGGGCAAUUCAAAUCGUCCAAGUGUUGACUAGAUCGUAAGCCACAGGAAGUAAUUGAUAGCUUUUUCUUUGUCUGACAUACAAUGGGUAGAGAAGCUACCCAAAAUUCCUAAGAGAAGAAAAGUCAAAAUCCUAAGCUAAAACUAAAGAAACGGAAAAGAUAAGAGGACAAGCCAGAACCUCCUUCCUCUGCUAUUCUUUUGGUUUUUAUCCUCUGCCUCCUCCCCAGAUGUGCGGCGGCUCUUAGGAGAAAGAAACCCUCCGUCCGUCAUUCCUCUGCAGAAAUUACCGAAAUGGGCGUGACAUCUUUUUUUCCAAAAAUGCCCUUGGGGCAAGCUCUAUCAUUUGGGCUCUUUUUCUGCUAAAUUGGUACUUAUUAUCAUAAUUUCGUUCUACUCCCUGAAAUGAAUGCAAAAUACUAAAAAGAAAGUAAAAUAUAGCAAUUAAUCCAUAUCAGGUCAGGUAAUAAGAGAAAUUAAUAAUAAAAUAAAUGAUAAAAUUGCAACCUAUCAAUUCCCCCCAUACCUAAACCAUGCUUGUUCUCAAGCAUAAGAACAGUAAACAAACACCAAUAUUUGACAAUGGCUAUUGCUCCAUCUAUCUUAUUGCUAAGAUACCAAGAAAAACAUAUAUCAAGCAUCAGUGAUAAAGAUCCAAGAAACAUCACUUUGGUUAGUUUCUAAACCACAAACUCCUCUAAUUUUAGGUUAACUAAUCUAAGAAAAUGGAAUGAAGCACAACAUUUAUCAGCAAAUGGUCCAACUAUUAACCAACAUCUCAACACUAAAUUCAUAAAUCGGCAAGCUGACUUUUAUCACACACUAACACAACCUUCACUUUAUUUUUUUAUGUUUUCUAUCUUUUUCCUUUUUUUCUUUUUCUUUUUUUUCAAUAGUAACAAAAGACUUAAUCUCUGGCCAUUGAAGCUUUUUGACGCGAACUCCGACAUUUGUCAGAUGAAAGAGUCCGGUUAUUCAGCUCCUAUCGCCACGUGACCACACACUCAUAGCAAUUACUACUUUUUGACGCGAUAAUCGACACUUUUGGUGAAGAUCUCCAGUUACUCGGUAGUAAAUACUAGCAGAGUACAGUCAACUCUUAUUCACAGCCAAAUAACACCCAAAACUUCAAAAUAACACAAAAAAUCAAAAGAAAAUUUGCAUCAGCUAGCCUCAUUUUCAAAUAUGGAGAACUAAGGUUAAUAAUCGGACCAAUUCACAUGAAAAUGCCAACAGUCAUUCCCUACGCCUAGGAAAGUUAACCAAAAAUUAUAAGGGUAAAACAAUCAUCGAUAUUCAUCAAAGAAAUGUCCUUGGAUUCAACCACAUUAACUUGAUACAUUCUUUUAUUAUUAAAACUUGGCAAAAGUAGAAAUAGAGACAAUAAUCCAACAUCAAACUUGAGCUAAUCACUAAAAAGAAGAAAAAGAAAAUGAACGAAAGACACUAGCACCAUAACUGCUCCCCCCACACCUAAAUCCUACAUUGUCCUCAAUGGAGGUAAUAAAGUAAUGAAAGCGAAGAGAAUAAUGAAACUUCCCUGUUGAACAGCUAAGGGAUAGGAGGGAACAGUGGAGGGAAGCCGAGUUCUAAGACAUCCUUGCCACUUGGCGGGUGAUGUUCGUCAUUCGCUCAAAAGAGAUUAAAGCUGUGGACUUGAUCUUCUUCUUUGAACCAUCAAAAGAUUAUCAGCAUUUUGGAACUCAAAAUGAUUUUAAGCACUUUCUUUUUUCAUUCCUCUGGUUACCAAAUGACACCUUUCCUGGCCGAUGUACAUACUUAAUAAUUUGAUUUGUUGGCCGGUCAUAAUUGAAGCAGUACUGUAAGGUAACAUUCUGAUAAUUUUUCGCAGUCUGUUUUAUGAAGUAGAGUGGCAGGAAAUUUCUUUUACCAAAAAUGUUAACCCUUUGAAGAUGCCUCAACUCUCUGAUGAUCUCCAUUAGGAGCUAUGUUGGAGUAAAGCUCCUGCUAUGUUGGAGUAAAGCUCCUUAAAAGAGAAACAGAUUGUCAUCUGAAGCAUUUUAUUUUUAAUGGUUGAAGCUUUUGCAUUCUCCCAGACUUGUAUUAUCCCUUUGAGGACGUUACAACUUUGUGAUGAUCAUUAACCGUCUGAAGCUUGUUCAUUUUCAUCAUUGUACAUAUAAAGGACAAACCAACUCCCAAUAGAGGAGUUGGCCACCACUGUAUAUAGUGGGGUGGGAGGUCAAGGGUUCAAAUCUUGCCUCCCAUCAAUGUGCUUGAGUGUUCUAAAUUCAUACCGUCUGUUUACAUAACUUUUUAAAUAGAAUCAUAUAAUUAUUAGGGUAAAUUUCACUUUACCCCCUCAUGGUUUAACAUUUUUUUUACAUAUAAUUUCGACAUUUUUAGAAGUUCUAUUACGAGUAACUAUUUCCGUCACUUUGACACUUUAAUCCAAACCAUGAAGGGGUUAUGUAUAACUUUUGAAAUCAUAGGGGAGUUAUGUAAAAAUGCUAAAUUAUAGGGGGGUAAAAUGUAAUUUAUCCUAAUUAUUAUCACUUGAUUUCAAGAUACGAGACAAAUCAUGCUAUACAUAGUAUUAGGCUUUAAUGCCUUAAAUCUUAGCCGUGGACCAUUUAUAAGUUUCAAAAUUGUAAAUUUGUGUCACACUAGCACAGCUUGAAAUGGAAAUCAAAACCUUAAAGUACAUCCUUUUAGUAUAGAGGAAAAUAAGGUAGGCUAGGGGUAAAGAGUGGCAAGAGAUUCAUACCCUUUCCGUGCUAGUCUAGCAAAGAUGUAUAACGGUUUACUAUUUGUCUUCGUAUAAAACCAUAUAUAUAAUAAAAGAUUUUACCACUUGAUUUCAAAAAACGAGCAUAUACAAGUCGGUAAAUGUGAGACCUUUUUCUUUUUUGAUAGAAAAGAUCAUUUCAUUCAAACAAAUUUGUACUAAUGGUAGAAAAUACAUCAAAUAAACAUGACAUAGAUAUAUAUAUAUAUAUAUAUAUAUAUAUAUAUAUAUCUGAAAUCAAUAGAUAUAGCAGAUCUAAGAAAACAAUACAAAUAAAGAUAACAUUGAUGCUCCCAUAUAUCUUCUAUUCGGAUGAGUUAUUGUAGCUUAAUACAUCAGUGCAUGUUUGCUGAUAAUUAGAUCUGUUUAAAACUAAUUCAAGUCCAAAGAGAAAUUUAGAGAUGAUAAUAAUGGAGAAAUUGUAUAUAUGAGAAAGUAGAUUUUAGAUUUACAGAAUCUCAAAUUUUACAAAGAUAAAACCCUAAAAAACUCUUACAAUGAAAAAUCCAAAAGAAAAUAAAACUCUCACUAGGAGAUCCUAGGAGAGAAGAAUUAUCUCAUUAGAAAAUCCUAGGAAAGAAUUUAUUCAUAUAAGAAAAACUAAAAACUAUAAAAAGUACUUCCUCUCAUGGGGAAAGACCAAAUUUGGUCUCUCUUUCAUUGGAGAGAUGGAAAAAAUCUUGAUUGAAAGAGUUCUAGAGAGAAGGGAAAGAAAAGAGUUUGGGUGAGACUUUGAUGGCUUAGAUCUUACCCGUGAGAUUUUAGUUGUGGACUUCAAUUAGUGCUAGCGGCUUAUUUCUCGGUUUGCAUCUGCAAUUGUGCUAAGUUAACCUAAAUUAAGGAGUUGAUAGUAUGUAAUGUAAAUAAUUAGUUCCCACAAGAAAUGAUUCUACAAUCAACUAUGACCAGAAUUCGUAGCAAGCAAUAACAAAAUAUCGCAACGAGUAUGUAUCUAGAUUUACAUGCAACGAAAUCCUUGCUCCUGCCAAAGUUUGAAAAAAAAUAGAAUUUAAAUUCAAUGUGCUUGAUUGAAUGCAGCGGAAAUUCUUGGAACCGGAGCAUGGAAAAAUUGGCCGGAAAUAGAGGAAAUCACUUUGCAUGGAAAGGCCAAUAAUAAAAAAGUUCUGUCUUCCAUAAAGAAAUUCUUGGAACCGGAAUGGAGCUUAUAUCUAAGGCUCCAUCCCAAAACUUUUUGCAACUUCAAGUCUUCAAUAAUUCCACCAGUCACCGUUCUUUAUAGAGAAGCUUCAUCAAUUCUUGGACUGACCAGUGAAUUGUAAGUUUCAUAUUUCUUCAAUUUCUUCUCAUCUUUUAUAUAAAAGCUGUUCUGCUCUAAUUUUGGCUGAAACUAACAUGAAUAAAGGGACAAGAGAAAGAAAACGGAGGAACAAUCAAUUUUGAGCUUAAAAACAAUGCUCUAUGAGCAGCUUUGCUACGGAAUUUUGGUUUUUUAGGUCUAAUUCUUGGAUUAGUAUUUUGUGUCUUAGUAGACCUAAAUUUGUGUCCAGAGCUUGAAACUUUGUGUCGUCAGAUUGGCCUCCAUCCCUUUCAUCAUUGGCAGUGAUGAUACUGCAAAAUAAAUAAAUAAAUAAAUAAAUGACUUUUUCUGAGAGGAAAGCAAGCGAUGAUUGUCAGUGUAGAUGAGAAGAUCAACAGAGAAAGGGAGAGACUAACAGAUUGGAAGAACAAAGAGAGCAACAAAGAGACCGGACUUGAUUGAAGCCUUCUCCAUCUUGAAUCCAACAGUUGGCAAUGAUAUUAUUAAUCUGAGUUUUUUUAGUGCAUGAAACCUAAUCUAUUUUGAGUCAUUUUAUACAAGGAGGAUGAACGAAAACUGGGAACGGAUGGGAAGGUUAUUGUCUCACUUGGAAGGCAUGAUGCAGUGGCUCGAUUUCCAUUCACAACAUUGAUUGGUCUUCUUCCUUGUUUGAUCAUAUCCAAGGAUCUAUUUCCUGGGAAAACAAGGAAGCAGAUGGACCUUGACCCUCGUAUUGCUCGCUACUAGUUUUCAGAUUGAUUGCCUUGUUUGUACAUAUUCUUUACCCGAAUCAUCUGAUUUGCACGUUGUUCUUGCCCUGUAUGUAUGAUCAGCAUCUGCAUCAAAAUUCAUUUGUUCAUCCAAACUUGCAUAAUACUAACUCCUGAAUUAUAAUCAUUGAUUCAAUGCUUAGAGAUGCCAAUUUUUACAUAUUCAUCGAUAUAUUACUCGUCUGUCCUAUUGAAAGUGUCAUACUUUUCUUUUUAAUUUGUAUCAAAUCUAUUGUCACUUAUCCAAAAUGGAAAUGUAUUUCUCAUCCAAUUUCAAUCUUUGCACUUAUAUAUCCAAUGAAAGUUAUUUUAUUAGUAGAAAAAUGUGGGCCCAAACAUUUAACUCACUGGUUUUUUUUUUGGUAAUUCGUCAUUUAUUUACUCUACUACUACUCUAACUUAAUUCAGAGGAGGCUCAACUGAAUCUAUAGGAAAGAUCAUGAUGUUUGAAUCACCAUCGAACCAAAUAAAUGAUGUGAGCCCCAACAUAUACGAAUUUGAGGAAACAACCUACUGUGACGAAUGAUGACCAAAACUUUGAAGUCUUUGGCAGUCGCUGCCAGCCCAAGCUGCUGGUGGUUAUUUAACUCACUAGUAGUGAAUGAAAGAUUAAAACACUUAGUGUGUGACAUACACCAUCCAAUUUUGAGGAUGCCCAUGUACACAAAUAGGGAUGGCAACGGGUGCGGGUGCCUGCAGGGAUAAAAAUUGGGCGGGGGCAAAAUAUAUCCCCCGUCUUAAAAUGGGGCGGGGGACGGGGCAACAUACAUCCGCCCCAUUCCCGCCCCGUCCCCGCGUACAUUAAAAUAUAUAUAUAUAUAUAUACACAACAAUCCCAAAUUUUUCUUCGAGCUGUAGGUCAGGCCAUCCACCGUCGGCUCCUUUUUCUUCCUUUCUUCUUUGUGUGGGACUUGCAUCUAUCUUCUUCUAUUGGUUUAAAAAUAUACCUGCAAACCAGUCUGGGCAGUAGAUCACGGUUUCUUCUGGAUCACGGUUUCUUCUGAAUCUGAGUUCAACCCGUUGCCAUCAUCUCCUCCUCCCUUAGCUGCACGGCUGCUGUCCGCACUGCCUGGCAGCACAUCAGCACAUCGUUUCCACCACCAACGCAAACCUCCACUCUCGCAACAUAUCCAGAUCGUUGGUGUCUAGCCGCUCCAAGGCAGCGAUCUCGCCGGGAAGCUGGCCCUCAACAAUUGGAUCAAAAGCAACAAACUUUGAGACACAUAAACAGAGGUCACCAUAUUUCUUGACGGACUAUAUCUCACCUCCAGAGUUCAGAUCGACCGCAACUCACGCUCCUGCUCCCAGCCUGGGCACUACCGUCUCUGCUCCAUUAGCCACUGAUCUGGCAAGAGAGCCUCCGACGAGUAAAGGAAGCAUCGCAAACAAGUCUCCCCUUAACUACAAAGUGUCUGAAGGCACUUUGAUAGAUGAAGUCUUCCACUUCGAUUUCUUUCCCUGCGGGGGACUGCGGGGGACACAGGGCGGGGGCGAAGCGGGGGGUAGGGGGCAAAGGGCGGGGGAUGGGGGAAGUUAUUUAACAACGGGACGGGGGAAGGAUCCCCCACCCCAUUGCCACCCCUAUACACAUAUGGUCGAGUGACGUGUAAACUCUUGAGACAAACCAAACAAACGGACCUCACACGUGUUGACUUCCAAGACAUCUCUCCGCUAGUGAGUACGCUUCAUAAGAACAUAAUAAAAGGAAAAGUCUGAAGUAACGAUUGUUGCGGUAACGAAACUCUUUUUACCUGAUAUAACAGGUAAAAACACUUUUAGCGAUCAUUUAAUUACCUAUUGGACUGGUCACCUAAAUAAGAUAGUACCUAAAAAUUUGGUUAGUAAGUUUUACAUAAAGAAUAGUAAGUUAACUCGAUAAAUUAGUAACUUUUAUGUCUCAAAAAGUAAAUUAGAAUAAAUAUGCAUGGAGCUUACUUUUUUUUUUGAAAUAAAUUACUACUUUAUAUCCGAAACUUACUUUUUGGAGAGUAAGUUUAGUUCAAGUAAUAGUAAGUUUUUAUAGAUUAAUAAUAACUAUUGUUGAUAGAAUAGUAAAAUUGGUUAGUGGUCAAAACCUACUAGUUUGUGGUAUAAAUUUGCUAUUUUACUUAAAAAAACUAAUAUGUAACAAGUAUUAGGAAGUUUAUUUGAAAUAAUGCUGAGAUUUUUUAUUAAUGAUUGAAACUUAGUAUUUUAGUUAGUAAUUACUCGUAAUGUAAAUGUAUGAUACACAAUUGUAUGUAUCAUUUAUAAAUGUUAUAUGUUUUAAGCAUUUUAAAUAUACUAUGAAAACUUUUUUUUUUUGCACAUGACCUUAUAAAAUAUGUAAGAAUAAUUUUUCAUAUUAUAAAUUUUGAAUUAUUUUAGAAUUUGUGAAAGGUUAGAAAGUUUGGAUGACAAUAACAACAAAUCUUUCGAGUUAUAUAUAGAAUUGCACUUAUCUAUAUAUCACAAUUUCCAUAUAUUAAUACCUAUGAGUAUAAUAAAAUGAUAAAGGUUUAAUAAAUUUAUUUACUGGGUCACAAGUAUAAAAGUUAAAGUUGUAUUAUAAUAACAACAAAUUUUUCGAGUUGUAUAUAAAAUAGCACUUACUUAUACAUCACAAUUUUCAUAUAUUAAUGCCUAUGAAUUUAAUAAAAUGGUAAAAUUUUAAUAAAUUUAUUUUCUGGGUCACAAGUAUAAAAAUUAAAGUUGUAUUAAUGUAGCAUAAUCUUUGAAAAUUAUAGUCAAAUUACCCAUAUGUUAAGUUCCGUGACUUUCAAACAUACUUUGUAUCAUUUACAUUAUGGAUUUGUUUCUAUAUUUUUUCUAUCAAACUCUUUUUUUAUUGGCAAAUGGUAUGUAAAUUAUUAUAAAAUGUCAUUUUAUAAUAAUCAUAAUUUUUUAUAGAUGAAUGUUAUGUAAACUGUUAAAAUUAUCAAUUCACAAAUGACUAAAUCUUACUACUUUAUGGCAUAUAUUAGUCUAAUUGACUAAAAAAUUACUGUAAUCAUGUGUACGUUGAUUGUUGAAUUGAAAUUUCCUUUAUUACCAAUACAAGUCCUUCUAAUCAAAGCAAAAUAAAAUCAAAUAUCUUUUCUUUUUGUAUGUAGUAGUUAUGCUUAGUAGAAAAUUAUUAAACCAUUUUUACAAUACAUAAUUUCUCCUAAAAUUAGUAACAUUUUCCAUGACCUCUAAUCUUGUCAAUAAUACUAACCACCGACAUGUAGGUAAUCUUAAAAGCAAAGCCAUCAAUAUGACAAAAAAAUAAUAUUUUCGUACUGAACGAAAAAAAUUAUGAUUCUAUAUAGAAUUGAAGAAAUUCAUCAUGAAUGAGAAUGAAUUACAAAGUUAUCAUAUUUCUAAUUUCAUAUGCAUCCAGAAUUUCAUGCAGCAUUACUUUAGAGGAACUUUUCUUUUUCACACUAAGGAACCAAUCCCAAUCUCUACAUCUCUUUUAUUUUUUCUUUAACCAUUAGAUGUGGUCAAAGUUGUUAGCAGUAAAAUACUAAAUAAAUUUAAUUCCAUUUCAAGCUCUACUUAAUUGUAUACUAAUAUUUUACGCCACAAUUAAUUGAGCACCAAUUUCCUUUUUUUAAGUAGCUAUUAUUUAUUUUAUUGCUUAGGUUAAAUAUUUACAUAUAAAAUAAUAGCAAUAGAAUGCCAAUCCUCAGAUCAAUGGAACUUCAAUUAUUGUUAAUAAAACUAAUUUUGCAUUGAUAAUAAUUAGUCUACAGAAUGAAAAGUCAAUGGCAACAAUUGCAAAAAUAUAGCAAUUUUUAAUUAUGGGAAAAUAAACAACUAAGUUCCCAAAAUAUUUCACUUUUAUUGUUUAAAAAAUCUCAACUUGUUAACUAAAUUCAAAAUAAUUCUAUUGUCAAAAAUAUUUUUUCUCAAAUUAACUUUAAUGAUUAGAUGUGAGAUACAAAUAUGGUAAAAUUUCCCUCAUACGUAUGUCAUGGAUAUUUGAGACUUUUAGUAAAAAAAAAAAUUUGUUGUUAAAAUAGCAUUGUAUCAUAGUGUACUAAUUAUUUUAGGACCAUUUUAUACAUGGACUAAAUUUAAUUUAAAUUAUACAAUAGAUUAUAUAUGCAUGUGAUUCUCAUUUAUAAUUGUUGGAUCCCAUUUUUAUGAACAAUCUCCCAAAAAGUCCAAUCAUACUGAUUUUCUUAUAUUAAUUGUUAUACUAAUUUUGUCAUUUUUAUUGUUAUAUUAUUUCUCAUUUUGUUUGGGCUUUAACUCUUAUUAUUUCUUGUAUCCCAAAUGUAAAUUUAUUAAAACUUUAUCAUGUUAUUAUAUUCAUAGGUGUUAACUUAUAAAAAUUUUGAUAUAUAAACAAGUGAUAUUCUAUAUAUAACUAGGAAGAUUUGUUGUUAUUGUUAUCCAAACUUUCAAACUUUUAAAAAUUGAAAAUGAUUAAAAACUUAUAAUAUGAUAAAAUUUUAUUAUAUAUUUUACGAGAUUAUGUAAAAAGUCAAACUAUUUUUCAUAGUAUUUUAAAAUAUAUAAAUACAAAAUAUUUUUAAAUUAUACCUAUAAUCAUGUAUUAUAUAGGUAUAUUACGAGUACUUACUAACCAAGGUACUAAGCAUUAAUCAUUAAUAAAACAUCUUAUCGUUAUUUCAAAUAAAUUUCCUAAUACUAGUUUGAAAUAUGUUUUAAAGUAAAAUAGUAUAUGUGUCCCAUAAAUCAGUAAGUUUUGAUUAUUAAUCAAAUUUACUAUAUUAUCAGUAAGAAUUACUAUUUAUGUAUAAAAACUUACUAUUACUUGAAUUAAACUUACUCCCUAAAAAUUAAGUUUGGGAUAUAAAGUAGUAAUUUAUUUAUUUAAAAAGUUAGUUUAAUAUUUAUUCAAAUUUACCUUUUGAAGUAUAAAAGCUACUAAUUUAUUAAGGUUAACUUACUAUUUUAGAUGGGAAACUUACUUUCUUAUUUUUAAGUGUUAUCCUAUUUAGGUUGAUAGGUCCAUCAAGUAAUCAAAUGGUCGCUAAAAGUGCAACAACCUGUUAUAUCAGGUAAAAAACUGUUUCGUUACCAUAACUGUCGUUACUAAAGCAUUGUCCCAUAAUAAAAAAGUAAUGCAAAAUUGACCAAAUUAUCUUUACUAUUGAUAAAAAGCACUCCUCCCAAAAAGUAACCAUCUUUUUUUGGAACGGAUGGAGUAUAUUAUUAUGAUUGUGAAAGUCAUACUCUGCCAAAAAAGAAAAAAAAAAAUACUACUCUGGCUACAUGUUGGACAAUGCCUUUUUUAAUGAAACUGAUUUGUGGUGUAUGCAAGGCUGUUGCUGUUGAAGUAAAUGUGCUCUUUGUUUCGAAAUUGUGCUUCUGUUUUGUAGAAUCUCGAAUAGAGUUCCUAGGAUUUGAAUGUUCUUUGUUUCCAUUUUAGUGCUUAUUCAAAAUAAUUUUCUUUUGGUAAUUAUCGUCCACUUUUAAAUUCAGGACUCAAGCAGAGGUCAAUCACUUGUGUUUUUUUUAUUAGCAUUAGUUUUUCCAGCGUCAAUUGCAACUUGUUCUCUUGAACUAUUACUUGUUAUCAAUUUUACCCCCUAACAAUUUUCAGUUGCUACAUUUCACUAAAAUUACUAUGUAUACAACUCAAACCAAUUGAACAUCAGUGGAUAAUGGAUUCUUGUAAUUGGUGUGACAAAAUGACACUUCUGCUGUUUCACUUGUAAGCCACCACCAAAAUAAAAAGUCUCACGACAACAAAUCACUAAUUUCCAACUUUUCCUUUUUGUUUCCCUUACCCAAUUUGAAUGCUAGCUCAACAUCAGUAAAAGGUAUCAAUUGGCCUGAAUUGAUAUAAGGUUAAAACACCCACAAAGAAACUUUCACAGGUGAUUAUCCAUAAAAUUUAGGACAAAUUCCACUUUACCCCCCUGUGGUUUAGCAUUUUUUUUACAUAAUCCCCCUAUGAUUUCAAAAGCUAUACAUAACCCCCUUAUGGUUUGGAUUAAAGUGUCAAAGUAACGGAAAUAGUCACUCGUAACGGCAUCACCUAAAAUGUCAAAAAUACCCUUAUGUAAGGUUGAAAUUUAUGUAUUAACCAAAGGGGGUUGUGUGUAUAUUUUGAAAAUCAUAAGGGGGUUAUAUGGUAAAGUAUUAAACCAUAAGGGGGUUAUAUAGUAAAAUAUAAAAAUUAUAGGGGGUUAAUGUGUCAUGUAUUUAUAAGGGUAAUUUCGACAUUUUUAGAAGUUCCGUUACGAGUGACUAUUUCCGUUACUUUAGCACUUUAAUCCAAACCAUGAGGGGGUUAUGUAUAACUUUUGAAACCAUAGGGGGGUUAUGUAAAAAAAGGGUAAAUCACAGGGGGUAAAAUGUAAUUUAUCCUAAAAUUUAAGGCUUCAUUUGGAUUGAGAAAUUUGCAGAAUAAUUUGAAAUCCACUCAAAUUGCUCUAGUUGUUUGAAUUGCUUAAAAAAUAUUUAGGUUUGUAAUUCAUUAAUUAUUUAAUACAUUUUAAACACUAAAAUAAUUGAUGAUUUACAAAUCUACUUACCUUUUAAAUAACAUAAAUAGCUAGAGAGAUUUGAGAGGAUUUCAAAUCUUUCAUCAUGACAGAGUGUCGAAACCUGUGCAAUAAUAAAUCCUGCUCAAAUUAAAAGUAAUUUCUGUAGAUAGUGGUAAGUAGGGUCGAAUCCACAGGGACUGGAAGUAAUUGUUUCUUUUUAAGUUCACAGUAACAAAGGGGGUGUUUUUGUGCAGAAGGUGACAAUAAAAGAAGUUCAAAUAAAAUCUAAGAAACUACUAAAAAUUAAAUAACAAAUUACUAAAAUCAAAUGAGUGAUAAUUAAGGAUCUAGCCAAGGAAUAACUUCAGCAAUGGUUCACCUAAUUGAUCAUCGAUAAAAAACCAAUUACAAUUAUUUACCAAUAAAUAGGUUAUAACUGCCAAACAAGCGAUGACAAUCAACCCCUCUUUACUGUGUCGGUGAUUAAGGUACGCCCGUUAAUCACUGCUCUAAUUGAGAAAUAAUCCUAAGUACGCCCAUAGGAUUUAACUUCCCAAUUGCCUUACGUAUUAGAGGAGACCUAUUCUAACUAAAUAACGCACUAUCAGGGUUAUUUCAGAUUAGCCCGCGUAUCUCCCUGACACGAAUCCAAUCAUGCCAGUUAUCACUAUUUUGAGACAAUUAAACAAUUACGGAUUUAACGUCCCAAUUGACAAUAGACUAUCAAAUUAACUAAUUAUCCGGAUCCAAAACAAUCAAUUAAUUAAACAAUCAUAAGCACUGUAAUCAGGGAAUAUGCGAAUAUCAAUAAAUAAAAGCAAAAGAUAAAAUUAAAUCGAUCUCACAAUUUUUAGACAACCCAAAGCAUCCGUCGUUUCUUGACUAGAAUGGGAAAAUUAGUUCAUAUUGAAUGCUAAAAACCCACACGCAAUUGAAGAGAAAGCAGCUGUCAUCGUCCUUUGAGAUUUGGGCAAUUCAAAUCGUCCAAGUGUUGACUAGAUCGUAAGCCACAGGAAGUAAUUGAUAGCUUUUUCUUUGUCUGACAUACAAUGGGUAGAGAAGCUACCCAAAAUUCCUAAGAGAAGAAAAGUCAAAAUCCUAAGCUAAAACUAAAGAAACGGAAAAGAUAAGAGGACAAGCCAGAACCUCCUUCCUCUGCUAUUCUUUUGGUUUUUAUCCUCUGCCUCCUCCCCAGAUGUGCGGCGGCUCUUAGGAGAAAGAAACCCUCCGUCCGUCAUUCCUCUGCAGAAAUUACCGAAAUGGGCGUGACAUCUUUUUUUCCAAAAAUGCCCUUGGGGCAAGCUCUAUCAUUUGGGCUCUUUUUCUGCUAAAUUGGUACUUAUUAUCAUAAUUUCGUUCUACUCCCUGAAAUGAAUGCAAAAUACUAAAAAGAAAGUAAAAUAUAGCAAUUAAUCCAUAUCAGGUCAGGUAAUAAGAGAAAUUAAUAAUAAAAUAAAUGAUAAAAUUGCAACCUAUCAAUUCCCCCCAUACCUAAACCAUGCUUGUUCUCAAGCAUAAGAACAGUAAACAAACACCAAUAUUUGACAAUGGCUAUUGCUCCAUCUAUCUUAUUGCUAAGAUACCAAGAAAAACAUAUAUCAAGCAUCAGUGAUAAAGAUCCAAGAAACAUCACUUUGGUUAGUUUCUAAACCACAAACUCCUCUAAUUUUAGGUUAACUAAUCUAAGAAAAUGGAAUGAAGCACAACAUUUAUCAGCAAAUGGUCCAACUAUUAACCAACAUCUCAACACUAAAUUCAUAAAUCGGCAAGCUGACUUUUAUCACACACUAACACAACCUUCACUUUAUUUUUUUAUGUUUUCUAUCUUUUUCCUUUUUUUCUUUUUCUUUUUUUUCAAUAGUAACAAAAGACUUAAUCUCUGGCCAUUGAAGCUUUUUGACGCGAACUCCGACAUUUGUCAGAUGAAAGAGUCCGGUUAUUCAGCUCCUAUCGCCACGUGACCACACACUCAUAGCAAUUACUACUUUUUGACGCGAUAAUCGACACUUUUGGUGAAGAUCUCCAGUUACUCGGUAGUAAAUACUAGCAGAGUACAGUCAACUCUUAUUCACAGCCAAAUAACACCCAAAACUUCAAAAUAACACAAAAAAUCAAAAGAAAAUUUGCAUCAGCUAGCCUCAUUUUCAAAUAUGGAGAACUAAGGUUAAUAAUCGGACCAAUUCACAUGAAAAUGCCAACAGUCAUUCCCUACGCCUAGGAAAGUUAACCAAAAAUUAUAAGGGUAAAACAAUCAUCGAUAUUCAUCAAAGAAAUGUCCUUGGAUUCAACCACAUUAACUUGAUACAUUCUUUUAUUAUUAAAACUUGGCAAAAGUAGAAAUAGAGACAAUAAUCCAACAUCAAACUUGAGCUAAUCACUAAAAAGAAGAAAAAGAAAAUGAACGAAAGACACUAGCACCAUAACUGCUCCCCCCACACCUAAAUCCUACAUUGUCCUCAAUGGAGGUAAUAAAGUAAUGAAAGCGAAGAGAAUAAUGAAACUUCCCUGUUGAACAGCUAAGGGAUAGGAGGGAACAGUGGAGGGAAGCCGAGUUCUAAGACAUCCUUGCCACUUGGCGGGUGAUGUUCGUCAUUCGCUCANNNNNNNNNNNNNNNNNNNNNNNNNNNNNNNNNNNNNNNNNNNNNNNNNNNNNNNNNNNNNNNNNNNNNNNNNNNNNNNNNNNNNNNNNNNNNNNNNNNNNNNNNNNNNNNNNNNNNNNNNNNNNNNNNNNNNNNNNNNNNNNNNNNNNNNNNNNNNNNNNNNNNNNNNNNNNNNNNNNNNNNNNNNNNNNNNNNNNNNNNNNNNNNNNNNNNNNNNNNNNNNNNNNNNNNNNNNNNNNNNNNNNNNNNNNNNNNNNNNNNNNNNNNNNNNNNNNNNNNNNNNNNNNNNNNNNNNNNNNNNNNNNNNNNNNNNNNNNNNNNNNNNNNNNNNNNNNNNNNNNNNNNNNNNNNNNNNNNNNNNNNNNNNNNNNNNNNNNNNNNNNNNNNNNNNNNNNNNNNNNNNNNNNNNNNNNNNNNNNNNNNNNNNNNNNNNNNNNNNNNNNNNNNNNNNNNNNNNNNNNNNNNNNNNNNNNNNNNNNNNNNNNNNNNNNNNNNNNNNNNNNNNNNNNNNNNNNNNNNNNNNNNNNNNNNNNNNNNNNNNNNNNNNNNNNNNNNNNNNNNNNNNNNNNNNNNNNNNNNNNNNNNNNNNNNNNNNNNNNNNNNNNNNNNNNNNNNNNNNNNNNNNNNNNNNNNNNNNNNNNNNNNNNNNNNNNNNNNNNNNNNNNNNNNNNNNNNNNNNNNNNNNNNNNNNNNNNNNNNNNNNNNNNNNNNNNNNNNNNNNNNNNNNNNNNNNNNNNNNNNNNNNNNNNNNNNNNNNNNNNNNNNNNNNNNNNNNNNNNNNNNNNNNNNNNNNNNNNNNNNNNNNNNNNNNNNNNNNNNNNNNNNNNNNNNNNNNNNNNNNNNNNNNNNNNNNNNNNNNNNNNNNNNNNNNNNNNNNNNNNNNNNNNNNNNNNNNNNNNNNNNNNNNNNNNNNNNNNNNNNNNNNNNNNNNNNNNNNNNNNNNNNNNNNNNNNNNNNNNNNNNNNNNNNNNNNNNNNNNNNNNNNNNNNNNNNNNNNNNNUUAUAGAUUUAUGAUCAUUAUAAAAAAAAAAAAGGAAAAUCGUUCAAAACAUCUCUCAUAUUUUAUAAAAUGAUUUUUUCGUCCCUCACUUUUAAAAGUGUAUUUUUACGUCCGUUACAAAUUCACAUUGGUCAAAUUUGACCCCUACCUAAGUUUUCAACUAAUUUUUGGCAGGAAUUCAUCAAGGCAUAUGAUCAUGUUUUAAGGGUAAAAUUGUCAAAUUAAAAUUUACCUAAUUCGAUCUAUAAUCCCUUAUAUUUCACAAAAUGAAUUGUUUCGUCCCUCACAUUUCACAAAAUAAAAUUUUUAAUUCCUCAAAUUUCAGAAAAUAAAUUUUUUCAUCCCUCAUUGACCAUGUGUACAAAUAGUUUUUUUUUUAAAUCCAUGUAUAUAUCUAUUUGAUUUUACCUAAACAACACGAAUAGCAUGUAAUAUAUCUCUAUUUGAUUUCACCUAAACAGACUAAUUGUAAUUGUAUACAUGCUAUUCAAUAGAUAUAUACAUGAGUUUAAACUUAAUAAUAUUGGUUUAAACCCAUAUAUAUUUAUUUAUUUGAUUUCACCAUGUGAAUCUAUUCAAUAUUUAUAACCUUUCUCUUUUGGUAAUAAUUCAUUUAUUGAAUUGUGUAAUAAGGCCAUCUAAAAAUCGAUCCUAAUUCGAAUUCUAUAAUCAUACUAACAAAUUACAGUUUAAAUUUAAAAUUUUUACUCACUACCUUUAAGUUUUUGCCUUGUGAUUGUCGUAAAAUUUGAAAGUGUCAAUCACUUACUUUUUUUUGUCAUACUUUUCCUUUGUGUAUUUUUCUGUCCAUAUUUAAUUCACUAUAAACACUUGAUAAUGUUUAGGAUUAAAUGUCUUCUUUAUUUUCAAUUUUCGAGUAAAAGGAAAUGAACAUCAGUGAAAAACUAACAAUUUUUUUAAACACACACAUAUAUAUAUCUAUUUAAUUUCACUUAAACAGUACAUUCAAGCGAAAUCAAAUAGAUAUAUACAUGAGUUUAAAAAAAAUUAUUCGUACACAUGAUCAAUGAGGGAUGAAAUAAUUUAUUUUAUAAAAUUUGAGGAAUGAAAAAAUUCAUUUUAUAAAAUUUGAGGAAUGAAAAAAUUCAUUUUGUCAAAUGUGAGGGACGAAACAAUUCAUUUUAUAAAAUGUGAGAGAUAAAAAAAUUCAUUUUGUGAAAUGUAAGGAACUAUGGAUCAGAUUAUGUAAAUUUUGAUUUAACAAUUUUGUCCUUAAAAAAUGAUCACGUGCAAGGCAUGUGAUGACUUUCGACAAAAACUAGUCGAAAAUCUAGAUAAGGACAAAAUUUGAUCAAUAUAAAUUUAUAAAGGACGUAAAAGUAUACUUUUAAAAGUAAUAGACGAAAAAAAUCAUUUUACAAAAUGUAAGGGAAGUUUUAAACGAUUUUCCCUUAUAAAAAUUUAAAUUAUCUUAAAGAAUGUUUUUAAAAAAAAGAAUAUCUAUCAAGUUUUUGAUAUGAGAUACAUUAUUUGAUAUAUACUAUCAUAUUAAAGUGAAAGUAUGUAAUUAAAUUUUUAAAAUUUAGUAAAUAGUUAAACAUUUAGAGUACAUUAAUUUUUUAAAGUGAAUAUGAAUGGACAUGUAGGAUUGUUAUUAAUUUUCAUAUUUAUAUAAAUUCACAAAAAAAAAAAGACCCGUACUAAGUUACGGGUAAAAUUCUAGUGGUUCAUUAAGACGUUAUUUGUUGAAGCUCCUGACUUCUACCAGGGAACUCGGAAUGUGCAAUUGUGCGUCUACAAAAACACUCAAAUUAUUUUUCGAUUGGCAGUUUCUGCGCAACAAUAUUCUUUUGAAACAAAUUCUCCCAAAAAGAAGAGCGCAUAGCAGUAACUAAACAAAUCUGUUCCCUAAGCUUUUUCUUACGCUCGUAACAUUUGACAAUCGAUGCGUGUAACUCCAACAUUGUCCUUCAAAUCGAACCAUUCAGGCCGCAUUGCUUUUCUACUCUUGAGGGCUCGUGUUAAGAAAGUUAUACAGAAACGGGGCUUCACGAAUUUCAUUCGCACAAGGUGGUAUAAAUUAACAAUAUACUCUCAAUUUACACCAAAUUGCUUUCAACUUAUAUUAAAUGAUAGUAAUCAACUUAAAUACUAUAUCAAAUUGUACUUAAUUUAUACAAAAUAAUAACAAAUCAACAUACUUAUUUAAUAUGAACAAAUCAAGAUACUUAUUCAACCACCUAUUACCACCAUCGAUCAUUGCCACCACAUCUUUCCUCCUCCCUCAUCCUCUCUCCUUCCCUUCCCUCUCUUCCCUUCCCUUUCCUUUGUCCCCUCCCCUGCUUCGCAGUCCUUCCUCUCUCUUCUUCUUGGUCUAGUCGUGGCCUACCCUUCCCCUUGGUCUAGUCGCAGCCCACCAUACUAGGGGACAAAGGAAAGGAAGGGAAGAGAAGGGAAGAGAGAGGAGAGAGGAUGCGGGAGAGAGGAGUUGCAGCAGUGACAAUAAAUGUGGAGGAGAGAGGAGAGAGAAGAGGAGAAAUGGUAGCGACGGAAGAUGGUAGUGUGGGUGGCUGGUGAUAAUGAGAGAAGAAGAAAAAGGUGAUAGAAUUUGUUAUUUUUCUUUUAUUUUAUUUUUUUAAGUUGUAUUUGAGAUUUUAGAGUUAUUUUUUAAGUUGUUUUUUGAAAUUUGGUAUUGUGUGUCAUAAAUAAAUAACACUGUAGGGAAAAAAUAGUUAAUAAGUUUUAAAGAAUAAACUCUUUAGUUUGGGCCAGAAUGUUUCCGAGCCCAAAUCCCAACAAAAAAAAAAUCUUAGCUUGAGUCAGGUUUAUCCAACUGAAAUGGAUCACGACCAAGCCUGAUUAAUAUUUAUAGUUUGGGCCAAGACUUGGGUUUCCAAAAGGACCCAAUUGAAACGCUACAUACUAUAAUUUGCAUGCACAACAAGAACUUGCAAGGCCAUUAAAAAGACAAAUGGUUAGAAGUGUGAUUGUUUUCUUCAUUUGAGAACACAAAACGAAGAUUUGUCAUGGUUAUUGUAUGAAUCUCCUCAUUUCCCCAUUUCCACUUUCCGCUUCUUUAUCACAGUAUUCCAUCCCUUCCAAGCAGGACAAUAAAUCGGAUCAAUCACCUUGAUACUCGACUCGAAUCAAACUCGUUCAAACUUGUUUAUUUAGGUAUCAAUCCAAAUUCGAACAUAAUUUUAAACUCGAAAAUAUUAACAAACAAAUUACGAUCUUCAUAUUGUUCAACUCUAUAUAUUCAGGAACAUAUAAUAUAAGUAAAUUUCAUAAAAAUAUAUCUAAAAUUUCCUUUCUUAACUUCACUUCUUUCCUUCCUUAUAUUGCUUAUCUUAUAAAAUAACAAGCAUAUAAUACUUAUAUCUCUUGAAUAGACAUAAUUGAUUUUAAUCACAUCCAUAAUUUAUCAUAAUAGAUUUCUUGAAUAGGUAUAAUUGACUUUAAUCACAUCCCUAAUUCAUCGUAAUAGAUUUCUUGAAUAUCAUAGGGCAAAAAUUAAGGGAAAAAAAGCAAUAAAUUAGGGUGAACAUCUUUAUUUAAUACAACAUAAAAUUUCAAGUCAAGCUAAAUCAAGCUUUGAUUGUAUGUGCUUGACUUCGAUACUAAGAUAAGCCAAGCCAAACUUUUUAUGGACAUACAUUAGAAAUUUCAAGCCAAACUUGAUCAAUUUCUUUCAAAAAAUUAUCAAAUACAAGACAAGUUCAAAGAUUACUUUUAAUCUUCAAACCAAUUUUGAACAUGCUUCUGUCCAACUCAAUGACACUUGUUUUCAGCCCUAUUCUCCAACUAUAUAUACACACACACACAUCCUAUAUCUAUAUAUACACACACACACAGACCUAUACAUAUAUAUAUAUACACAUACGUCGAUCAACUGACUCUUUAAUUGAUUUAUACAUUACAAACCAGGAAACAGUUCACAUGCCGAUCUCAAUUGUGAUACUAUUAUUCUCAAAUUAAUCCAUUUAAAUGGGAAAAAAAGACAAAAUGGAAAACCAAAUAUCUUCACUUAUCACAAUGCAACAGUUAUAUUCUUUUGUUCUUGAUGUUGGUUCUAGGUCAAAAUAAUUAUAUAGGUAACAAUAAUUUCUCUAAUAAAAUUUAACAAAGAAAUUAACAAAAAUCUCAUACCUCAAUAUUGCAUUAAAAAAUGCAAAUAAUUUGAACCAUAAAAAGUUAAUUUGGUGUGGGUUGAGGCGUGGACUAGGUCGCUCUCUUUAACACGAUUCGUACCCCUACGAAAUAUCCUCCGGUGUAGUAGGUUUCAGCACGUCACCUCUAGGAUACAAUAGCCCAACCUAUCUCACUGUAGUUUACUCCAAUCUACACUAUUGGAAUAAGACGGAAAACCUUACAUAACACUGUUCUUUGCCCUAUAAACUCUUAUAGUAGUGAGAUGAAGAAAAAUAGAAGAUAAUCUAGAAACAGCAAAGUACGUGUAAGACUCGGUGGAUAGAAAUCUCUAUUUUUAGACUAAGCAUUAGGAGUAUUAAAAUACUAACAUUAAGAGGAAUAAGUACCUCAUAUUUUCAGCUACAAAUUGAAAAGGCAUAGGUGUGACGACCCCACCUCCCCCUAAGGCGUACCAAAGGGUUCGGCGGACCGUCUGCCCAGCUCUCGCCAGGACUCACUCACUAUGAAACUCGAAUCAUGUACACACAUCCAUGAACCAUAAAUAACAUCCACAAUUCAAGCUUAUAAUUUACAUUGAUACAAAUCAAGGUAACAAGUCUCAUAUACCAAACUAGUUCAAAUCGUAUACAAUCCAAGUACAAAAUGUUUCAUUCGAGGAAUAGCGCGAGUACAAGCCCAAAAGUCAAAGAUAAAAAACAAAAGGUUACGUUAGUCUUUUCAAGUCUCACGUCUCGCUCGUACCCCUGUAAGGAAAACAAAACUAACGGGGGUGAGCCAACGCUCAGUGAAGUUCCAGAUAUCAAAUUGGCCAGCAACCAAGUGAUAGCAAAAUAAUAGUGAAACAGCGAGCAAACAAGUUAAAUCAGAGAAAUAGCAUUUGAGCUAGUCUAGCAACAUCGAGUUCACAUUCACAUGUAAGGAUACAGUAAUUCAAGUCUCGACUCCAUUCCAGCUUGAUCAAUCGGUAGUUGACACUCCGUCAACUUUCAAGUAAUAACUAGUCCAAACAAAACUCCACUACACGCCCGUCUCCAUCCACCGAUCAACCCCCUUUCCCGGGCCCGUACGCCACACGAAACAUGGGUGGUAAUAUUCGAGCAUACCGUCUAGUCGAGAAGAUAGCACUCCACUUGACAUUACUAGUGACCCAGGGUUUGUUAUCUAAUCGACCAGGCCCUUGCCGGCUCGACUCGAUUAACUAGCCACAGGGUUUCUGGAAUUCCAGGCAAGACAUAUCUCAGGUACAUGUAGAGCAAGUCAAGUGUAAUCAAUAGCAAGAACAAGUCAUAUUAGGGCAAGUGCGGUAAAGUACACCCUUGCCCUAUGAUUCCUUUUCAUGUAAUCAUACAAGUCAAGUAAGGAACACAUGUAUCAAGUACAAUCGGAUAUUUGGAAGCACUCACCAAAAUAUAGUGCUUCAAGUAUUCACGUUCACUUAUACUCCAGGCUUGGAGUCCAGAUCUGCGAUAAAAAUUCAGUUUGAGAACUUUGAAACACGAGUAGGAUUCAAAACUUAAACGUUCCGUUCAUAAGAAUUGACCAAUUGAAAUUCAUUUGGAAGACAUUCGUGAAACACUUGCUCGCUUUUCAAAUCGUAAGAUUUUGUAGCAUAUAUACUUGGAAAUAACACUUGAGUUGGAAGUACAAGGAAAUACAAGUUUACAUUGGCCAUUAUGUCUUUUCCUCAAAGUACAAGUUCGGUUAGGUUUUAACGUAUAACCCUCAAUUCAAGAUAGCCAAAAUCCUAAAUGGCUCAAGUACUAUUCAUCUCAACUUGACCCAAGUUGCAAAUGUAUUUUUAUAGUCCUUGAACGUAAAUUUGGGCAGCAUGCCCUUUGUGUUUACCUAAUUUCCAGCCAUUUAGGCUUCAAUCCUUACUCAAUCCAACCCAACGUCAUCCAUAACAUAAUUUUAGUUCAUUAGCCAUUCCAUAGGCUCAAAACAACAUAAGAACAAAAAUCAAAGUGAUAACAAGUGCGGAAAGGCAAUCCAGCAAAAGACAGAUUUGCCGGGUUUUUGCGGAACGGCCACAUCCGAAGGUACACUUGUCGGAUUGAGGCGCAAAUUAUACCAAUUCGAAGCUAAGACAAAAGCCUACAGUUUUCAUGAAGAGCACUCAGUCAAAUUUUCAGUGUAACCUGAUCAAUUUCCCAACUCACAUAACCUGGUUUCAACUAUUCGGCUAAUCAACCGCACUGCACUCAAAUGACCAUAUCUCAGUCUACUGAGGUCUGUUUAAGACGUUCUUGGUGGCGUUACAAAGCUAAGACAGGGUACUGAAACUUUCAUGUUUUAACAAAUGAUUAAAUACGAACGAAUUAUAGUGAAUAAACUCAACAAAAGAGACUAAACUGUCCACGCGGAACUCUGGAAAGUGACCUAGAUCAGCAAGGGUAUUUUCAUCUUUUCACAAGCUAAGUUGCUCCGAUUGAGUUGAAAUUUUGUAGGAAGCUAUAAAAUACCAUUAUCUACAACUUUCAUGUUUUAAACUAAGGCCAAUUCGGCCUCUAACAUGGAGCAACAAAACCGGGCAGAAAGGGGGGAAAUUUUCCAGAAAUCUGGAAUUUGUUGAUUUCAAUGCAACCUUUCUUGAUUUCUUACUUCCAAUACUACCAAAGCCCCUUAUAUAAUGUUAUAUACAACAUAUAUUAAUCAUACAUCAAGUUUGGCAGCAAUUCCCCCAAACCCUAACUCAUAUGUCCACAAGAAAAACAACCCCCAAGACAUGCUACAACCGUUAUUCAUCACAAACUUCAGUUACUAAGCUAAUUUACACAAGAUUGAAAGUAAGAAUUAGAGAAAUCAUCAUCCUUGCCUUGAUUAGUAUCCACCAAGUGAAACCCUAGCUUUCCCUUUCAAAAUCUCACCAACACUUCACUAACUAAACACUCAAAGGUGAGUUUAAUCGGUUUAUUUUCUUUGUUUCCUCCCUUGGUUGCUAGAUUCAAGAAGAAAUGAAGAAGUUUUUCUCUUGUUCUUUCCCUCUCUCUCUCUCUCUCUCUCUCGGCUCUUCAGCAGAAAAAUGAAGGAGUAUGGAGCAAUUUGGGGGAUAAGAAGGUUGGACAAUUGUCUUGGUCAAUGGCCCCUAAUGGUGUGACACUUGUCACAUCCCUUACCAAGUAAAAUUUUCUUUUUCUCUCUUGUAUUUUCAGCCUUUAAUUUCGGUCAAGCUUAGCUGGAAAUUAGGAGAUAUUUUGCUCAAAUAUUAAUGAGCUUGUAUGGUAAGAAAGUGGUGGUCAAGUGGUGUGUUCAAUCGGUAGUGCGCGGGACCCGCCGGUUCGCGCCGUUUUUCUUAAAAACACACAUACUAGGGUUUUUACUUCCUAUUCACCAACCUUAUCUCAUUGCUCCUAAUCAUAUUUUAUUUCUCACUUAAAAGUCACUUUUAAUCACCAAAUUUGAUCCUUGCUUCGUUCCGAAAAUUCAUCCGGCGAAAAAUCGCGAAAACCCUAAUUUUGCUCCAACCCCGAAACCGAAGAGUGAAACCCUACUUUCUAGGUUUAUUUACACUUAUUGUGGUAGGAUUGGGUAGGAGGGCUUGAAUAAAUAUUAAUUUCAAAUAAAAGGCAUUUUUGAGGAAAAAUAUAAGAAAUUUGCGAAUCCUCACAAUAGGUACAUUGUAUCACUAAAUGAAUUCAUAAAACUAAUCAUCACAUAGGUUACACACUUCAAGCUAUAAGUUACACUUUUCAAUGAUUGAAUUUGUAGCUGAAAUUUCAUUAAAGAAUUUGUAAUUUAUUGUGUUUGAAUUUCAAAUAAACAUGUGACAUUUUUAAUUAAAAUAUCUAACAAUCCCCCACUUAUUUAAUAAAAAAUAAUAUAGUAUUCAAUACUAAACACUUAAUAGGGCAAAGAUUAAAAGUUCAUGCAUAAUAAAGGUGGCAGUGUCUUUAAACCUUCACUUAGCAUUCAACAAUUCCCGUACUAAAGUGAAGGUGGAUUUAGCCUUUAAAUGAUGAUAACUUGAGGGCACGUGGAAUCAUAUCACAUACAUGAACCUUUCAAUGUUCUAAAACAGGUUUCAUAAGCAAACACAUUUAUGGCCUUGUGCUUUAUUCUAGUUUUCAUGACAGCCCUAGAGAACUAAUCCAAAUUCUCGUAGGAAACGACCCCACGUCCACAAUUAUAUAGGUGAAUCUAUCAAGAAUGCUCCCACGAUUUAGACAUCCUACCCAUAAGGGCUACCCAUAAGGACUUGAAAUUCUCAACCUCACUUAUCGUGAUUCCAUCACUAAUGCACUUAUGCCAUAGAGAUAGACAAUUUAAUCAAAAUAAUGUAUAUUAAUCAAUCAAACCACUCUAUGAUUCGUUUGUCUCCAACCUAGUUCUUGGGAUCUCCAGUCCCUAAGCAAUUGUAUUCUCGUAGACGAUUUUUAAUAUAUAUUGGGCCUUUGUCGUAUCCCCUUCAAUGUAUAUCAUAUCUUUGACUUAAAUUUGGUAUUUAUCUUUUACAGAAAUAAAAUAGCAAACAUAUGAUGUUCUCGAAAUUUUCCAAAUAAUCUCUCUUAGUGGGCCAAAUAUAUUGAAUCAAUUUCUAGUGAGAAAAUUUUUCAUCUAUUUAUAUUUGCCAAAUAGUAUAGGCAUAUAUUUGUUCAUAUUCAACUUUUUCACUUUUUUCUCAAUGGCUAGUAGUCUAGUAGCGCACUAGAAGCCCUUCUCAAAAAACUCCAUGGUUAUUUUUGCUUUUGCAAAAAUGCCAAGAAAAUAAUUCAAAUACCUUCACAUCAGGUCAUACUUUUCAGUGAGUGCUAGUCUACAUAACUCAAAAAAAGAGUGAAAAUAAAUCCAAAAAAUCAUAAUAAUGUUAUACUCAUAAAUUGAGCAAAUAAAAUGAUAUCUCAUUAUUUUUUCAUCACUUCCACUAUCACGGUGUUUUAUUUCAAAAAUACAUUUAUCAAGAGUUGCACGAGACAUCAAAAUGGUAGCAAAUUUGAAAAUAUAUUAAAAUCCUUCACCUUCCAAUAGAGGAGUAGUGAUGCAUACUAUCACUUCAUAAUGCUCCAAUUCCGACUUUUCCUUUUCAUCAAUACAUGCCAACAAAUAAUACUAAUUUAAGGAAGCCAUUACUGUAUGCAAAAAAUAACUUGAGAUAGUCACUUGACAAAACUAUUGCUUAUAGCAAUUAAGAACAAAUUUCAUAGUAGCCAUAGAGAUUUACUUACCCCCACUAUUUAUCAUAUUUCUAUAGGAUGUGAUGCGAUUUUGAGAUACAAAGAUAUUUGUUCUAAGAUUACUGCCACAUAGAAUGACUUAAGUACUCAAUGGCUUAUUGCCAUUAUCAAUCACUAGAUCUAUUGACAGUUAUCCAAAGCUAAUAAUCUGUACCAGUUAUCACCAACAAGCAACUAUGAUACUCGACUAUGAAAUUUUAAAACCAGAGACGUGGCAUCUCAAAGGAGUGAGAAAAAUUAGGUCUAGGUACAAAAUAUGUCAAUAAUCGAAAUUGUAGAGAAAGACAUUUUUCAUAAGCUAAGAUAAUUGACAAUUUCAAAUUUUGUACAAAGUAGCAUGUUUAGUUUCUCAAAUUUGUUCUUAUAUUGCCACAAUAUCUAGCCUCUAAUUUUUCAGGUUACUCACACACUAAUAAGCAAUAAAAACUUAGCUAAGACUCACUAAUGCACCUGAGUCUAAAGGAAACCACAAAUCCAAUGAUUUUUCCUUAAUCACGCUAGUCAAGAUUAAGCAAAAAUUUCUUUUGCAAUAAGAGGCUAAUUGUCUUAAAAUUGUUGGUUUUAGAUCAAAAUAAUCAUAUAAAUAACAAUAAUUUCUCUAAUAAAAUUUAACAAAUAAAUUAACAAAAAUCUCAUACCUCAAUAUUGCAUUAAAAAAUGCAAAUAAUAUGUACCAUAAAAAGUUAAUUUGGCGUGGGUUGAAACACAAAAUAGGUCACUUUCUUUAAGAUGAUUCGCACCUCUACGAAAUAUCCUUUGGUGUAGUAAGUCUCAAUGUGUCGCCUCUAAAAUAAAAUAACCCAAUCUAUCUCACUAGUCUACUCCAAUUUACAUUGUUGAAGUAAGACAGAAACUUUACAUAACACCGUCUUUGCCCUAUAAACUCUUAUAGUAGUGAGAGAAAGUAAAAUAGAAGAUAGUCUAGAAAUAGCAAAAUAUGUGUAAGACUCAGUAGAUAGAAACCUCCAUUUAUAGGCAGAGAAAUUGGGAGUAUUAAAAUACUAAUAUUAAGAGAAAUUAACGCCUCAUAUUUUCAACUACAAAUUGAAAAGUUCUAGGUUCAUUGUAUAACGAUAAAAAUUCACUAAAUGAAUUCAUAAAACUAAUUAUUACUUAGGUUACACAAUUCAAGACAUAAAUCUAAGUCUCAUUUUAAAGACAUAUGUUACACUUUUGAAUAUAGUUAUUAAACCCAACCUGUUAUAUUUAUUCCUUCAAAAUAACUAAUUUUCUGAAAAUUUUAAAGGAUAAAAAUCUAAAAGCAUCAUAUUCACGUGCAAAGCACGUGCUCCAUGACUAGUUAGAAGAAAAGGGCAUUAGGCAUCACUGAAAACUUAGACAGAAAUUUGCUUACACUCUCAUCUACUAAGACUCGCUGUACUAUGAUAGGGGGUACAAAUAGAUAGAUAUAUAUAGAUACGAGAGAAAGAAGAAAUCAUUUGCAUAUUCCAAAAAAACUAUCAAUGAUUAUGCUGAUAUGAAGGAGAAGAAAGGUAUGACACCAAAAGGUAUGAUCAUUUUUCAGUGACCCCCAAAAUGACAAGAAAAAUAUAAACUUAAAGACAUAGAAAAGAAAUUAUGUUUUAAUUUUUACCAAAAUAUGCUUCUCGAGCUUUAGUUGCAUCAUACAGAAGACUCAUUGCUGCAGAAGACUUGUCCAGCUGUGAUCUGCAGUUGAAGGAAUUAACAAAUCAAUAAUGCAAAACGUAGAAAGCAUAAACAUGUUCAUCAUGACUAGCAACAUCCCAUUUGGAGAAUUUCACAUCGAGAACUGAUGAAGAAGUUCUGAUACUAACAAACCAAAAUUAGAUAUAUUCAUAUCCAAAAGGAAAAAGAUCGAAAAGUUGAAAAAAUAGAACAAAAGAAAAUAUGGAAACAAAUUGGAGACGGCGAAAAGGAGAGAUUUUUUUUGUGGAAACCCAACAAAAGAAUUACAAGUGAUUUGAAGGUUGAGAAUCUUACAAGGUAAAUACUGAACAGUCAUCUGACCAACAAAGAUAUGAGGUAUAUGGUUAAUCUUAGACCACUCAGAGUCAGGGCCGCUUUGAGGAGUACAUAGUUCCUCCAACAAGGGACAGUGUUUGAUGCACAAUUCACUUAACUUAGUGAGGCGUCUCAUAGCAGCCAUGGAGGGUAAAGUUCGAAGUUUAGCACAAUUCACUACUUCUAGUUCUUCAAGAUGAACAAGGUUCCCCAACCAUUCUGGUAAAGCUUCUAUUCCAAAGCCAAAUAGAUGUAAUUCUAUCAGGGCAGUCAGAUUUUGAAGUUGAUUUGGCAGGGACUCAGAGCGAGGCCACCCCUGUAAUGUCAGUUUUCGGACAGGAAAAAAAGAACAUAAAGCUAACCAAUCAUAUCCAUAGUUCUCCAUUGAAGUAUCUGAGAAGGGACCAAUACAUAAUUCCCUUAAGCUGGUAAGACCACCAAAUCCUUGGGGCAUAGUGGUUAACUUGGGACAGUUACUUAGCCAUAACACUGAAAGAGAAGGCAUCUGUUGCAAAUCAACUGGAAACCACACAAGAUUGUGGCAUUCGUACAGUCUGAGUUCCCGGAGAGAUGUAUUGAGCUCUAAAAUUUCACUUGGAAGACUUCUCAAGCCAUUGCAUUGACCAAUUGUCAAACUUCGAAGAGAUUUGAGAUGUUGCUGGUCAUUUGGAACUAUAAGAUCGAUAGUCUUGAGAUUAGGACACCUUACUACUGACAAGUGUUCCAAAGAAAGCAACUUAUGCAAGUCACCUAGAUGCAGUAAAUGAGGACAGCUCUCUAAUGACAGGUAUUUUAAAUUUUGGCUGUUGUGAACUGCUAACACAUCAGAAACGCAUGUGAGUCCUGCCUGGCCUCCUAUACUGAGUGUUGAGAGAGUGGUCGCUUUGCUCAAAAUAUCUUUUAACACCAAAGCAUGGCUUUUAUUCGGUGUUUUCAACUGAUAAUACAAACCAUCACGAUAAUUUUCAAUUACCAAUUGUCUAAGGCAUGGGAAAUAAUUUGGAGCUCUGUUUAGUUUACAGCAAUUCUGUAUCUUCAAUGUCUCCAGCAUGGGGAACACAUCUAAUACUUCACCUUCUGUUGCUUCUGCCUCCAUCCACUCAACGAGAUUGUUCAUAUUGUAGAGGUAGAGACAUUUAAGAUGUGGAAACACCUUUCUAGACAAUUGACUAGAACUACGAGAGCUUCUGGAUCCACUUGGAUUGCAUAAGCCAUAGAAUGAAUGCCCAAUGACUGUUACCUUUUCCAGUCCAAUCAUGGCCAGAGACUGGAGAAAUGGCAGUUGUCCAAGUGCAGGAAGCUCUGUGCAUCUUCUGCAGUUUAUUAGCCGUAGACAUACCAAUUUGUCGAGACUUGUUGACAGAUUCAUCAACCACAGUGGAAAUCGAUUACUCAUGAAAUUUUCAACUUCUAAUACUUGCAGAUUGGGGUGAGGUUGGAGGCCAUCCAACACAUUUAUAUCAGCACCGUCAACUUCCCAUCUACCACCCCAUUCAAGUGAUAGCGAAGACAAAUUCUGCUUUUCGAACAAUUUUGCCCUUUCAGCUGCUUCUUUGCCUUCUACUAGUUCAAGAUUGCGGAUCCUCAGGAAACCUUUCAGGUCUCUUAAGCAUCCAAGCUCUUCAAUUUGGCGUCCUUUCUCUUCACCAACAUUGAAGAAGUCCAGCGUUUGAAGACAAGUUAAUCUCCCCAUCCCUAGCGGCAUCUGCACUUUUCUAUCAUUAUUGUAAUAGGAUAGAUGUCUCAAGCUAAUCAACUUGCUCAUCUGCUCUGGAAGGUCCAUUGGAGAAAUGCAAUUGAACUUCAGAGUCUGCAAAUUAUAAAGCUUGCAAAGAGAUUCUGGCAAAGUUUUUAUUUGAGUGUGUGGAAACUCAAGAUAGCGCAGAUGGAUUAGUUUACCAAUUGAUGUUGGCAACUCCACAGUAUUUGCUGAAGACAAGUCUAGAACACGCAAGUUCUUCAACUUUGGUACUAGGUCCUCCGAUAUAGGACUCCUUGGAAAUAAUGAACGAAGUGAACUAGAUAUGACUUCAGAGUUUUUUGGUGUAAUUUCUCCAGAUGAGUUUAAAACAAUGCUUUCACAUCUCGAAAUAGAUUGUGCAAGGUCAUGUACGAGAUCAUGCAUUCGACCAAAUGUCCGCUUAUCACUGCUAAUUUCUUCAUGCAACAAGGAACUGUCCACCAAAACUCUGAAAUACUUAUCACCUAUUUCCUCCAUUACUUCAUUUUCAAGAUUUGAUUGAAGAAAUCCCUCUGCCAUCCAAAGUUGGAUUAACUUCCUCCUUUCUAUCUUGAAAUCCUUGCAAAACAUCGAGCAGUAUGCAAAGCAUUUUUUAAUGGAUAGAGAUGGCAAAUGAUCAAAGCUCAGCUUGAGUAUUUGCAUGACACUACAGUCAUCUCCAGUAGACUUCAAAAGCCCAUUCUUCACAAUUGAGAGCCACUCCUCCUUCCUUGUCAUACGCAACAUACCUCCAAUAACAAUUGCAACAAGUGGUAGACCUUGGCACCAUUUUGUGAUUUCCUUUUCUUGUACUUGCAAUUCUUCUGGUACUUCCCCACUUCCUAUCAUUUUGUCUUUUAUUAUAGUCCAGCAAUCAUCAUCAGAUAGCUUCCCUAAUGAAUAGGGAGGAUAUGUAGCCACAACGGUUGCCACUUGUAGCUGACGAGUAGUCACAAGACACCAGUUUCCUCUGGUCGUGCUUAUUCCAGUCAAAGAACGAUAAAAAUCCGUCCAGAGUAAAGGAAUUUCAUUCCAAAGAUCAUCCAAUACAAGAAGAUAUCGUUUGCCCUCGAUUUCUUUUCGAAUCUCUUGGACAAUAACGUCUCUACUAGCUACAUCAACUUUGCGUCUUGUCAACGAUUCCAAGAUUAGUCUGAAUAUCCUAGUGACCUCAAAAUCUUCAGAUACACAAACCCAAAUCUUUAAAUCGAAAUGCCUCUCGAUUUGCUGGUCGUUGAAAAUUGACUGAGCCAGAGUUGUUUUUCCCAAACCACCCAUUCCAGUUAUGGGCAAAACAUAAAUAACAUUGCUGGUCUCACUCGAAAUCUUCUGCACUAUUUUGAACUUAUCAUGCUCUCUACCCACAAUAUUAGGAAAAACAACGGAGUCAGUCUCACGAUUGACCAUCACAGUUCUACUAAUGUCGGGAAGCAGAGUAGCUUUUGUACCACUACCCCCCAAUUGGGACUUGAGUCCAAAGCUAUUCGCUUCUUCAUUAAUAAUGUUCAACUUCUUGUUCAAAUCCCUUAUCUUUUGACCCAUUUUCCAACGAAAACCAAUUGAGUUAGAAUGGAAAAGAGAGCGUACCUUUCCUUUCAGUUGGUUACCAUUUCUCUUUCCGGUCUCUACCUGUUGUCUUAGAACAUCAUAGUUGAGCUCAUCCAACACGUUAUCAGCUUCAUAAGCCAGUCCUUCAAGUCUCUUCAGCCAAAGCUGCACUGCCUGCUGCUUCGGCUGCUCUUCCUCAGCAUCAGCCAAGACAGCUAGGAUCAUCUCCACAGAUGCUUUGAACUUCACCAGAUCCUCCUUGAAUCCAUAAACCACGCCAAUCUGGUCACUAGCAAUGCCAACUGCCUUCUCUAACGUAAUCCUUAUGGUAGCACCAACAAGAGCAUCAGCCAUUCUUGAUUUCUCGAUCACACUACAGUUUUCUUUUUGUGUUUUUGGGAAAAGGGUUCGUGAGUUAUGUUCUUGAAGAGAUGUCAAUGGGGGGCUAGAAUCGCUGCCUUAAGGUUAAGGUUCAAUUUUGUAUGACUGUUGACGCGGAAUGCAUUAUAGUGUAAAUUAAACAAAGACUUUGCCAGUCAUGUAAGUGUGAAAGCAUUUUUUUUUAAUGGGUAUUGAAACUUGAAAGAAACUGCAUUAAGAAGAAAAUUAAUAUAAUCAAGGGAUUAUUUUUAAUACACUGUUUGUGUAAAUAUUUUUUUUACACACAAGCAGAUUUAAAUGAAUGUCGCAUUAUCACUGUUCAAAUUUUAAAUUUACUUUUUGUCCAUGUGUCAUAUAUCUAUAUCUGUUAAUGUAAAAAAAUUUUAGGCCAUGCUUGGAUUGCUUGUUUCCGUCGGAAAAUAUUGUUAUUUUUCGUGAUCACAUUUCUCUAUCACUUUUUUCUCUUACAUAUAUCAAAUCGCUACAGUAAUUUUUCCAUGAAAAAUGACGGAAAAUGCAAUCCAAACACAACCUUACAUUAACAGUGUGUAUAACAUUAAUCCAAAUAAUCAACAUUACGUAUACUAUUUAUGCAUUUCUUGAUUCUACGUGUUUUGGUACAACUUCUUCUUCUUUUACCUCUUUUGGUGAGAAAUGUUUCUGCCAUAUUUUGGUUCUCUUUUGUUAAUCAAAGGAUAAGAAUUGACGAGAAAGUAUUGACUUUAAAUAGAUUAUGAAUCUCUUUCUAUAGGACAAUUGUUGAUGAUUUAUGUACAUACAUUACACUUAAAAGUUCUAUUAACACGUUUCCUUUAGUUCAUUAGUAAUUUUUUAAGUAACUUGCUCCCUCUCAAUUGCCAAAGUUGAUUUAUAAUAUCUUGUAAUUUUGACUUAAUUCGGUUCAUCAGAGGUUCUUUUCCUAAUCUUUUUUAAAGAUAAGUAAGAUAAAUUGAUGGAUUCUGCGUUUACCUGAAAAAUAAAAAGGAAAAGAAAGUACGGAGAGCUAAAAUGCAUUGCACCCCAGAUCUGACUUCGGAGGUCCCCUCCCUUUUUUUCCCUUCUUUUUUUUUUGGGCUGUAAAUUCAACCUGCUCUGUUUUUUAGUGCUGGUGUCAACAUGUAGGUGAAAUGAGGGCCUGUUUGGAACCCCCAAGUUUUUUCCAGGUUUAUAUACUACUAGUUUUUUUGAUAACUUUUGUUACAAAAACUCUAAAGAAUUUAUCAAAAUUUUUAACCUACAAACUUAAAAAAAUUUUCCCUUCAACUUUUCUAAUACACAAAAAAUUUCCGAAAAACUUUUCUUGAGAGAGAGAACUUUUCUUCAUUGGCAUCAGAGAGUUCUUUCUUCUGGUGAACUUUCCCUUCAACUUCUCCCACGGUCUGGCACCAGAGGGAAAAGUUCUCCAACAAAAAAUUUCCCUGCAACUUCACCAGCGGCAUCAGAGAGCGGAUUAUUAAACUUGAGGAAAGGUUUGACUUUUCUUUUUUUUUUUUUAAACUUAAGGCGAGGGUAGCUGGGCAAGGGGGAAGGGGGGAAGACGGGGAGAGGGAAAAUUGCAACAAAAAUAAAAAGUUUCUGUACCUGACCUGUCCAGCAAGAGAUGGAGAGAAGAGGGGAGGAGAGGGAGAGGGAAAAUUGAAAAAAAAAAGUUUAUGUUGCUCCCACCUCUGCCAGCAGGGGAAGCAGCGGCGGCGAGGGAAGGGCAGAGGGGAGGAGAGGGGGAGAGGGAGAGGGAAAAUUAGAAAAAAAAAAAAAAGAUUUCUGCUGCUGCCUCCCCUGCAGGUAGGUGAAGCAGUGGCGGGCGAGGGGGAAGGGUAGAGGGGAGGAGAGGGGGAGAGGGAGAGGGAGAAAAGAGGUGGUCCUGAAUCUGUUGCUUGGGUAGAGAUAAAAUGCAAAAAAAAAAAAAAAAAAAAAAGCCUUGAAUCUGCCGCUUCAUUGGCAGCUUCGAGAGAGGGAACAGGGGAGGGAUGGGGGAAGGGGCAGGGAGAAGAAGCGGGAACGGAGGAAAGAAAAGAAAAAAGAAAAUGUAAGAAAGAAAAUGAAAAGGAAAAAAAGUUUUUUCUCUUACAAAAAUUUUUCUACAAUUUCUACACUGAUCGACAAUAAAAUUUUAGAUAAAUUUUAAAAAAACUCAGAUUCCAAACGAGGAUAAACUAAUCAACAGAUUAGUUAGCAGGACAAAAAAAGAAAUAUUUUUGGAUGGAGACUACAGAUUAAUUCUUUUUUCCUUUAUAGAAGGUUUAACAUUUUGAUUUAAUUUAUGGAUGGGAAGAAUUAACAAUUUUUUUGGUGAAAUAUUUGUGGAAUCAGACUCUGUUGUGAUAUUCUGGCAUUAUUCUGAUUUCAAGGCAACCUAAGCUUGGUGAACAAGCAGCCAAAGAUGUCCUCCUGAUUAAACAAUCAAAGAAUAUUGUUGUUCAUGGACUGUUAUUGUUAUUAUUUUGGGGUCAAAUCGUUCAUGGUCUAUUUUAGUCAUUGCAAUUCUUGGUUUUCAAUACCGUGUAUAAGCUACUUUGUUGCUCUCCCAAGUUUCAAGGUUCCUUCACAACCCCAAAAAAUACCGUGCAUAAGCUACUUUGUAUACCAAUUUUAAUCCCCGGACUUCAAAAUUUAGAAGCCAGAUGACAGCAAAUCAAUGGUCUCUUAUCAAAAGUUACGAAAAUAAAAAUAUGGAUAAUGUUACUAUGACUUUCAAAGAUUAUUUUAUUGUAUAUUAAUCCCAAAUUUAACUCUUAUCAACAAGACACUAAAUUAAUCAAAAUUUUACAAACUAAUCACUUUUAUAUGCAUGUACCUAUAUAAAUUAUGAUGUAUGGUAUUGCUAUUUUGUAUAUAACUCGAAAAUUUUGUUAUUAUCCUUACACAUAUUUUUUAAACUUUUUCCAAAAAUAGUAAUAUAAUUCAUGAAGUACGAUAAGUCAAAAGUUUAUUACAUGCCUUGUACAAUUGAAAAGUAUGAGUAAUUUUUGAAUUAUUUUGAAGUGUACGAAAAACAUAAGUAGGACGUUUAGUGUUACUAUUAUUUUCCUCCUUAACGUUACUUUUUUAAUCACUUUAUCUAGGGAUGGCAAUGGGGGCGGGUGCCCGCUCACGGGGCGGGGGGGAAUUUUUUCCCCCCGCUUAGAAACGGGGCGGGGGGCGGGGGAGUAUACCCCCACCCCGCCACCCGCAAAACAAAAAAAAAUAAAAAAUAUAUAUAUAUAUAUAUAAAUGACUAUAUAUUAUAUGUAAGUUAAUUAGUUAUAAACUUAUGAUAAUGAUAUUAUUAGUUAGAUGUAUUAUAUAAUGUAUAUUAGUUUAUGUAAUAUAAUUGAUAUUAUCAAUUAUAUGACUAAUUAUACAUGUCUACUAAUAGAAUUUAUUAAUUAGUUAUACUAAAUUUACUAAUACAUUUAUACUAAAUUUCUAAUUACACUUAAUAGAAUAACACUUUUUUCUCAAAAAAAGCACAAACACAAUGAUGAAUUAGUGAUUGCAUUUGUACUAAAAGUGAAAAUUUGACUAUUUUAGUUAUAUUUAUUUCAUCAUAUUGGAUUGUAUUCAAAUAACUUCUGUUUGAUUGUUUUUAUGAGUUUCAAUUGUAAAAUUACAAUGAAUAAUAAUUUGGUGAUAUGUUGAUAUUUUAGUACUUGAUUAUUUAUUAAAAUUUAAUUAUAAUAAAAUUAUAUAGUAAAAUUUUAUUAACCCCGCGGGGGAAGCGGGGCAAGGCGGGGCGGGGCGGGGCGGGGGACGAGGGAGGGGUCCCCCGCCCCAACCCCGCCCCGUUGCCAACCCUAACUUUACCCCCAAGACUAACGGUCAAACUUAAAAGAUUUUGUUAAUUCAAGUGAAGAGAUAUGUUUAGUCUUUAACAUUAUCAUCACUUUAACCAAUAAACUAUAGUUAUCAAUUGACCCCCUAAAGUUAUUUUCUAGACAAUUUAGCUCCUAAAGUAAUAUGAUAAUAUUAGAUUCUUCAUUCUUUUCUUUCUUUGCAAAAUCUAAUUUUCUGUCAUUUUCUGACCCUUACCCCCAGCAUAUUAGUGGCUACCCGUUGAGAUAGGGUCGAGUCAACGACAUCCAUUUCGCCCCGUUUAUCAUUUAAUUUUUUUUAAAAAAUAAUUAUACUAAUUUAAUUUUGUAUUUUACAUAUUUAUCUAAGAUUUAAUAAUUUUUUUAAAAAAAAAUCUCCCUCCAAGAAACAAACAUGCAAAGAGAAUAUAAGAAAAAGGAAAAAAAAAAUUAAAAGGAUUCAAAAUCAAUGAAAAUUUAAAAUAAAUACUACAUUUUUUAAAUAUAUAUUCCACAUUAAUUAAACUCUUUUCUCAAAAACAUAAGAUCAUGACCUCUAUAAAUGAAUAUUGUAAACAAAUUAUAGUCUCCCAUAUUUAUAAUGCAAUUUGUUCAAUGAAAUUGCUUAUUUAGUUCUAAAAAUAUUAUUUUGUAGUAUGUGUAUAAAAAUAAAAAAAUAUAUGUCCGGCGGGUCGUUUACCUGCUGGUUUUUUAUUAUGUGAUUCUAACCUGCCUCACAUCUAAAUGGAUAUCCAACCCUCUUUUGACCCGGUCAAAUAAUAUGGAUCGAAUAUCCUAAUUUUCGAAUCAAACCGGAUCAGAUAUGGUGGAUUUUUUAAUUAGCAGAUAUUUUUGCUCACCCCUAACGUCGAUACCCAAAAAAAAAAGAGUUACUUGAAGAUUCUACUUUUCCAAUCUAGGGCAAUCCUGAAUUCUCAAAGCUUUAAUAUUUGGUAAUCUAUAUCCAAAUUUGACGAAAACUUGCCUGGUAUACUAACACAAGCCAGCCAUAGAAACUUGAGGUCUUGGCAUGGAUACAGUCUAAGCAUGGUCCAACAUCUAGUGAUUUUUUACCACAAGCAAAGAAUUCCAGGCAAGCUGCUUCGACUAUAAGCUAUCUAUCCAUCUCGAGUAGACAAGUGAGCCAUAAAUCUGCUUAAGAUUUUGAAGCUUAGUCACAAUAAGAUCUUUCAUGCCAAAACAGUAGUCAUGUUCCAAGAUUGCAAUCAAUUGACAACUCGAAAUGAUAUCCUGGGACAUUACCUGAUCUAAGCAUGUCCCAGAAGAGACACAGUUGUUUGAGACACUAGUAGUAGUACAUUAUUUUCUUAUUGGAUUCUAGUUUUAAGCAGCAUUGCUAAUAUGUAAAUCUACGAGAGAAUUUGCUCCAAGAACUAUCUGAGGCAAAUUAUAAGAAUGGAUAUGGAUUUGGAUUUUGCUGCACCACUUUCUACAGCAUUUUUCAUCCGUCUUUCAGCAAUGGAAGCCAAAACUACAUUAGCAGAUGAAAAUUCCUGCUCAACUCAAGCUUAAAAGUUUCUACCUUACCUAUUUUCUGCUUCUUGUACACCAGCAAGGUGCGGUCCGUGUAUUUAAAGAACUUCAUGCAUCUCUCUUUCUUUGUUACAGGAUCCUACUGGUGAUAUCAUUUUGUUUUCAAUUCCUUAAAAAAGAACAAGCUAUUAUUGAGUUCCAAAGUCGGGUGUGCACAUUGCUCAACCAUGCCUGAGAAAAGAUGUUGGUUUUGGCUGCAUCUUUGGUAGUGAGAAGAGAGGCUAUAUGUUGUAUAAUGUCUUCCGCCAAUUCUAUAAGGACCUCAGAGGUCUGCCAUUGAUAGAUGGAUAGUUAAAAGAUUCUAAAACUGCAGCAAACAGUCAAGAGGUAGAAAACAAUGACAUCUUCUUGGCUAGGACACUAUAGGGUAUUUAAGCAUUACAAAUUAGUUCAAUAAUUACAAUUUCCUAGAAAUCUGGCCUAGAGAGUCCUGGAUGAAGAUUCCCUUUGGAUUAGUGAAUUUGCUGCAACUAAAAUUUCAAUGUUUGUGGCACAAAUUCAAAUAGGACUCAACCAGGGAAGAAGAAGAAAAGGAGGGAAACUAGAGUUACCUCUGUACUGCUCCUAUUUUUUUUUUUUUUUUUCCAAAUUAAAGCAUUUAAAAGAUCAGAGACAAUAAUUUCGAUGUGAAACCAAUUUUACUUUUUGAAGAAAAGCCAAUUCAGGGUAUUGUAUUGUUUCUGGUAUGUUACAUGUAUUGUGGAUGGGGACUUUGCACUUCUCAAUGUUUGUUUCCUAUGCUCAAAUGCAGAAUUGACCAUUCAACUGCUGUUUUAAGUCUAAACUUUCCAGGAGCUAAAUCUGGUUUAUUAUAGUCCAAAACAACAAUGGGCAGUACCCACCGCAAGCAAUACACUAUGUAAAACCAAAAGAAGUCGAAUUUGUAAAGUAUUUGCCAUAUUUGAACAGAGUGAGCUGAUUUUUAGCUAUCAAAACAUUCAGUCUAGAACAGCAAACAAACAAGCUAAUAAUUGGUUUCAGAAAGAUAACAAUCAUUUCAUUAAUGCAAUUGUUCAUCAUACUUUAAUUGAUUGAAGGGGAACGAAAGAAAAUUGCACCUGCACUAUGAAAAUUCAAGGACAAUUAUGUGUUCUUAUCAUUAUCUGCAGCAAACAAAUUGUGAUGAAAUGUUGAGAGUGGCUCAAGAAAACUAUCCAGCCACCAGAAACCCCUUGUGGUCUCUUACUCUGUGUGUGUGUGUGUGUGUGGGGCGGGGGGGGGGCCAAAGCAAAUUAUACUGGAUAGAUAGGAAGGAUUGCAGAUAAACAUUCAAAAACGCAUGUGAGUUUUCAAAAAUAUCCUUAAAUAUCAUUUACAAGAAUCAAGUUAUAAGAGAAAAUAAUAGUUUGGGAGCUUAUAGGAUAGAACUCAGGAAAUGCACAUAUCUAGAAUGAAUAGCUGCUAAGACUUGCAGUAUGAAAUCUGUAGUGUUGGGGCUGCUCCGAGAGGUGCAUCUUUCCUGCACAGCUACUUUAAAAGACAAAUAAUUCAUUGUUCAAAAAAAAAAAGAAGACAAAUAAUUCAUGAACAGAAAAGCACAAGAACAAGAAGAAAUAACAAGCUAGGAACUUGCAUGCAGCGAUCUGCUGGUUGGAAAUCAAGCAACAUCUGCUGUUUUCAUGAAUCUUUCUGAGAAGGAAAUUAAGAAAAACAUGGUAAGGGUCAAAAGAAUCCCACACUUUGUAUCAAGCUCAAAAAGUACUUAUAGCAGGAAAGCAGAAAUGGUAGACAUUGGUUGAAAUGAAGAGAAGAGACAUUGAGCAGGAGUACAACUCAAGUUUGAGCACUUUAUUAUACUUCGACAGACAAUACAACUGCAAAUAUUAUUAUUGAAUACAGUAUAUGACCAACACAGAGAGUAUUUUUAUCCGCACAAUACACUGACUAGACAAAGUACGAGUCUUCACACUUGUAUGUCACUUUGCAGUGCUCACUCAAUUAACCAGAGCUUGCUGUUUUGCUCUGCUUGGUUCGUACAAUUGAAAUAUAGUCCUAUUCGAAAGACAAUGAAAUAGAAGCAAUUGUGGCUGCUGAAGAUGUAUUCCUUUUAACCAUAAAUGGGAGCAGUGGUUUACUGCAACCCCUUUGGAAUAGUUGACAUGACAUUUUCCAAGUAGUCAUGGCAAUGCUUACAGUUCAAAUUUGUCUGGCCAAUUAAGAAAGUUGUCAGUACCAAUAUUCAAACAGACAAAUACUUAUGCACAACAAAUGGAAAGUGAAAAGAAAACGAGAGAGAAUGUUCAAGGAGAAGAGAAGAGAAUCAUUUUUUUGGGGAAUAAAAAGCAAAGAUAUACCCAAAUUAGCAAUUAUGGGAAUGAUAAGAAAAUGCAUCAGAUAGUAGAAUCUUACCAGACAGAAUGAAAUUUCAGUAAGCCCCAAUAGGUUUGUCCUCAAAUUGAAUGUGGGAAAUAUUAAAAAUCUUGGGCCACUCGGAUGUAGCGCCAGGAGUGAAAUUUUUCUCUAGGAGAGAACAACCAAAACUUCCCAGGAAUUUUAAUUUGGUGAGGCGCCUCAUGGCAGCAGUGGAAGGUAAAUGCUGAAGCUUUUCACAACCAUCUAGCCGUAGUUCCUCAAGGGAUGCAAGAUUCGCCAACCAGUCUGGUAAAACUUCCACUCCAAAACCAUGUAGACCUAGUGCUGUCAGGCUAGUAAGGUAUUGAAGCUGUACGGGCAAAGAGUCUGAUUGAGGCUGACCAACCAAUGAUAGUCUCUGAACAGAAGAGGAAGCCAAUGCUGAUAACCAUUCAUUCUCCGUGUGGGAAUCUAAGAAGGGACCAACAUGCAACAUACUCAAGCUGGAAACCUGAUCUAGUCCUUUAGGAAUAGUGGUCAGCUUUGGACACCCGAACAAUGCUAAUGAAACAAGAGACGGCAUUUGCCGCAAAUCAAUUGGAAAGGAGACAAGGUUGGGGCACUUACACACCGUCAGAGACAAUAGAGAUGAACGAGCCUCCAGCAUUUCAACUGGUAGACUAGUUAACCCGUUGCAAUAACCGAUUCUCAAAUCUUUGAGGGAGGUCAGGCCUUUUUGUCCACUAGGAAUUGGAAUUGUCUCCAAAUUAUGGCAACCCCCGAUGACCAAAGAAUCCAAAUUCUGUAAUUGAUGGAGACCGCCAUGUAUGUCAACUAAUUCGGGGCAUUUUUCUAGUAUCAGUGCCUGAAGGUUCAAGCCAUUCAAAACAUCUUGAACAUGAGUGAGAUCUGCCAUCCCUUUGAUCCAGACAGCUGAGAGGUUGGUUGCAUUGCUGCAAAUCUUUUUCACUGGCUGAAGCUUGUCAAUCUUCUGAAUUUUCAAACUCUUCAGACUUGGAAAAUUGCUUGGAGCGUUGACCAGGCGGUAGCACUUCUUAAUUGUCAAAUCCUCAAGAAUGGGAAACACUUUAACAUCUUCAUUACUCUCUCUUCUUGACUCAGCUUGUGCAUCCAUCCAUUCUCUCAGAUUUGGCAUCUUUGAUAGUACGAGACUUUUAAGAGCUGGAAACAAUGUGUUUGACACUUCACUGCUGCUGUUGUUUCUUGAUGCACGGCGAUCGUCCAUGUCAUAGAAGGAACGUCCAAGGCAUGUUAACUUAUCUAGGCCAUCCAACACGAGAAAUUCAAGAGAAGGCAACCUUCCAAGGGCAGGGGCGUCUUCGCACAUUUUGCAGUCUACUAAUACCAGCUUUACCAAUCUGUCAAGUCUUCUUAAGGAGCCAUACAUAUUGUACUUUGCUAUGCUCAUAUUCAUCAACCAACGUGGAAAUUGGCUCCCCAUAUAAUUUUUCACAUAUAAAGAUUGCAAAUUUGGGUGAGGCAGGAGACCUUCCAACACAUCUUCAUCAUUGUAGUCUCCUUCUCGACCGCUACCCCACUCAAAUGCCAAAUCAUUCAAAUUUGGCUUACUCAACAAAUCUUCCUGGUGUGCUUCUCUUUUAGCAUUUACAAAUUCGAGGUUGCGUAUUAGAAUUUGGCCUCUGAGGUUUUUUAAGCAUCCUACCUCCUCAAUUUUGCAACCUUCCUCCUUGCCUAUGUUGAAGAAUUGUAAUGUUUGAAGACAAGUUAAUUGUCCCAUCCCUUUUGGCAUUCUAAAUUUGCUAUCAGGAGUGAAAAAAAGAAGAUGUCUCAAGUUGAUCAAGUUUCUCAUCCCAUCAGGAAGCUCCUUCAAGGUUGUAGGGUUAAAGUGGUUGCUUAAUACCAGUGUCUGCAAAUUAUAUAGCUUGCAAAUGGACUCUGGCAAAGCUUUGAACCUUGAGUGUGAUAGGUCAAGAAAUCGUAAAUGGAUUAGCUUGCUAAUUGAGGUUGGCAGCUCCUGACUAGUCACAAGAGGCAACUGGAGAACACGCAAGUACUUUAAUUUCAAGAAUACCUCUCCAGACUCUAUAUUCCCGUUCCCAAGUAAAGUCCGGAGUGAACUUGAUCUGCUUUUCAAGUUUUCUUGCGUUUCUCCAUCAAAUGAAGGCAGCAAUAGGUAGCGGCAAUUCUCAUCGGUGAUGCUGUCAGAUCUCAAUACUGAUUGUGCAAGGUCAUGCACAAAAUCAUGCAUUGUACAGUUUCUAUCGCCUAUAUGAUAAAAGGGGCCGAACAUUGCUACCUCUUCAAACAAGGAGCUUUGCAAUAAAAUGUCGAAGUGCUCCUUGCCUAUGUCCUCCAAUACCUCAUUAAAUCUUGGUUGCAGAAAACCUUCUGCCAUCCAGAGCAAGGUUAGCUUCUGCCUACUCAUGACAGAACCUUUGCCAGCGAUUGAGCAGUAUGCAAAACACUUUUUGAUGGACGCACUUGGCAAAUGGUCAAAGCUCAACUUAAGAAGUUGCAUCACACUACUUUCUUCCCCACCCAAACGCGCAAACCCACUCUCCAAAAUAGCUAGCCACUCCUCUUUCCUCUUGAAACGUAACAAACCUCCAAUUACAGUCGCAGCAAGAGGUAGACCUUGACAUCUUUUUAUUAUUCUACUCUUUAGUGCUUCCAAUUCUUUUGGUACUUCUCCACUUGGAAACACUUUCUCUUUCACAAUCGACCAACAAUCAUCAUCUCCUAAUUUACUCAAUGAAUAUGGAGGAUGUGUAGCCACACGUGUGGCCACUUCUAUAUUACGAGUUGUUACAAGAAUCCAAUUUCCAUUUGUAGUGCUAAUUCCAACCAAAGAAUGAAUGAAAUCCUCCCACAGCUCAGAUCUCUCAUUCCAUACAUCAUCAAGUACCAGAAGAUAUCUUUUUCCUUCAAUUUCUCUUCGAACUUCUUGAACUAUAGGCUCCCUGCUUUCGACAUCGGCUUUUCUCUUUGUUAAUGAUUCUAGGAUCAGUUUGAAAAGCCUCGUAACUUCAAAAUUACGAGACACACAAACCCAGAUCUUUUUAUCGAACUGCCUAUUGAUUUCUGGAUCAUUAUAGACUAACUGAGCCAAAGUUGUUUUGCCCAACCCCCCCAGGCCUGUUAUGGGAAUAACAGAGACAACUUUUGCAGACGAGCUCAACAAUGUUCCAACUAUGUUGGAUGCAUCGGUGGCUCUUCCAACUACAUUUUGACGAGCUAUGGAGUCAGUCUCCCGACUCAUAGUCAUAGCAGGGAGGGGAGAUACAUAUGCACCACCUCCCAUUUGGGACCUACUAAGCCCAAAACCAACAGCUUCUUGAUUGAUAGAUUUCAACUUCAUGUUGAGAUUCUUGACCUUAGAAGCCAUUCUCCAACGAAAAGCAAAAGUACAGGAGGUGGAGAAGAAAAGGCAUACCUUUUGCUUGAGACGAUUUUGAGUCUCCAUCCUACGACGAAGAAAUUCAUAGUUGAUCUCAUCCAACAGAUUAUCAGCAUCAAAAGCCACUCCUUCAAGCCUCUUCAACCAUAGUUGCACGUCCUGGUUCUGCACUUGCUUCUUCUCAGCAUCAGCCAUGACAGCUUGGAUCAUGGCAACAGAUCCUUUUAGCUUCUCCAACUCCUCCUUGAAUCCUCCAAAAGCCACACCAAUCACAUCAGUGGUGGCAGAAACUAACUUUUCCAAGACAAUCUGUAUGCUAGCAGCAACCAGUGCGUCAGCCAUUGUCCUCUCUUUGGUAUGUGGUAGAGUGGAAGGAAGGAGUUUUUUUUCCCUUUUUUCGGUAGCUAAAAAUUUAUUGCCAGAGGAAAUAUUGGCGUAGGUAGCAUAGGUUUGAUCACCUCGAAUACAUAACACUAAGCAGACGCCAGAUUGAUUCUUUGCUUGAUCAAACUUCCAAAGCAUCUUCAUGACAAAGUAUUUAAAUUAGUAUCACUUUGAAUUCUUAAAACACAAAAACACUAGAAUUGGGUGCUUUUCUUUAUUCUUUGCCUCGACAUAGGGCGCAACGGAUCUUCUGUCCCACACCUGUGCCAAAUCUCUGUCCCACUUUUUAUUAUAUUGCUAUUUGUCCUUCAUAAACAUCAUGUUUUAAUUCUUUUUUGCUUCCUUAAGAUCCAAUAACUAUUAAUUGAGUAAUACACAAAAUUUAACAAACUCAAAAAAUUAAAAUGCAUAAAAAAUGAGAUUUUUUUAUGAAUUUUCUGCUAUAUUUUUUAAUUUUCUAUCAUACAUAGGGGCUUUGGUUUGGGGAAGCAAGAUCAUAAAAAUAUUAUAUGGAAAAGUAUGCAUCAAGGGUGGUCUAAACCUUAUUCUCUUCAUCGUUAAAGAAAAACCAAUUAAACUGUAUACAAAUAAGAAAAUGAAGAGUUUGACAAUGGUCAAGAAUAAGGUUCAAAACUUGGUGCAUGUUUAUGUAUAUCAUCAAAAUUCAGCUAUAGUUAUGAAAUUACUGUAAAGCAUUAAUAGACAUCUGCAGAAGAUUAGCUAAUAUGCUCAUGGUCAUACCGAAGCAAGGCAUUUCUUUCAAGUUUAACAAAACCAAGCACUUGAAGAGUCAAGAAAAAGAGAUAGGUCACCUGAGAUUAAGAUUUACCUUAAUGAUGAAGACCUCCAUUGCCUUUUCUGAACUAACAAGCAAUCUACACUUCUGCCAUAUCAUGCCAAAGAAAAGAAUCUGGUCAAAAUACAGCACUUAUCUCACAUUCAAAGAACUCCAGAGAAACAAUGAAGAAAAAUAUCCAGGGCCUUUAGAUAUAGGAUAACCUUUUAUACAUUGUUAGUGUAAAGAUUUUUGUUUUUCUUUUACACAAACAGGUUUAGUUCAUGCUAUAUGAUAUGAAUUCAAAGUUGAAUUCGAAUCAUGCACAUGAGACAUACAUCUAAGAUUGUUAGUGUAAAAAAAUUAUUACAGUGUAAAAAAGAUUGUUAGUGUAAAAAAAUUAUUACAGUGUAAGUGCAUAAAAAAUUAAUUUUUAUAAAUAUUAACUGCUAUUUAAAUUUUUUCCUUGGUUAUGAUUUCUGAAAAUGCAUGAGGAACUAAUCUACAUAUGGCUUAUUAUGCUAGUUCUGCAUUUGUGAAUGGGGUACCCGCUGAAUGGUGCAUGGAGCUUUUGAUUUCAUGAAUAGUUCAUCUGCAAAAUUAUUACUACCACCAGGUGCUGGGGCCUCAUUUGCACCAAAUAGAAAACCCUUGACUGCGUUUGGAUUGAGAGAUUUGAUGGGGCCUCAUUUGCACCAAAUAGAAAACCCUUGACUGCGUUUGGAUUGAGAGAUUUGAUGUGAUAGGUUGCAAUUUUAUCAUUUAUUUUUAUUAUUAAUUUCUCUUAUUACCUGACAUGAUGUGGAUUAAUUGCUAUGUUUUACUUACUUUUUAGUAUUUUGCAUUCAUUUCAGGGAGUAGAACGAAAUUAUGAUAAUAAGUACCAAUUUAGCAGAAAGGGAGCCCAAGUGAUAGAGCUUGCCCCAAGGGCAUUUUUGAAAAAGAAGAUAUCACGCCCAUUUCGAUAAUUUCUGCAGAGGAAUGACGGACGAAGGGUUUCUUUCACCUAAGAGCCGCCGCACAUCUGGGAGGAGGCAGAGGAUAAAAACCAAAAGAAUAGCAGAGGAAGGAGGCUCUGGCUUGUCCUCUUAGUUUUUCCGUUUCUUUAGUUUUAGCGUAGGAUUUUGACUUUUCUUCUCUUAGGAAUUUUGGGUAGCUUCUCUACCCAUUGUAUGUCAGACAAAGAAAAAGCUAUCAAUUACUUCCUGUGGCUUACGAUCUAGUCAACACUUGGACGAUUUGAAUUGCCCAAAUCUCCAAGGACGAUGACAGCUGCUUUCUCUUCAAUUGCGUGUGGGUUUUUAGCAUUCAAUAUGAACUAAUUUUUCCAUUCUAGUCAAGAAACGAUGGAUGUUUUAGAUUGUCUAAAAAUUAUGAGAUCGAUUUAAUUUUAUCUUUUACUUUUAUUUAUUGAUAUUCGCAUAUUCCUGAUUACAGUGCUUAUGAUUGUUUAAUUAAUUGAUUGUUUUGGAUCCGGAUAAUUAGUUAAUUUGAUAAUCUAUUAUCAAUUGGGACGUUAAAUCCGUAAUUGUUUAAUUGUCUCAAAAUAGUGAUAACUGACAUGAUUGGAUUCGUGUCAGGGGGAUACACGGGCUAAUCUGAAAUAACUCUGAUAGUGCGUUAUUUGAUUAGAAUAGGGUUCCUUUAAUACGUAAGGCAAUUGGGAAGUUAAAUCAUACGGGCGUACCUAGGAUUAUUUCUCAAUUAGAGCAGUGAUUAACGGACGUACCUUAAUCACCGACACAGUAAGGAGGGGUUGAUUGUCAUCGCUUGUUUGACAGUUAUAACCUAUUUAUUGGUAAAUAAUUGUAAUUGGCUUUGUAUCGAUGAUCAAUUAGGUGAACCAUUGCUGAAAUUAUUCCUUGGCUAAAUCCUUAAUUAUCACUCAUUUGAUUUUAGUAAUUUGUUAUUUAAUUUUUAGUAGUUUCUUAGAUUUUAUUUGAACUUCUUUUAUUGUCACCUUCUGCACAAAAACACCCCCUUUGUUACUGUGAACUUGAAAAGAAACAAUUACUCCCAGUCCCUGUGGAUUCGACCCUACUUACCACUAUCUACAGAAAUUACUUUUAGUUUGAGCAGGUUUUAUUAUUGCACAGGUUUCGACACCCUGUCAAUUUUUGGCGUCGUUGCCGGGGACUGGUGCCAAAUUAAUUUGUUUCUUUUUGAGUUCAUCUUGUUUUUAUUUAUUUAUUUAUUUUUCUCUUAUUUUUUUUAUAUAGUUUAUGGCUUCUAACACUCCGUAUUCUGGUGAUAGACUGGAUUUUGUUUCCAGGGAAGGCAAUGAGGCUUGUUUUUUUCCUGAGUUUGCAUAUGCAAAGACACUAAACUCUAUUAGAGAAAGAAUGGCUGCUGCAACCUGUAAAAUUUAUUAUGCCAGGGAUCAUUCAAUCGGUAUGUGCCCCGAAUAUCAAGAUAAUCUGAGUGUCCCAUUCAAUAAUUAUGGAGAUUUUUCACCCUGGUCUCAAACGUGGUAUAACCCUAAUCCAAACGGGUAUGAUCAAGGAUGGUGGGAUAACUCCAAUUAUAAUUAUACAACGGGGCCAAUGAAUUUUCAGCAGUAUGAGUCUCAAGAAUCGUCAUCUAUGUCAGGUAUGUCUCUUGAAGAAAUAGUUGAAUCAAUAGCUACUAAUACAUACCAAUUCCAACAGGAGACACAAAUGAGGAAUGAGAUGAUGAAGGAUGCAAUGAGUUAUCUGGCAGAUCAACUAUGUCUAUUGACAUCCAGAAUAAAUCGAUUGGCUUCUCAAAUAGAAGAAUUGCCCUCGAAAACCAUUGUUGAUCUAGAAGAAAAUUAGAGUGCAGUUUGCUUGACUAGUGAUGAGGAGAUGCAAGAGUGUCAAAAUGAGAAAUCUACAGAUGCAGUUGAAAAAGAAGGCGAAAAGGAAGAAAUGGAACUCCAACCGCAACCCAUUCAAGUGAAAGAAUCCAGUGAAGAAUCAUCAAAUAUGGUGACACCACCUCCAUUCCCUAACCCGCAUUUUCUUAACUCUUACUCCAUGAUUUCUGUUAAUAAGAUUGAUUUUGUUAUACCGGAAGUUUUUGAGUCUCAUGGCAGAAAUAAGUUAAGAGUAGCUAUGAUCAAAUAUUUUAAAUCGUUGAGUGCUCUUGAUGGAGGAGUGGAUGAAGAAUUGAGAUCACUGCUUGAUUAUUUGGCGCCAUCAACUAGUCCAUGGAAGACCGUAACUCGUGUGUUCAAGAUUACUCCAUCUAUGAGGGUUACCAGGAUCACAUUGAAGAUGAAACAUUGAAACGAGCCACAAGAUUUUAUCCUCCAUGAGCAAAACAUGAUAAUGUUUAGUCAAAGACAUUAAAGAAAGGCGCUCAUUAGUAGGCAACCCAAUUAUUCCUUUUAAUUGUUUGUUUUGAUUUCGUGUGAUAGUUUAAAUAUGUUUUCCUUGAAUUUGACUGAUUUCGGGUUUCAAUUUUCGUUUUUUAUGAUUUGUAGGUGUCUUUCUGUCAUGACGCGCCCGCGUCAUGACGUCUGGAAAGCUCACGGUCAGAAUCGUCAAAAGGGAUUUCUGCCCUCAUGACGUGCCCGCGUCAUGUCAUAUGGAGAGCUCCAGAUUCCGUGCCUUCAUGACGUGCCCACGUCACAUUCGCGGGAAAGGGAAGUAUUCAAAAAAAAAACUCAAGAACGGUUAUUGAUUUUCGGUUAAUCUCUAAUUUUGAAUUUCGAAAAUAACAUUUGCAAAAAAAAAAUGUAAAAAAAUUUUUUUUUUUUAAAAAAAACAAAAAAAAAAGAAAAAAAAAUUUCAACCGUAGCUAGGUUUGUGAGAACCCUGAAAAUAUAUAUACAAAUAACAUUGCAUAUUUCAUUUGCAUUUCUAAUUCUCUAAUAAAUUUUAGCAUUACUUUCACUUGUUUGUAAAUAAGUGCAUAAAACAAUUUUCAUGUGAAAAAUAAUAUAAUUUUUCUAAGUUACGAAAUUUCUUUUGUUUUGCUAAACUAAAUUAACACCUUUAGAGUUAGAAUAAUUUUAGCACCCCAACAUAAAAUAUUAAAAUACUUAGUCUCCAUUAUGUUAAAUUAAUACUACCUGAGCAGAUUAAUUUUACUACUUUAAAAUAAAUUACUUGGAUUCCAAUAAUUAACUCCAAAUAGAUAAUAACGUUAAAUGUUAAUAGAAAUUUCACGUUAAGACGAGGCCGAUAAAAUUUAGAUAAAAACAAUACAAGUAUACUAAAUACGUGUAGGACGUAAAAAUUUUGAUAAUUGAAACCUUGCAAGAUUAGUGCAUUAUUAGGAGCUUAAUUUAUAUUCAGAAUAGAUUUUUGGAGUUAAGUUAGAAUUAAGGACUUAAGUGGUCAUUAGAAGGAAAAGUGAAAAGACUAAACUACCCUCACAACCUCACAAAUCACCAUGCAAUCCAACACCCUCUGACAACAUCAUCACUCACCACCCCAUCCGGCCAAUGAAACUUUCUCCAAUCCAACACUCAAACCUCACCAACACGCAAUCCCUCAACUACCGUAAAUCAUCUCUGCUACCUAGCACCACAAUCACUCCACCAUCUCACCUCAACUAUAAUCAAUUCACUUCACCAUAUCAAUUCCAAUCCUCCACAACACAACUUCCUCAUUUCCAUCUCCUGCUGCAACCGAGAGAAAAGAAAAGAGAGAAACCGCAAGCUGCAAUAUUUUUUUUUUCUUUUCCUUCUUCUGUUCUGACCGUGGGCUAAGAGGGAAGAAAGGAGAGCAGCACUGCGUGAGUUUCAAUCCUUGCUGCAACUUCAACCAGUUGCAACCAUCUCCAACUACAAACACCACAUCUGCAACCACCGGCAACCAAGACAGCAGCCAACCAUCCAGUCGCGUGCGAGCCGAGAGGGAAGAAACAUUAGCUUUCUGUCGUGAGUAUAAGCUUCGAUCUGAGGUAAUUCUUAAGCUAAACUACAUUGACCAGAGGUAGAUUGAGCUAUCUACGGCUGUGCAUGUGAAGCUUAGGCGAUUGGAUGAUGAUUUUAGGAAAAGAAAACCUGAUGUGCGAAGGAAUGGGUUUUGCUGGAAAGCUGAAUUGAUAAUGCAGCCUUAAUCUUAUUUAUUUGAAGGAAGCUGAGCUUGUAACUACAAUUAACUAAUUAAGAACUAGAGGAUUAAGACUUGCAUGUUGAGAGUAUGCAUUCGGAUGAUGAACUAAGAGCAUCGGAAAUUCUGGUUUGGAAGAAAUGAAAACUGCCGUGAGAUGGAUUUAGAAAUGCAGACCUUAAUUUGCUUAUUUGUGGUAACCUGAGCUGAUAAAUGUAAGGAUCAAACUAAGAACAAGAUAAUUAAGUCUUACAUGAGGCUGAGCAGCUCGGCUAAACAAGGAAAAAAAAUUAUAAUAAGAAUAAGCUACAAUCUGUCGUAUGCAACCUCAUCCGAGAUAGCUAAACCAAUUUCUGGAAUUUUGGAUGAUUUUAGUUAUUGCUUGAAUCUAAUUUUGAACUGGAAAUAUUAAUCGACUAGCUAAGUAAUUGCAUGCCGAAAUUGAGUACUUAAUAUCAUGUUUUAGCCGAUGACAGAUUUACUGUGGUGGAUCUAUUUGCUAAAAUUACAUGUUAUUCGUUUUAUUUCACGUUGGGAAAAUUUUGAUGGUGGGCUCUAUGAACUCCCACCCUUGAAUUGAUGGUUGAUGAAAUGAUUGAUGAUGGAUAUAAUGCUAGUUUAGUGUUUAAAUAGCUAGAUUAAUGAUAUCUAGCUAGUCUAGACUUCAAGGGAUGCAUAGUUCAAAAAUGUUCAGUUUUGCCUUGUUUUAAUCACACCCCUUUUUGUAGAAUUUUGAGGGUUUCAUGACUCGUAUAUUAUGUUUAUAUGUUGAAUAUGUGGUGUACAAAGUUUCAUUGAAAAUAUUGAGAUUUGGUUGGUCAAAUAAAAUGAUUUCACAAAGCUAGUAAAUCUGGAACUGUUUCCGUAAUAUUCUGACCAGCUUUCGUAUUUCGGCUAUAAAUCUGUGCUCUGAUGUCGAAAUUAAGUGCCGUUAGCGGCAUUUAAAACUACACAUCCCAGCCUUUCCGACGGUAUAAAAUGUACAUUCUGGUUCCAUGUGUGUGAGCCGAACCAGCCAUUUUAAGUCGGCUGUCCUGUUUCUCUGUUUUACAAGAACAAAAUGAUGAGGCUGCAACUUGUGGCUCGAAUUCGAGCUAGUUGUGUGCCGAAUUUCAAAGUGAUUUCUUCUGUGAAAUUAUAGCUCUAUGAAUAUGUUUUCCAACGCCAUAAACCAUGCCAAAUUCCUAGUUAAUUUGAGUGAUCUAUGAUCAAAAUAGGAAACCUGCUCUGUCCUUGAAAACCCUGAUUUUUAGACAGAUUUGAUGCAAGGCUCGGUAUAGACUUGCAAAUUAAAACUCUUGGUGUUAAUCACCACAAAUGUUGUUCUGGGAUGACCCUUAAACCUUUUCUAUGCAAAUGAACCAUGUUUAGAGGAUUUUCCUUGGUCAAAAGUUUAGAAAAGGAAAUGUUCAUAUACAAGGCAACUUUGCCUUAAAAAUUUUGGAAACUUGAGUGAUUUUGUUAAGUGACUUUCCGUGUAUAUUUUCCUAUGAAAUUUGGUAGAGGGACAACCCUUAUAUGGUAGUAUUAUACUGCUAAUUUUGGUGUUAUUCUGAGACCGUUUCAUGGGUCAAAUAAAUUACCAAAGUUCAUGACUCGAGCUUGAAAAACCCAUGUUUCACAAGGAAAUUUUGGUAACUUUGAGUUGCCAUAUCUUAAUAUUCAAAACUCCGUUUCUCAUUCUGUUUGUUUUACUGUACACUUGGAUUACGACUCUAAAAGAGUACCAAAUUUCAAAAGCUAGUUCCCAACGAGUGAAUUUUUCCGAAUUUUCAAAGUUGACCAAAAAUCAACUUAAAUCUGUCUUAUGAACCAAAGCAGCGUCCUUGAGCUCAUUUUGAAUAUUUUUCAUUUGGAAUCAUGGAAAAGUGUCUUCGAGGAACUUUUAAUACUUUGGAAUUAGUUUCCAAUGGUACCAAGUUUUUCAAUUUUGGACCUACUGAGUGCAAGACCUGAUUUUUCUAAGUUUGACGUGCACAGCUGAAAUUUGCCGAUUUCUUAGAAAAUGAAAUUUUGAAAAAACCCGUUAUUCCUUCUUGAUGAUAAUUGGUCGCUUUAAACUUGAUUUCAUGAAGGAAAUUAUUUUUCCUUGUGUUAAUAAAACCUCACUUUUGAACCUUUAUUUGGAGUGGCUAAGGUUCUUGAUUUGAGGUAUUGACAAGUCUAGAUGAGUGUAACUCCUUUCUUGAUUAAUGCGUGAUUAUGAGUAAAAAAAAAAAAAUACUUGUCAAUUGCUUCAGGUGCUCAAGCUAGUCUUGAAGAGAAUCCCGGAGGGGACAAUUAAAGAUUUUCUCGUUCAAUUACUUUUGAAUAGGUGAGUGUCAAGUGCAUGACUUGUCGUGUUUACUUGGUUUACCUGCUUAUAUACGUGAAUAUCGCUUGAUGGGACGAGUGUGUACUUUAUCGCACUCGCUCUCCUUUACUUGAACUUUAUUCGUAUUAACUUGGUUUUCAAGUCGAUUUGAGUGAAUCUCGUCGGCUAAAAUAUACCCGUUUUCGUGUACGUGUCGUGCGUGACGUGUUGUCGGGGUGGAGUGAAACUUCUCGGCUUAUGGGGACGCCCAAAUUCUCUUAGCCAAUCUUGCAACUCGAGCCGGCAUGGGCUUGGUCGAGAAGCUUGAAAAGCCAAGGGAACAACAAAACAUAACUUGAUCUUUUGAGAUCUUGUUCGGCAUACUCGUGGAAUAUCGCCCUUUUCGUGCGUGUUCAAAAAUCAAAACUUGAUCUCUUGAGGUCUCGUUCGGCAUACUCAAUGAGUAUCGCCCUUUUCGUGCGUGUUUGGUUACGGAUCCGAGAGGAUGGAAUGUUGGCCGGAGAGAGUAAUAAGUGAAGUUUCUACGGAUAUAUACCCACCCGAAUGACGGAGGGUCAUCGUGAGGGGGUAUCGGAUCGAGCCGUGGCGAAGCAAGUGGAAAAUACCUCCUGAGAGCUCCUAUAUCCUUGAAUUGUUUCUGUUUACUUGCCUCGCUUGAAUUGUAAAUUACUUGAACCUUAUUGUUCUACUUGGACAACGUGCGUGCAUGUGUGUUUUCUUGGCCUCACGAGCUAUUGGCUCACCGUGUAUAUUUGUUUUCCUUGACAGGUUCUGAAAAUUGAGAGCUUUACAAUUUACUUAGACUUUCUUAUGGAUGUAAAUGAAUACUAUGACUUCGCUUUGCGGUCUGUAAUGUUUAAUGUUACUUAUGUCAUGUAUCGGAUUGGAGAUACGUUAAGCUAGGUGUACUUAUUGCUUUGGAUUGCCACUUGAAGUUGGAAAAGUGAAAUCCCUGAUUCAGAUAUUCGGCUUGUACGUUCGUACUUGUGUUGUAUGAACUUGUAUGCUUGGGAUGGUAUGACUUUAGACUUGGGUUGUAACGCGUAAGGUUCUUAAGAGUCGACGAUUGGCUAUAUUGAAUGCUGUUAUCUCUGAAAUUAAUGUGGUUUGGUUAAUGACCAUUUUGGAGGGAAGCGAUAUUGUAAUAGAUUAGGUUAUUCUUCGGAAGGGUUUUGGCUAGAUUUCUUGCGUGAGUCCUGGCGAGAGCUGGGCAGGCGUUCCGCAGAUAUCUCUUGGUUCGCCUUGGGGAGAAGUGGGGCCGUCACAAGGUUUCUCAAUUUCAAAAAAAAAAAAAAAUUUUUUCUUUUCUCUUUUCUUUUGUUUUCUUCCUUUUUCUUUCUUUCUUUCUUUCUCUCUCUAUUCUUUCUUUCUUCUCCCCUGUUUUUCCUUCCUCUUUGUCGGCCGAGCACACCUCAUGCCCACCGCCAUCUCCUUCACCCGCGACCAACGCCCAGUGCGUCUCCACCUCUACCGCAGCUCACCUUCACGCACGACGAACAACGCCGCAACUGGCCGCCGUCGAUCUCUCUAAUUGCGCGCCGCCAGCAAAGCCACCGCCGCUGCCUGCGAUCUCGCCGUCGCCAGGUGCACGGCUGCAGUGCCUCGCACCCAAGUAGAGGGGCGCCGCCGCCCCUUAGUCGACAUCGCAUCCACCGCGCGCGCCCUCUCUCCUCCUCGCCAGUGAGCUCUCCACUCGCGACUCCACCACAGCAAACCCAUUGGCCGCCGCCGUCCGCAGCAUCGUGCGCCGCUGCUCCGCGCAGUCCACUCCUCCACUUCACAGCCGUGACAUCUUUUCUCUGCCCUUGCACCAGCGACGACCACCAUCGCGUGACACCGCCCUCACCGUUGCUGGAGCUUGCGCGCCUCUGCCCAGCAGGCAGCGCCACCAGCAGCUCACACCUUUCUCCCUCUCGAUCUCACCCUCCACCCGCAGCUACUACCGUCGAGCUCCACUACUGCCACCCAGCCUCCACCUGCGCUCAGGUCUACUCCAGCAGUCAACCAGCCGCGCAUCUCCUCUUCCCCGAUCUCACUCCAGCGACUGUCACCACCUUCCUCCACAUCGCAGCGCGACCUCUUCCUCACAAGCCACCAGCGAAGCCGCGCCUCCCACAGUCGCUGUUUCUCGCUCACGCAUGCACGCCAGGAGUUGUGCCUAUCCCACUUCUUUCGACCAUCAAACAAUUGAGGUAUUUGACAUUCGUUCCACAACUCCUCAGUAGUAUUUGGUGUUGUUUGGGGGUCAUUUUUUGUUUGAGCGGGACGCGGAGUUGUUUUUCUUUUACUGAGGAAUCCACCAGUGGUACUGGUGGGGUAAAUUGGACGUGAAUUUGGUACCUUCAUUUGGUUGUCUGAGUUAUUAUUGUCAAAUUUCUAAACUGUUAUCAUUGAGAUUGCUAAUUUUGAGUUAAAACUUUAACUGGCCAACUGGAGCCAUUUGUUGAGAAUUUGGGUGAGCUGAAAUAUUGCACUUGUUUGUUAAAUUUGGAGGCUUCUAUACCAUUUACAUCGCUUAUUCCAGUUCAGUGCAUCUAGUUGAAAUGCUGGGUUCAUUAUUAGAUUUGACUGAGAAUCCUGUGGAUACAUUGCUUGUUGUCCGAAUUGAGCUACAUUAUUUAGGGGGUCUCACUAGUGUAGGUUAGCCGUUGAACUUGUUUCAUCCACUGUUUGGGUAUUUUGGCUUCACUGGGUCACUUCUACUCUUUUGGCUGACUGUUGGAGGUUGGGCACUUGGAAUUACUCUGCUACUGUCGAAUUUAUGAGUUAUUAUUGAUUGCAUUGUUCUUUCUUGGGGCUGUUUGAUUGGGUUGUUAAUUCCAUUUUCCGCCAGUGGUACUGGUUGGAUUGUUUUCACUUCAAUUUGAUGCUUCUUUUGGGUUGGUUAACAUUGUGCGGUUAAUUGUCAAAUUGGGACCAUUUGUUGGGAUUCUGGUUGACCUUUGUCUACUUUUACCUGUAAAUUUGGGAGCCGUUGUUGCCUGAUGAAUUGGGAGACAUAGAUGACUAUUGCUCUGCCCUGAUAUUGCUUGGUUGCUGGCGCAUUCUCUAUCUUAUGAUUGGGUUAAUACUUGGGGCUGUCGAUUUAUUACUGCUUUGCUCUGCUAUAGCAAUUUCUCUCAUUUUGGACUGUGAUUUGCACCAGUGGUACUGGUGCGAGUAUUUGUUAACUCUAUUUGAUUCGACAUCCGAUUGACUGCCACGGGCCUGUGACUGUGUGGCUAUUGCUCAAUUUCUGAACUCAUAUCGCUGGGGUUAACAUAUUAUUUUUGACUGACUGAAUUGGGUAGUCCCUGUGCUUAUUGACGUGCCUUUGCUAGUUUCCAGUUGUUGAUAAUAGUUUCUAAUUGUUGGUUUUGGAGUGCAACUGUUGCUUUGUUGACCAUAUUUGGGCUUGGGUGCUCGUGUUUGCUUUUGCAUUUGACUAUUGAGUUCGGGAACACCAGUGCCUAUGGAUUUACAUUUGUUGGUUGCUAUCUUUGUUGGAUAUUCUGUCUUUUGUUGUUUGGGGUGAUAAUUGGCGACAAUGGUGAGUGGCGCCACUUACAAGCACAGGUUCACAACGUAGAUGAGCGAAUGACGAACAUCACCCGCCAAGUGGCAAGGAUGUCUUAGAACUCGGCUUCCCUCCACUGUUCCCUCCUAUCCCUUAGCUGUUCAACAGGGAAGUUUCAUUAUUCUCUUCGCUUUCAUUACUUUAUUACCUCCAUUGAGGACAAUGUAGGAUUUAGGUGUGGGGGGAGCAGUUAUGGUGCUAGUGUCUUUCGUUCAUUUUCUUUUUCUUCUUUUUAGUGAUUAGCUCAAGUUUGAUGUUGGAUUAUUGUCUCUAUUUCUACUUUUGCCAAGUUUUAAUAAUAAAAGAAUGUAUCAAGUUAAUGUGGUUGAAUCCAAUGACAUCUCUUUGGUGAAUAUCGAUGAUUGUUUUACCCUUAUAAUUUUUGGUUAACUUUCCUAGGCGUAGGGAAUGACUGUUGGCAUUUUCAUGUGAAUUGGUCCGAUUAUUAACCUUAGUUCUCCAUAUUUGAAAAUGAGGCUAGCUGAUGCAAAUUUUCUUUUGAUUUUUUGUGUUAUUUUGAAGUUUUGGGUGUUAUUUGGCUGUGAAUAAGAGUUGACUGUACUCUGCUAGUAUUUACUACCGAGUAACUGGAGAUCUUCACCAAAAGUGUCGAUUAUCGCGUCAAAAAGUAGUAAUUGCUAUGAGUGUGUGGUCACGUGGCGAUAGGAGCUGAAUAACCGGACUCUUUCAUCUGACAAAUGUCGGAGUUCGCGUCAAAAAGCUUCAAUGGCCAGAGAUUAAGUCUUUUGUUACUAUUGAAAAAAAAGAAAAAGAAAAAAAGGAAAAAGAUAGAAAACAUAAAAAAAUAAAGUGAAGGUUGUGUUAGUGUGUGAUAAAAGUCAGCUUGCCGAUUUAUGAAUUUAGUGUUGAGAUGUUGGUUAAUAGUUGGACCAUUUGCUGAUAAAUGUUGUGCUUCAUUCCAUUUUCUUAGAUUAGUUAACCUAAAAUUAGAGGAGUUUGUGGUUUAGAAACUAACCAAAGUGAUGUUUCUUGGAUCUUUAUCACUGAUGCUUGAUAUAUGUUUUUCUUGGUAUCUUAACAAUAAGAUAGAUGGAGCAAUAGCCAUUGUCAAAUAUUGGUGUUUGUUUACUGUUCUUAUGCUUGAGAACAAGCAUGGUUUAGGUAUGGGGGGAAUUGAUAGGUUGCAAUUUUAUCAUUUAUUUUAUUAUUAAUUUCUCUUAUUACCUGACCUGAUAUGGAUUAAUUGCUAUAUUUUACUUUCUUUUUAGUAUUUUGCAUUCAUUUCAGGGAGUAGAACGAAAUUAUGAUAAUAAGUACCAAUUUAGCAGAAAAAGAGCCCAAAUGAUAGAGCUUGCCCCAAGGGCAUUUUUGGAAAAAAAGAUGUCACGCCCAUUUCGGUAAUUUCUGCAGAGGAAUGACGGACGGAGGGUUUCUUUCUCCUAAGAGCCGCCGCACAUCUGGGGAGGAGGCAGAGGAUAAAAACCAAAAGAAUAGCAGAGGAAGGAGGUUCUGGCUUGUCCUCUUAUCUUUUCCGUUUCUUUAGUUUUAGCUUAGGAUUUUGACUUUUCUUCUCUUAGGAAUUUUGGGUAGCUUCUCUACCCAUUGUAUGUCAGACAAAGAAAAAGCUAUCAAUUACUUCCUGUGGCUUACGAUCUAGUCAACACUUGGACGAUUUGAAUUGCCCAAAUCUCAAAGGACGAUGACAGCUGCUUUCUCUUCAAUUGCGUGUGGGUUUUUAGCAUUCAAUAUGAACUAAUUUUCCCAUUCUAGUCAAGAAACGACGGAUGCUUUGGGUUGUCUAAAAAUUGUGAGAUCGAUUUAAUUUUAUCUUUUGCUUUUAUUUAUUGAUAUUCGCAUAUUCCCUGAUUACAGUGCUUAUGAUUGUUUAAUUAAUUGAUUGUUUUGGAUCCGGAUAAUUAGUUAAUUUGAUAGUCUAUUGUCAAUUGGGACGUUAAAUCCGUAAUUGUUUAAUUGUCUCAAAAUAGUGAUAACUGGCAUGAUUGGAUUCGUGUCAGGGAGAUACGCGGGCUAAUCUGAAAUAACCCUGAUAGUGCGUUAUUUAGUUAGAAUAGGUCUCCUCUAAUACGUAAGGCAAUUGGGAAGUUAAAUCCUAUGGGCGUACUUAGGAUUAUUUCUCAAUUAGAGCAGUGAUUAACGGGCGUACCUUAAUCACCGACACAGUAAAGAGGGGUUGAUUGUCAUCGCUUGUUUGGCAGUUAUAACCUAUUUAUUGGUAAAUAAUUGUAAUUGGUUUUUUAUCGAUGAUCAAUUAGGUGAACCAUUGCUGAAGUUAUUCCUUGGCUAGAUCCUUAAUUAUCACUCAUUUGAUUUUAGUAAUUUGUUAUUUAAUUUUUAGUAGUUUCUUAGAUUUUAUUUGAACUUCUUUUAUUGUCACCUUCUGCACAAAAACACCCCCUUUGUUACUGUGAACUUAAAAAGAAACAAUUACUUCCAGUCCCUGUGGAUUCGACCCUACUUACCACUAUCUACAGAAAUUACUUUUAAUUUGAGCAGGAUUUAUUAUUGCACAGGUUUCGACACUCUGUCAUGAUGAAAGAUUUGAAAUCCUCUCAAAUCUCUCUAGCUAUUUAUGUUAUUUAAAAGGUAAGUAGAUUUGUAAAUCAUCAAUUAUUUUAGUGUUUAAAAUGUAUUAAAUAAUUAAUGAAUUACAAACCUAAAUAUUUUUUAAGCAAUUCAAACAACUAGAGCAAUUUGAGUGGAUUUCAAAUUAUUCUGCAAAUUUCUCAAUCCAAAUGAAGCCUUAAAUUUUAGGAUAAAUUAUAUUUUACCCCCUGUGGUUUACCCUUUUUUUACAUAACCCCCCUAUGGUUUCAAAAGUUAUACAUAACCCCCUCAUGGUUUGGAUUAAAGUGCUAAAGUAACGGAAAUAGUCACUCGUAACGGAACUUCUAAAAAUGUCGAAAUUACCCUUAUAAAUACAUGACACAUUAACCCCCUAUAAUUUUUAUAUUUUACUAUAUAACCCCCUUAUGGUUUAAUACUUUACCAUAUAACCCCCUUAUGAUUUUCAAAAUAUACACACAACCCCCUUUGGUUAAUACAUAAAUUUCAACCUUACAUAAGGGUAUUUUUGACAUUUUAGGUGAUGCCGUUACGAGUGACUAUUUCCGUUACUUUGACACUUUAAUCCAAACCAUAAGGGGGUUAUGUAUAGCUUUUGAAAUCAUAGGGGGAUUAUGUAAAAAAAAUGCUAAACCACAGGGGGGUAAAGUGGAAUUUGUCCUAAAUUUUAUGGAUAAUCACCUGUGAAAGUUUCUUUGUGGGUGUUUUAACCUUAUAUCAAUUCAGGCCAAUUGAUACCUUUUACUGAUGUUGAGCUAGCAUUCAAAUUGGGUAAGGGAAACAAAAAGGAAAAGUUGGAAAUUAGUGAUUUGUUGUCGUGAGACUUUUUAUUUUGGUGGUGGCUUACAAGUGAAACAGCAGAAGUGUCAUUUUGUCACACCAAUUACAAGAAUCCAUUAUCCACUGAUGUUCAAUUGGUUUGAGUUGUAUACAUAGUAAUUUUAGUGAAAUGUAGCAACUGAAAAUUGUUAGGGGGUAAAAUUGAUAACAAGUAAUAGUUCAAGAGAACAAGUUGCAAUUGACGCUGGAAAAACUAAUGCUAAUAAAAAAAACACAAGUGAUUGACCUCUGCUUGAGUCCUGAAUUUAAAAGUGGACGAUAAUUACCAAAAGAAAAUUAUUUUGAAUAAGCACUAAAAUGGAAACAAAGAACAUUCAAAUCCUAGGAACUCUAUUCGAGAUUCUACAAAACAGAAGCACAAUUUCGAAACAAAGAGCACAUUUACUUCAACAGCAACAGCCUUGCAUACACCACAAAUCAGUUUCAUUAAAAAAGGCAUUGUCCAACAUGUAGCCAGAGUAGUAUUUUUUUUUUCUUUUUUGGCAGAGUAUGACUUUCACAAUCAUAAUAAUAUACUCCAUCCGUUCCAAAAAAAGAUGGUUACUUUUUGGGAGGAGUGCUUUUUAUCAAUAGUAAAGAUAAUUUGGUCAAUUUUGCAUUACUUUUUUAUUAUGGGACAAUGCUUUAGUAACGACAGUUAUGGUAACGAAACAGUUUUUUACCUGAUAUAACAGGUUGUUGCACUUUUAGCGACCAUUUGAUUACUUGAUGGACCUAUCAACCUAAAUAGGAUAACACUUAAAAAUAAGAAAGUAAGUUUCCCAUCUAAAAUAGUAAGUUAACCUUAAUAAAUUAGUAGCUUUUAUACUUCAAAAGGUAAAUUUGAAUAAAUAUUAAACUAACUUUUUAAAUAAAUAAAUUACUACUUUAUAUCCCAAACUUAAUUUUUAGGGAGUAAGUUUAAUUCAAGUAAUAGUAAGUUUUUAUACAUAAAUAGUAAUUCUUACUGAUAAUAUAGUAAAUUUGAUUAAUAAUCAAAACUUACUGAUUUAUGGGACACAUAUACUAUUUUACUUUAAAACAUAUUUCAAACUAGUAUUAGGAAAUUUAUUUGAAAUAACGAUAAGAUGUUUUAUUAAUGAUUAAUGCUUAGUACCUUGGUUAGUAAGUACUCGUAAUAUACCUAUAUAAUACAUGAUUAUAGGUAUAAUUUAAAAAUAUUUUGUAUUUAUAUAUUUUAAAAUACUAUGAAAAAUAGUUUGACUUUUUACAUAAUCUCGUAAAAUAUAUAAUAAAAUUUUAUCAUAUUAUAAGUUUUUAAUCAUUUUCAAUUUUUAAAAGUUUGAAAGUUUGGAUAACAAUAACAACAAAUCUUCCUAGUUAUAUAUAGAAUAUCACUUGUUUAUAUAUCAAAAUUUUUAUAAGUUAACACCUAUGAAUAUAAUAACAUGAUAAAGUUUUAAUAAAUUUACAUUUGGGAUACAAGAAAUAAUAAGAGUUAAAGCCCAAACAAAAUGAGAAAUAAUAUAACAAUAAAAAUGACAAAAUUAGUAUAACAAUUAAUAUAAGAAAAUCAGUAUGAUUGGACUUUUUGGGAGAUUGUUCAUAAAAAUGGGAUCCAACAAUUAUAAAUGAGAAUCACAUGCAUAUAUAAUCUAUUGUAUAAUUUAAAUUAAAUUUAGUCCAUGUAUAAAAUGGUCCUAAAAUAAUUAGUACACUAUGAUACAAUGCUAUUUUAACAACAAAAUUUUUUUUUUACUAAAAGUCUCAAAUAUCCAUGACAUACGUAUGAGGGAAAUUUUACCAUAUUUGUAUCUCACAUCUAAUCAUUAAAGUUAAUUUGAGAAAAAAUAUUUUUGACAAUAGAAUUAUUUUGAAUUUAGUUAACAAGUUGAGAUUUUUUAAACAAUAAAAGUGAAAUAUUUUGGGAACUUAGUUGUUUAUUUUCCCAUAAUUAAAAAUUGCUAUAUUUUUGCAAUUGUUGCCAUUGACUUUUCAUUCUGUAGACUAAUUAUUAUCAAUGCAAAAUUAGUUUUAUUAACAAUAAUUGAAGUUCCAUUGAUCUGAGGAUUGGCAUUCUAUUGCUAUUAUUUUAUAUGUAAAUAUUUAACCUAAGCAAUAAAAUAAAUAAUAGCUACUUAAAAAAAGGAAAUUGGUGCUCAAUUAAUUGUGGCGUAAAAUAUUAGUAUACAAUUAAGUAGAGCUUGAAAUGGAAUUAAAUUUAUUUAGUAUUUUACUGCUAACAACUUUGACCACAUCUAAUGGUUAAAGAAAAAAUAAAAGAGAUGUAGAGAUUGGGAUUGGUUCCUUAGUGUGAAAAAGAAAAGUUCCUCUAAAGUAAUGCUGCAUGAAAUUCUGGAUGCAUAUGAAAUUAGAAAUAUGAUAACUUUGUAAUUCAUUCUCAUUCAUGAUGAAUUUCUUCAAUUCUAUAUAGAAUCAUAAUUUUUUUCGUUCAGUACGAAAAUAUUAUUUUUUUGUCAUAUUGAUGGCUUUGCUUUUAAGAUUACCUACAUGUCGGUGGUUAGUAUUAUUGACAAGAUUAGAGGUCAUGGAAAAUGUUACUAAUUUUAGGAGAAAUUAUGUAUUGUAAAAAUGGUUUAAUAAUUUUCUACUAAGCAUAACUACUACAUACAAAAAGAAAAGAUAUUUGAUUUUAUUUUGCUUUGAUUAGAAGGACUUGUAUUGGUAAUAAAGGAAAUUUCAAUUCAACAAUCAACGUACACAUGAUUACAGUAAUUUUUUAGUCAAUUAGACUAAUAUAUGCCAUAAAGUAGUAAGAUUUAGUCAUUUGUGAAUUGAUAAUUUUAACAGUUUACAUAACAUUCAUCUAUAAAAAAUUAUGAUUAUUAUAAAAUGACAUUUUAUAAUAAUUUACAUACCAUUUGCCAAUAAAAAAAGAGUUUGAUAGAAAAAAUAUAGAAACAAAUCCAUAAUGUAAAUGAUACAAAGUAUGUUUGAAAGUCACGGAACUUAACAUAUGGGUAAUUUGACUAUAAUUUUCAAAGAUUAUGCUACAUUAAUACAACUUUAAUUUUUAUACUUGUGACCCAGAAAAUAAAUUUAUUAAAAUUUUACCAUUUUAUUAAAUUCAUAGGCAUUAAUAUAUGAAAAUUGUGAUGUAUAAGUAAGUGCUAUUUUAUAUACAACUCGAAAAAUUUGUUGUUAUUAUAAUACAACUUUAACUUUUAUACUUGUGACCCAGUAAAUAAAUUUAUUAAACCUUUAUCAUUUUAUUAUACUCAUAGGUAUUAAUAUAUGGAAAUUGUGAUAUAUAGAUAAGUGCAAUUCUAUAUAUAACUCGAAAGAUUUGUUGUUAUUGUCAUCCAAACUUUCUAACCUUUCACAAAUUCUAAAAUAAUUCAAAAUUUAUAAUAUGAAAAUUUUUUCUUACAUAUUUUAUAAGGUCAUGUGCAAAAAAAAAAAAAGUUUUCAUAGUAUAUUUAAAAUGCUUAAAACAUAUAACAUUUAUAAAUGAUACAUACAAUUGUGUAUCAUACAUUUACAUUAUGAGUAAUUACUAACUAAAAUACUAAGUUUCAAUCAUUAAUAAAAAAUCUCAGCAUUAUUUCAAAUAAACUUCCUAAUACUUGUUACAUAUUAGUUUUUUAAGUAAAAUAGCAAAUUUAUACCACAAACUAGUAGGUUUUGACCACUAACCAAUUUUACUAUUCUAUCAACAAUAUUUAUUAUUAAUCUAUAAAAACUUACUAUUACUUGAACUAAACUUACUCUCCAAAAAGUAAGUUUCGGAUAUAAAGUAGUAAUUUAUUUCAAAAAAAAAAGUAAGUUCCAUGCAUAUUUAUUCUAAUUUACUUUUUGAGACAUAAAAGUUACUAAUUUAUCGAAUUAACUUACUAUUCUUUAUGUAAAACUUACUAACCAAAUUUUUAGGUACUAUCUUAUUUAGGUGACCAGUCCAAUAGGUAAUUAAAUGAUCACUAAAAGUAUUUUUACCUGUUAUAUCAGGUAAAAAGAGUUUCGUUACCGCAACAAUCGUUACUUCAGACUUUUCCUUUUAUUAUGUUCUUAUGAAGCGUACUCACUAGCGGAGAGAUGUCUUGGAAGUCAACACGUGUGAGGUCCGUUUGUUUGGUUUGUCUCAAGAGUUUACACGUCACUCGACCAUAUGUGUAUAGGGGUGGCAAUGGGGUGGGGGAUCCUUCCCCCGUCCCGUUGUUAAAUAACUUCCCCCAUCCCCCGCCCUUUGCCCCCUACCCCCCGCUUCGCCCCCGCCCUGUGUCCCCCGCAGUCCCCCGCAGGGAAAGAAAUCGAAGUGGAAGACUUCAUCUAUCAAAGUGCCUUCAGACACUUUGUAGUUAAGGGGAGACUUGUUUGCGAUGCUUCCUUUACUCGUCGGAGGCUCUCUUGCCAGAUCAGUGGCUAAUGGAGCAGAGACGGUAGUGCCCAGGCUGGGAGCAGGAGCGUGAGUUGCGGUCGAUCUGAACUCUGGAGGUGAGAUAUAGUCCGUCAAGAAAUAUGGUGACCUCUGUUUAUGUGUCUCAAAGUUUGUUGCUUUUGAUCCAAUUGUUGAGGGCCAGCUUCCCGGCGAGAUCGCUGCCUUGGAGCGGCUAGACACCAACGAUCUGGAUAUGUUGCGAGAGUGGAGGUUUGCGUUGGUGGUGGAAACGAUGUGCUGAUGUGCUGCCAGGCAGUGCGGACAGCAGCCGUGCAGCUAAGGGAGGAGGAGAUGAUGGCAACGGGUUGAACUCAGAUUCAGAAGAAACCGUGAUCCAGAAGAAACCGUGAUCUACUGCCCAGACUGGUUUGCAGGUAUAUUUUUAAACCAAUAGAAGAAGAUAGAUGCAAGUCCCACACAAAGAAGAAAGGAAGAAAAAGGAGCCGACGGUGGAUGGCCUGACCUACAGCUCGAAGAAAAAUUUGGGAUUGUUGUGUAUAUAUAUAUAUAUAUAUUUUAAUGUACGCGGGGACGGGGCGGGAAUGGGGCGGAUGUAUGUUGCCCCGUCCCCCGCCCCAUUUUAAGACGGGGGAUAUAUUUUGCCCCCGCCCAAUUUUUAUCCCUGCAGGCACCCGCACCCGUUGCCAUCCCUAUUUGUGUACAUGGGCAUCCUCAAAAUUGGAUGGUGUAUGUCACACACUAAGUGUUUUAAUCUUUCAUUCACUACUAGUGAGUUAAAUAACCACCAGCAGCUUGGGCUGGCAGCGACUGCCAAAGACUUCAAAGUUUUGGUCAUCAUUCGUCACAGUAGGUUGUUUCCUCAAAUUCGUAUAUGUUGGGGCUCACAUCAUUUAUUUGGUUCGAUGGUGAUUCAAACAUCAUGAUCUUUCCUAUAGAUUCAGUUGAGCCUCCUCUGAAUUAAGUUAGAGUAGUAGUAGAGUAAAUAAAUGACGAAUUACCAAAAAAAAAACCAGUGAGUUAAAUGUUUGGGCCCACAUUUUUCUACUAAUAAAAUAACUUUCAUUGGAUAUAUAAGUGCAAAGAUUGAAAUUGGAUGAGAAAUACAUUUCCAUUUUGGAUAAGUGACAAUAGAUUUGAUACAAAUUAAAAAGAAAAGUAUGACACUUUCAAUAGGACAGACGAGUAAUAUAUCGAUGAAUAUGUAAAAAUUGGCAUCUCUAAGCAUUGAAUCAAUGAUUAUAAUUCAGGAGUUAGUAUUAUGCAAGUUUGGAUGAACAAAUGAAUUUUGAUGCAGAUGCUGAUCAUACAUACAGGGCAAGAACAACGUGCAAAUCAGAUGAUUCGGGUAAAGAAUAUGUACAAACAAGGCAAUCAAUCUGAAAACUAGUAGCGAGCAAUACGAGGGUCAAGGUCCAUCUGCUUCCUUGUUUUCCCAGGAAAUAGAUCCUUGGAUAUGAUCAAACAAGGAAGAAGACCAAUCAAUGUUGUGAAUGGAAAUCGAGCCACUGCAUCAUGCCUUCCAAGUGAGACAAUAACCUUCCCAUCCGUUCCCAGUUUUCGUUCAUCCUCCUUGUAUAAAAUGACUCAAAAUAGAUUAGGUUUCAUGCACUAAAAAAACUCAGAUUAAUAAUAUCAUUGCCAACUGUUGGAUUCAAGAUGGAGAAGGCUUCAAUCAAGUCCGGUCUCUUUGUUGCUCUCUUUGUUCUUCCAAUCUGUUAGUCUCUCCCUUUCUCUGUUGAUCUUCUCAUCUACACUGACAAUCAUCGCUUGCUUUCCUCUCAGAAAAAGUCAUUUAUUUAUUCAUUUAUUUUGCAGUAUCAUCACUGCCAAUAAUGAAAGGGAUGGAGGCCAAUCUGACGACACAAAGUUUCAAGCUCUGGACACAAAUUUAGGUCUACUCAGACACAAAAUACUAAUCCAAGAAUUAGACCUAAAAAACCAAAAUCCCGUAGCAAAGCUGCUCAUAGAGCAUUGUUUUUAAGCUCAAAAUUGAUUGUUCCUCCGUUUUCUUUCUCUUGUCCCUUUAUUCAUGUUAGUUUCAGCCAAAAUUAGAGCAGAACUGCUUUUAUAUAAAAAUGAGAAGAAAUUGAAGAAAUAUGAAACUUACAAUUCACUGGUCAGUCCAAGAAUUGAUGAAGCUUCUCUAUAAAGAACGAUGACUGGUGGAAUUAUUGAAGACUUGAAGUUGCAAAAAGUUUUGGGAUGGAGCCUUAGAUAUAAGCUCCAUUCCGGUUCCAAGAAUUUCUUUAUGGAAGACAGAACUUUUUAUUAUUGGCCUUUCCAUGCAAAGUGAUUUCCUCUAUUUCCGGCCAAUUUUUCCAUGCUCCGGUUCCAAGAAUUUCCGCUGCAUUCAAUCAAGCACAUUGAAUUUAAAUUCCAUUUUUUUCACACUUUGGCAGGAGCAAGGAUUUCGUUGCAUGUAAAUCUAGAUACAUACUCGUUGCGAUAUUUUGUUAUUGCUUGCUACGAAUUCUGGUCAUAGUUGAUUGUAGAAUCAUUUCUUGUGGGAACUAAUUAUUUACAUUACAUACUAUCAACUCCUUAAUUUAGGUUGACUUAGCACAAUUGCAGAUGCAAACCGAGAAAUAAGCCGCUAGCACUAAUUGAAGUCCACAAUUAAAAUCUCACGGGUGAGAUCUAAGCCAUCAAAGUCUCACCUAAAUUUAGGGAUGGCAAUGGGGGCGGGUGCCCGCGGGGGGCUCUCGGGGCGGGGGUUGGGGCGGGGGCGGGGGGGAAUUUUUUCCCCCCGCUUAGAAACGGGGCGGGGGACGGGGGAGUAUACCCCCGCCCCAUCUCCCGCCCCGCCCCCACAAAAAAUAUAUAUAUAUAUAUAUAUAAUUAUAUAUAAUAUGUAAGUUAAUUAGUUAUAAACUUAUGAUAAUGAUAUUAUUAGUUAGAUAUAUUAUAUAAUGUAUAGUAGUUUAUGUAAUAUAAUUGAUAUUAUCAAUUAUAUGAAUAAUUAUACAUGUCUACUAAUAAAAUUUAUUAAUUAGUUAUACUAAAUUUACUAAUACAUUUAUACUAAAUUUCUAAUUACACUUAAUAGAAUAACACUUUUUUCUCAAAAAAAAAAGCACAAACACAAUAAUGAAUUAGUGAUUGCAUUUGUACUAAAAGUGAAAACUUGACUAUUUUAGUUAAAUUUAUUUCAUCAUAUUGGAUUGUAUUCAAAUAACUUCUGUUUGAUUGUUUUUAUGAGUUUCAAUUGUAAAAUUACAAUGAAUAAUAGUUUGGUGAUGUGUUGAUAUUUUAGUACUUAAUUAUUUAUUAAAAUUUAAUUAUAAUAAAAUUAUAUAAUAAAAGUUUAUUAACCCCGCGGGGGAAGAGGGGCAAGGCGGGGCGGGGCGAGGGGAGCGGGAGGCGGGAGGCGGGGGACGGGGGGAACUAAUAGGCAACGGGGCGGGGUUGGGGGGACGGGGGACGGGGGAGGGGUCCCCCGCCCCAACCCCGCCCCAUUGCCAUCCUACCUAAACUCUUUUCUUUCCCUUCUCUCUAGAACUCUUUCAAUCAAUAUUUUUUCCAUCUCUUCAAUGAAAGAGAGACCAAAUUUGGCCUUUCUCCAUGGGAGGAAGUACUUUUUAUAGUUUUUAGUUUUUCUUAUAUGAAUAAAUUCUCUCCUAGGAUUUUCUAAUGAGAUAAUUCUUCUCUCCUAGGAUUUCCUAGUAAGAGUUUCUUCUCUCCCAAAUUAUUCUGGUGAGAGUUUUAUUUUCUUUUGGAUUUUUCUUUGUAAGAGUUUUUUAGGGUUUUAUCUUUGUAAAAUUUGAGAUUCUGUAAAUCUAAAAUCUAGUUUCUCAUAUAUACAAUUUCUCCAUUAUUAUCAUAUCUAAAUUUCUCUUUGGAUUUGAAUUAGUUUUAAACAGAUCUAAUUAUCAGCAAACAUGCACUGAUGUAUUGAGCUACAAUGACUCAUCCGAAUAGAAGAUAUAUGGGAGCAUCAAUGUUAUCUUUAUUUGUAUUGUUUUCUUAGAUCUGUUAUAUUUAUUGAUUUCAAAUAUAUAUAUAUAUAUAUAUAUAUAUAUAUAUAUAUAUAUUUGUGUCAUGUUUGUUUGAUGUAUUUUCUAUCAUUAGUACAAAUUUGUUUGAAUGAAAUGAUCUUUUCUAUCAAAAAAGAAAAGGUCUCACAUUUAACGACUUGUAUAUGAGACUUUGUCUCAUUUUUUGAAAUCAUGUGGUAAAAUCUUUUAUUAUAUAUAUGGUUUUAUACGAAGACAAAUAGUAAACCGUUAUAUAUCUUUGCUAGACUAGCACGGAAAGGGUAUGAAUCUCUUGCCACUCUUUACCCCUAGCCCACCUGAUUUUCCUCUCUACUAAAAGGAUGUACUUUAAGGUUUUGAUUUCCAUUUCAAGCUGUGCUAGUGUGACACAAAUUUACAAUUUUGCAACUUAUAAAUGGUCCACGGUUAAGAUUUAAGGCAUUAAAGCCUAAUACUAUGUAUAGCAUGAUUUGUCUCGUAUCUUGAAAUCAAGUGAUAAUAAUUAGGAUAAAUUACAUUUUACCCCCCUAUAAUUUAGCAUUUUUACAUAACUCCCCUAUGAUUUCAAAAGUUAUACAUAACCCCUUCAUGGUUUGGAUUAAAGUGUCAAAGUGACGGAAAUAGUUACUCGUAAUAGAACUUCUAAAAAUGUCGAAAUUAUAUGUAAAAAAAAUGUUAAACCAUGAGGGGGUAAAGUGAAAUUUACCCUAAUAAUUAUAUGAUUCUAUUUAAAAAGUUAUGUAAACAGACGGUAUGAAUUUAGAACACUCAAGCACAUUGAUGGGAGGCAAGAUUUGAACCCUUGACCUCCCACCCCACUAUAUACAGUGGUGGCCAACUCCUCUAUUGGGAGUUGGUUUGUCCUUUAUAUGUACAAUGAUGAAAAUGAACAAGCUUCAGACGGUUAAUGAUCAUCACAAAGUUGUAACGUCCUCAAAGGGAUAAUACAAGUCUGGGAGAAUGCAAAAGCUUCAACCGUUAAAAAUAAAAUGCUUCAGAUGACAAUCUGUUUCUCUUUUAAGGAGCUUUACUCCAACAUAGCAGGAGCUUUACUCCAACAUAGCUCCUAAUGGAGAUCAUCAGAGAGUUGAAGCAUCUUCAAAGUGUUAACAUUUUUGGGAAAAGAAAUUUCCUGCCACUCUACUUCAUAAAACAGACAGCAAAAAAUUAUCAGAAUGUUACCUUACAGUACUGCUUCAAUUAUGACCGGCCAACAAAUCAAAUUGUUAAGUAUGUACAUCGGCCAGGAAAGGUGUCAUUUGGUAACCAGAGGAAUGAAAAAAGAAAGUGCUUGAAAUCAUUUUGAGUUCCAAAAUGCUGAUAAUCUUUUGAUGGUUCAAAGAAGAAGAUCAAGUCCACAGCUUUAAUCUCUUUCAAUCUGUGAAAUUACGCUUUCUUAAUGACAACAAUUAGCUUAUAAAUUGAAAGGAAACCAAUAUUUACAGAAAGGAAUAGAGAAAUCAAUAUCCACUGAGAACAAAUUUAGUGAACUAAUGAGAUUAAAAGAAGGGACCAAGAAAAGCGAAUACAUUAGAGAGAACAAAGCAGAGGUGAAAAUCUUACAGGACGACUUAGAAAGAUGAAUGUUAAUCAAUAUCAAGCUCCAUGUGUGAAAUCUUUGACCACUCUGAGUCGUCCCCACUUUCAAAAUUGCACCUAUCGAUUAACAGAGAACAAUCAAUAAUCCGCAGAUAUGUUAAUUUAGUGAGGCGUCUCAUGGCAGCCAUGGAGGGCAAAUAUUGAAGCUCUUCGCAACUCUCUAAUACUAGUCUUUCAAGAGACGCAAGGUUCCCAAUCCAAUGUGGUAAUGCUUUAAUUCUUCCAAAGUCGAAUAGAGAUAGUGACGUGAGAGUAGUCAAGUAUUGGAGCUGAUGUGGAAGAGACUCCAUAUCAGACAUCCCAUUUAACUCAAGCUCACAGAGUGUUGAUGAUGAUAGUAAUCCAGACCAAUCAACCAAGGAGUAAUCUGAGAAGGGCCCGAUCAUCAUUGUCGUUAAGCAAGUAAGAAAGGCAAAUCCUUUGGGCAUAUCAUUGAUCAAUUCGGGGCAAUUGGUUAAGAUGCAGGUCUCGAGAGAAGGCGUCUGUUGCAAAUCAAGUGGAAAGGAGACCAGAUUGGGACAUUCAUACACCUGAAGGCUCUGAAGAGGUGAACAGGACUCUAGCAUUUCACUGGCUAUAGUGGUCAACCCAUCACAAUCAGAAAUUGUCAAACUCUUGAGAGACUUGAGGAGGCUUUUCUGUCCAUCGUUCCGAUUUUCUCCAAGAUCAAUUAGGGGGCAUACCCGUAUAGACAAAUCACGAAAGGCCUGGAACUUAUACAGAUUUUCCGGCAACUCCCUCAAAUUAUCACAGUCAAACAAUUUUAAACUCUCAAGACAGGUGCCGCAAUUUAAUCUUCUUAGACUCGUCACAUUGGGGCAAUACGACACUUGUAGAUGUUGAAGACUUGGAAAAUGACACAGUCGCUCGACCAUUUCACUCGGUAGAAGCUCACAACCAUCUCCUAGAGUCAAAGAACUCCCUUGGUGGCUACCAUCUUCUGAAUUCAAAGGUCUUUUCACCAAAUGGAGAGAUUCUAUUUGUUGAUGAGCUUCAGAAUUAUGUCGCGAAGACAUACUUCCAUCUAGUUUGAGUGACGAGAGAGUGGUUCUAUUGUUUAAAACCUUUUCUGCCAGAGAAGAGUGGCAAUAGAAUCUGAUUUCGAGCUCCUCAAGAGUUGGAAAAUGACUAGGAGUUGGAGCAGUGGUCAGUUGGGAGCAACCACUGAUAGACAACCUCUUCAGCACAGGACAGGAAAUGCAGCUACAUCUUCAUCCGUUGUUGAUCUCACUUCGUCUGGGUCCCUCCACUCAACCAAAUUCACCAUAUCUUCUAGAGUGAGGCUUUUAAGGGCUGGAAAGAAUUUGCAUUCACUAGUGCUCCCUCUUCCAUCCUGCUUAUCAAAAAUACCAUAGAAUGAAAGGCCAAUGCAUGUUAAGUUUUCCAAUUUACUCAAAGAAAGAAGUUGGAGGAAUGGUAGUUCUCCUAGCCCAGCAGGGAGUUCUCUGCAUCUGUUGCAACCUUUUAACUCCAGGGACACUAAUUUCGACAAAUUCAUAAACCAUUGCGGAAAUUGGUAACCCAUAAAAUCUUGAAUUUCUGACAUUUGUAAAUAAUAGUGAGGUUGGAGACCUUCCAACACAGCUCCAUCGCCGUUAUCACUCUCCCGAUCCCCACUUCCCUACUCGAAUACCAACCUAGACAGAUUUGACUUUUCAAUUAAUUUUGCUAGUGCAGCUCCUUCUUUACUCUUUACUAACUUAAGAUUUCUUAUCACCAACGAUCCUUUGAGAUCUUUCAAGGUUCCAAGCUCUUCAACGCCACAACCCUUCUCUUCUCCUAUGUUAAAGAACUCUAAUGUUUGAAGGCUAGUCAAUCGUCCCAGUUUGAUCGGCAUUUGGAGUUCUGCAUCACUAUGAUAAUAGUGAAGAUGUCUCAAGCUAAUCAAAUUGCUUGUGCCCUCUGGAAGACCUUCAUGAAGUUUUUCACCAUUGAUCCUCAGUGUUUGCAAGUUGUAAAGCUUGCAAAGAGAUUCUGGCAAAGUUGUAAUACCAGAAUCUGAUAUAUCAAGAAACCGUAAAUGUAACAGGCUGCCAAUGGAGUUUGGCAGCACAUUGACAUCUGGUCCAGCCAAUUUCAGAACAUGCAAGUACUCCAUCUUUGAUAACAUGUUAUCAGAUAUGCCAUUCUCUAGAAAUAAUGUGCGAAGUGAGGUUGGAAUUUUCUCUGUGAUAUUUUUUGCCUUUGCUUCAGAUGAGUACAAUGCAAGGUAGCGGUACUGAUUGCUGCUUUUAGGAUUCAAGAUUGAUUUUGCAAAAUCAUGCACAAGAUCAUGCAUUUUAUAAUAUGUUCUCUCCUCUUCUUCUACUUUUUCCAACAAGGAAGCCUGCAGCAAAAUUCUCAAAUAGUCACUCCCUAUUUCCUCCAUCACACUUCCAUUUUGGUGGCCUGGUUGAAGAAAGCCUUCCGCUAUCCAAAGCUCAGUUAAUAGAUCUUGUUCCAAUUCAGUAUCCUGGGGGAAGAUCGAGCAGCAUGCAAAACAUUUCUUGGCUGAUACAGGUGACAAAUGAUCAAUACUCACCUUAAGUAUUUGCUCGAUCUCACCUUGAUCUCCAUCCAAGAGUCUCCUCCACAAUAGACAGCCACUUUUCCUUUCCCUUGUUACGUAACAUACCUUCAAUUAAACUUGCUGCUAGUGGUAGACCAUCACAUCUUCUAAGAAUUUUCUCCUUUAAUGCUUCCAAUUCCUUUGGUACUCCUUCCCCUCUAAUUGCCUUUUCUUUCAGAAUAGACCAACACUCAUCGUCGGCUAGCCUUCCCAAGAUAUAUGGACCAUCAUUCAUCUUCAUAUGUAUAGACAUUGCAUCAGCUACUGGGUCCAGACAAGUAGUAACAAGACACCAGCUUCCUUUGGUUGGAUUGAGUCCCUCCAAAGUGGUGAAAAAGUCAUUCCACAAUCCUUCUUCAUGAUUCCACACAUCAUCAAGAACAAGGAGAUGUCGUUUUCUCGCAAUUUCUCCUCAAAUUUCUUGAACAAUAGCAUCCCCACCAUCCACUUCAACUUUUUUUCUUGUCAAUGAUUCCAAAACGAAUUUGAACAGCUCCAUUAAUUCAAUUUCUUUAGCCAGGCAAAUCCAAAUCUUCUUGCCAAAAUGCUCAUCAAUUCGCGGAUUAUUGUACACUGAUUUAGCGAGAGUUGUUUUUCCCAACCCUCCCAUGCCUGUUAUAGGAACAACAGAAAUAACUUUAUCAGAGGGGCUCAACAUCAUGUCCACUAUCUUUGAUUCAUCGCUGGCUCUUCCCACAACAUUUGGAACAAGAAUAGAGUCAGCCUGUCGGCUUGUGGUGGCUCCAUCGGCAGCUGGGAGUGCGGCUUCAAUUUGGUACUUCACAACCAAUCCCAACUCGUUGGCUUUACCGUUGAUCCUGUCUAGGUUGGUGUUGAUGUCCCUGAUUUUUGAAGCCAAUCUGGAACGAAAAACGAUUGUGCUAAAGCAGGAGAAUGAGAAGAAGAAGCAUACCUUCCUCUUCUUGACUUGACCACGAUACUUCACCUCCUGACGGAGAUUUUCAUAAUUGACCUCAUCCAGCACAUAUUCUGCUUUAAAAACCUCUCCCUCGAGCUGCUUGAGCCAAUCUUGGACCCCUGGGCUAUGCAUUUUCCCGUCAGCAUCAGCCAAGAAACCUUGGAUCGUUUCAGCAGUCGCGCUUAUCCUCUCCAACUCCUUUUUGACCCCAAGAAUCAUACGGAUACGAUCAGCCGCAAGGGAAACAGCAGUCCCCAGAACGAAAUUGAUAGUUGUAUUAAUAGCAGCAUCAGCCAUUUUUUCUUGCUUCGAAUUGGAAUUAGGAGCAAAAGUUUUCUGUUCUCAGAGAAGGAAGGAAGGAUUGAUUCAGCAGCAAAUAGCGUAAACUCUGUGUAGUAUAGAAGCAAUGAUAAAUUUUUCUUUGAUCCAUGGUGGCGGCCCUUAAAAAUUUGAAAUUAGCAAUAAAAAGUUCUCUUUGUCCGAAUCAGACAACAAAAGUAUGGCCUAGUAAAGACUAAAUCGUAGUAGCAGGCAAGCCUUGUUUUAAAUAUUUGCCUGGUAAGAAAACCACAUAAAAGUGUUAUUAAUCAGUUAAUUCUUUUUUAAUCUCGUCAGUUUAAUUUAAUAAUUUGGUCACAUAUCAUAUCAUGAUCAUCAUUAGUUGGCAUUAUUGGGACAGACAAGUUAAGGGCAAGUUCUUUCCGCUUUGUUUCUUCCUCCAUAAUAUGAUUAAGAUUUAAUUUAAUUUGUGAAGGUUAAUUUUUUAUUAUGGCAAGUUAAGGAGAAGAAAAUUUUGAUUAUUAAUCCAUUAUUCCAAAACUAUUUUUACAAUUGUUACUUUGUACAUGCAGGAACUAUUUUACUUCUUAACAAUGAUAUUGACUCAAACUUUUCCAUACACUAGUGUAAAAACAAUGUGGUGCUUACCCAAAAAAAAAAAAGAGUUAUAAAUAAAUAAAAAUCGCUGACGAAUCAAAGCAUUUGAACUUGUUUUGGCCCCUACAGAAAUUUCAGCUAAAUACUUCUUACCCACCAGAUUAGAAAUCAAUUGUCCACCUGCAGUGAAUUUGUAUUUUUUUUGUGUGUCAUAACCAGUAAUCAUCACGAAAAUAGCAAAGCUGAAAAUGCUAAAACUUUUAGGGUUCGCUGUUUUUUUUUUCCUCUAUCUGUUUGAGAAGAAUGGUUUACUUUUUUUUAUUUUCCACUGAAAGUUUCAAUCAGGCUCCUCUAUUUUGAGCCAAUGAAUGUGGCUGCCUUUGGUAAUCUAAUGCCAAUAAAAUGGAGUGUUUUUUUGGAAGGAAUACAAAUCAAACAUGGAGUCAUUUUUUAGAACUUUGGUUUCAACCUUCCCCGGGAAAAUUUUACAUAGAGUGAUUAACAUAGUUUUCUGAAAAAGAACUUUAUUUUAAUUUCAAUCAAUUAACUUAUUCUUUGACUCCUUGCUCAUGAGGGGUAGGAAAAUCCAGUGUCAGUAGAACCACUCUAAUUUUUAUCAUUAUUAUUUUUUUAACUUCUCUUUGGAUAAUGGGCUGAUCAUGACACUAUUGAAAUCAAUCAGCUUCUUAUUCUUUUUUUUUGUUCAUAACUGGGCUUAUUUCGAUGGAUUUGUAAGGCGUCACACUCUUGGAUGGGGACUGAGGGACCAAUUGAUCACAAGUUUUGAAAUGUUUAAUUUAUUGAAUUAAUUUGUUACAUACCGAUAUCAUAUACACUUUUAUCAUUAGAUAUAUGAUGCAUAAUCUAAAUUUAAAUGUGAAAUUCAAAUUUUACAUAUAUGUCAUGUAUCUAAUGUGAUAGUGUAUACACUGUAAGUACAGUAUAUAUAAAAGGGUUAUUAUCACUUUACCUCCUUAACUAUAUUACUACUACCAGUUUACCCCUAACGUUAUCUUUUAGUCACUUUACCUCCAUAAGUAAUUUAACUCAAUACAUUAAGAAAUUUUGGACAAAAAUACCCUCUUAUUUUAUAGCAUUACUACAUUAUUAUUAUCACUUUAUUCGUUUAGAUUAUAGCGAUACAAUCACUUUAGUUCCUAACAUUAUUUUCUAGGCAUUUUAUCUCAUCGUUAAUCUAACUAUUAUGGUUAAAAAAUUUUAAAUAUAUUUACCCUUUUUUAUAUAUUAUUAAAAAUAAAAAAGUUGAAAUGGUUAUUCUUCCUUUUUUUCACUUUAAAAGAUCAAAAAACAUAAAAAUAAAAAGGAUUUCUCAAAUUUCUUUUUUUCACACUUAUUAAUACUCGAAAAAGAAAAAGAGAUGAGAAAGAAGGAGACAGAAAAUUAGAUUUUGCAAAAAAAGAAAAUAAAGAAAAGUAUAACAUUAUCGUAUUACUUUAAGGUUGUCGAAAUUAGGAUUGGAAUUUGGUAGUAAACAGAAACAUGAAAUAAUUUUAAAAUAAUAAAAGUAUUCAAUUCUUUCUUUUUUGUAAUUUUUAAAAAAAGAAUUGAGCUCUCUCUCUCCCUCUCCCCUCCCCCCUCUCCCUCUUUCUAUUUUUUUUUUCAAUAUUAAUAAGAUUGUCAAGAAAAAAGAAAUGAAUUCUUUGACUUUUUUUCUUGAUACUAAAAAGGAGAGUGGCGGAGUUAGGAAUUAACUUUGGGGGGAGCGAGUCUAUAGCAAUGAAAAUAAAAUAUAUUUAUAAAAAAAAAUAAUGUGAACAUAUAUACCACAAGAUUAGAAACAACCUUAUAUAGAAUGAAAAUUAUUUAUACGUUUCACAUAAACAAAAAUAUCAUCAUAUUUACAAAUCUAUUUGACUGUGUGGGACAUAUGAAAUUGUGCACGAUGACUUUUAAUUUUAUCAAAGUCAUCAAUGAUUGAAUUUAUAUAAAAAGUUCUAGCAAUUUCUUUCUCAAUAUACAUUAUCAUAGAGUUAGCAAGAAAGUCUUCCUCCAUCCUAGAACGCAAACAAGUCUAGAUAAUUUUCAUAGCAGAAAAUGCAUGCUCUGUUGUAGCUGUUCAAACAGAAAGAGUCAAAAUAAGAUGAACCAAUCUAUCAAUAAGAGUAUAGCACAUUGACUUUCUUGUCUUUGCUAACACUUGGCACAACUCUUGAAGUGAUGACAAAUUUUGAAGCUGAGAAUUACAGGAAAACUCAACCUGGAAAAGCUCUAAUUGAGUUCUUAAGUGUAACUUCUCUUGAUCUGUGAAGUCAGCUGAAUAAAACUUGUUUGCAAGUUGACAAAUUUGUUCAAUAUUGAAAGCCUGAAAACUAUCUUUAGGGUGCAAUGCUGAACUAAGAAUAAGCAACUCUAUUAUAUCUUCCUUAAACCUAUUCUUCAUUUCAAGUAUUUGAGAAUCAACCGUUGCCAAAAACACAUCAAUCCUGUAGUGAUGCUACAUGGUAAUUGGAUCAUUUUGUUUUCGAAUUCUUCCUCGACUUGCUUUAUAAAUGACAUUCAUAUCAUGCAUCUCUAUAUUUCGUGCAUCACAAAAUGUCUUUACAUUGGUGAACAAUUCAUUCCAUCCAUUAUCUCUGUAACAUUGAAGUCGAUCCUUUGUUACUGAAACCAAUUUAAGGGCAUUCAAAAUAUCUUGAGAUUUGCAUUGUAAAGCUUGAGAAAGUACUUGUGCAAAUCCAAAAAUGUCCCUCAUCAUAUGCAUAACAAGAACAAAAUCAAAGGAUGUUAUGAAAUCGUAAACUCUGUCAGCUUCACUUCUUUGAGUUGAUGUAUUUCCAUAAUUGAUAACAUCAAUUAGGACAGAGCAAAUGUCCUCAUAUUCUGUGAAUAAGCUACAGAUAGAACUAAAAUGAGACCCCUAUCUUGUAGUCCUUGGCUGUUUUAAGGUGCCAAUCUGAUUCUGACCCCUACCAGUCUCAAGUUCAUCAAUAGCAAUCAAUUCAACAAUUCUAGCAGCUCUAGCAACUCUAAGUUGGUCCACACGUUUGCAAGAAGAUGAAAUUAAAUUUAUAAGAAGAGAUAAGUAUGUAAAGAAUUGUUCCACAGGAACUACCUCUUGAGAUGUUGCUACCAAUGCUAAUUGCAAUCGAUGAGCAAAACAGUGAAUAUAAUAUGCAUAGGGGCACUCCUGAAUAAAUAAUGCUUGCAGUCCAUUCCAUUCUCCACGCAUGUUACUAGCUCCAUCAUAUCCUUGGCCACGAAUGUUUUGCACACUAAGAUUAUGGCGAGAAAGGACAUCACAUAUCUCCUUCUUCAAAGUCAAGGAAUUGGUUUCGUGCACAUGAACAAUGUCAAAAAAUCUCUCUCAAAUAUAGCCUUGCUUGUCCACAAAUCUAAGAACAAUAGCCAUUUGCUCUCUUUUUUAUCUAUCUUGAGCCUCAUCAACAUGUAUAGAAAAUUUUGAAUCACUAAUCUCUUCUCGAAUAUACUUUUGUAUCUUGCUUGACCAAAUGGAUAAUAUCUCCUUUUGGAUCGUAGGAGAAGUAUAAGAUGCAUUUUGAGGAGCAUUAUCAAGGACCACAGCAGCCACUUUUCAUUAUAAGAAGACACAUGCUUGAUCAACUCAAUAAAAUUACCUCGAUUGUUAGAAUCUAAACUUUCAUCAUGACCCCUAAAAGCCACCGCUUGAAAUGCACACCAUUUUGUAGCAUCUAUGGAAACUUGAAGUUGCAACCGAUUUUUUGCAACCUGCUCAGAAUUUUGCUUCUCAAUAAUUUUAUCAAGAUGUUGCAAUGAGUUUCCCAAAUCAUGAUAGCAUUGCAUUGUCACUUUGUGUGAUGAGUUAGGAUCUUUUCCAAUGUGAUUAAAAAAAGCACAAUUUUUUCCAUCAUUUACCUUUUUCCAUGAUCUAAAUCCACUAGUUGUGAAGGCCAUUGAUCCAAAACGGUCCGUUGGCUUGGAAAAAAGUGAGCAAGGAAGACAAAAGACAGCCUUCUUUGUUGGAAAAAAUUCCAACCAAUCUGGAAACAAUUUAUACCAAGAGAAAAGGAAACGUCGGCCCUUCUUGUCAACAACCAUUGAUUCAAUCGGAAGCUCAGGUUAGUAUGGCCCAAACUUAAUAUAUGCUCUCCGUACCUCAUCCCUUUGAAGCUCUAGAUAUUCCCAAAUGGAUUUUCGCUUUCCAGGAUCAUGUUCUAUGAAUGAAAUAUCAAACUCUAAUGAUUCAGCUCUACAAAAUUUCUUUGUUUGAUGCUUAGGAGAAGAAUCACGAAGAGGACAAGGAGUUUCACCACUUCCACUUGGUUCUAGAUGUCUUUUCUUGAAAAAAGAAUCAAUUGUCAUGUUGGCCAUUACCACUAUAUUUGCAACAAAACAAUAACCUGUAAUCGAAAUAAAAUUGAUUGAGAAAUGCUGGUUAUGGCCUAUAAAGAUGGGAAUUUGACCAAUGCAAGAGACUGAUUUCCCUAAUUCCCUUACAAAUUUUGGCCAUUCAGCCUGACUGAAAAGCCCGGCCAUCACCCAAGGAAGCCAACAGGAUCCUCAAAAUAAAAUUAGUAUGAAAAUUGGAAAAGAAAACCAGUCUCAGAAUCAACUAAAAUAAAUGCUUAUCACCCGAAUUCAGAAGACCAAGUACGAAAAACAAUACAAGUCCCUCUCGAGCAAUUCAUCAAACAACUGGCGGGCAAACUUCUUACACCCACAUUUCACUAAAUAAAUGCAAUGUCAAACUAAUCUGGUAAAUGGUAAUAGCUUAAAAUUUCAGAGCUUUUGGUAUAUCCAGUUUCAAAGCCACGCAUUUCAACUUUUGCAGAAAAAUUUGGGUGAGAACUGAGGAGUUACAAUUCUCUGCCAUAGAGUAUUAGCUUGUAUUUGGAAAUGAAAAAAAAAAAAAACUGGAGAUCGAAGAGGGAAUUGAAGUUGGGAGUUGAGAGUUGAGAGUUGAGGCUUUUCUGUAAGAAGGAAAUAAGAGGUGCAUUGGUGAAAAACGGCAAUUGUGAAGUUCAGAAAAUAGUAGGUAAGUUAUUUGGACCAAGUCUGUUAUUCUCCUUUAAGAAAAUAGUGGCAAUUCUCUGUUAUUUGAACCAAGUCCAAAUAACUUUCAAAUAUUAUUGUUUGGGCCCUUGGGGGGGCAAAGUGAAUUUUUUGAUCAAUUUUUGGGAGGGCAAAACAUAAUAAUAAAAAAUGUUUUACUUAGAAAUUUUUUUUAACAAUUGGAGAGGGGCGGUUGCCCCCCCCGGCCCCCCUUCCCUCCGCCUCUGAGAAGAGCCACUCUAAAUUUUUUAUUAUUUUUAUUAUGCAAAGAGGAGGGUAUUUGCUUCUAAAGUUUUUUAACUUGUUAAGUUGGUUUAAUGAUAAGAUAAAUUGUCUAAAAAAUAAUUUUAGGGGGUAAAUUGAUAAUGAAACUAUAGUUUAUGGGAGUAAAGUGAUAAUCAUUUUAAGGGUUAAACAUGUCUUUUCACUUUAAUUAACAAAUUCCGUUAAGUUUGACCAUUAGUCUUGAGGGUAAAGUGACUAAAAGAUAAUGUUAAGGAGCAAAUUGAUAGUGACACCAAACGUUUAGGGGGUAAGGUGAUAAUAAUCCUAUAUAAAAUUAACUCUAAUUUAUUAUGGUGAAUAACAAUAAUGAUUUAGCCUAAUUCCAAAACUCGAAUGAAAAGUGUAGGCUCGUAAUGCGGUAUAUCUAGUCCAUCAACUGGUGUCUAAAAUUGGUCAAGUUAUAAAACAAAAUGAGGGUCAAGGCAUUAGGAAUUAGAUGUCGUGGAUUCGAUUAUCAUGUAAUUAUAUUUAUAGAAAAGUGAUCGGUACGCUAAUCUAAGUCACGGUUGCAUGCGCUAGUUACAAUUAUUACACUGUUUUUUCAUACAAUUAUAUUAUCGUGUUGUACAUGUAAAUUUUACUCUUUUUAUUGGCAAAAAAUAUAAAUUUUGCUUGUAUAGACCAAAUAAUUAUAAAAAGGCAUAAUUUCAGAAACCUUUCUCGAGGUUUCUGACAAUUUCAUCUAGUAACCUUAAGAUUUUCAAUAUUACACUUACCUCCCUUGACCCUAUAAAAUGAUCAUAAUAACCUUAAUUUAUUAAUAUUUUUCAUACAAUUAAAUAAUACGCUCCUAAUCUUGUGCAUAGGAAUGCACCACACAAUUAAAUAUUUAAUAGAAACAAAAACAAGGUUUACUUUUAGAAUAACUAAUUAUAUCCUAAACAUAAUUCGAACAUAUUACAAAUUAAUUUUAACUUGACUUGAAAGAUCUAAAGAUGAAUAGAAGGAGAUGCAAGUUGAAGAUUUAAAUAUAACGGGGCAUAUAUUGGUACUCCAACAUUUGAGAGAUGGGAUGUUAUAUUAAUACAGUUAGUCAAAUUUUUUAAAUUUUACGGUACUCUUUUUUUCUUUUGUAACUUAGAUUGAGAUUUUAGGAUUUUGGGACUGAGGGUAGCGGUGGUCAUGAAGAUAGUGGUACUAAUUUGAGAUGUAAGAAUAUGAAAGGUUUAGAAUAGUAGAAAAAAGGGUUGAAAGUGGGUUUGAGGUUUUGUGCACAUUCCAUAUUUUUUUUUAUAGAAUUUUGUAAGAAAAUAAAAUGAACUUUACAAUUUCAUAAGGGCAAAUUGGGUUAUUCAUUCAAAAUUUUGAGCAUUGAAUAGUUUUUGUUACCUGAUAUUGCCGUUUGUUUAAAAAAAAAUAAUAGUUUUUGUUACCAAAAUGAUAAAUUCAAGGGAGUUAAGUGCAAUUUUUUAAAUCUCAAGAGAACUAAGUGAAAUUGUUAAAAAUCUCGAGAGAGGUUUCUAAAAUUAUCCUCUAUAAAAAAUACAAUAAUUUAGGUAAGGAUACACCUAUUACAAGAAAUACAAUAACCGAACACAGCUGCACCUGCACAGGUAUCCCUAUUUCUACCAUCUCCUCUUAGGGUAGCUGGAUGUCUAUUGUAUCUUUUUUCGACAAACAUGCUGAGCCAUUCAUGAUGGUCGAUAAAUAUUGAUGGUCGGAGAAUUUCAAAUACCAUAUUGAAUUUUGCGUUAUUUUUUUCCUUCUUUUUGUUUUUUUUUCUCCUUUUAAAUCAAGAACAAACAAUUUGAAGGUAAACAGCCAUGUAGAGAAUCUCUCAAUUGUUGGUGGAAACCAUUCAUGUUAUCAGAAGUUGUCUUAAGCUUCGAAUUAUGCCAUGUUUAGAGGGCUAGAUGUCCAGCUCAUAUUCUGUAUACUUGCUCCUUUAUUUUUCUCGUAGCAUUUCCACCUGAAACAUUGGCCGCCUCUGCAGCUGAUUUGAUUUAUUAAAUACAUGUUUCCCAUCAAGACAAAAUUGAAUUCCCAAUCUUUCCACAUUGCAGCAGAAUAUGAUCUAGAAUCCAGCUAUUCAAAUGAACCUUUUCACAUUGAACGUCGAAGUACAUUUCAACUAAAGGCUUCAGUUGAGAACUUCCCCAGUCGGUCGACCAAAUAUGAAUGCACAGCCAACUCUUCUUCCUUUUUGUUUUGUUUAGUCUGAAUGCUAUUUGGCAGAGUUUAGCAGAGACAACAGAGCAUUUUUCAUUUCACACACACACACAGAGUAUAUAUAUAUAUAUAUAUAUAUAUAUAAUUUUUCAUAUAUGUUAUGCAUCCAAUCGUGAUAGUAUAUAUAUUCAUGAAUCCAAUCGUGAUAGUGUAUACACUGUCGAUAUAUAUAAGAUUAAUUAUAUAUGUGUAUACACACACACAUAUAUUGGUUCUUCUUUUUAUUUACCAAAGCAAAACUGUUCCCUUCCUUUUGUUUUUUGGUUUGCAUCCUUAGUAAUGCUGAGAAAGAGAGAGAGAGAGAGAGAGAGAGAGAGAGAGAGUUCAAUUUUUUAUUUAAAAAAAAAAGAAAAAAUAAGAAAGAAUCUAGUAUACUUAUUAUUUUAAAAUCACUUCUUAUUCUUCCACCUACCACCCAAUUCCAACACAAACAAUUUUAAAGUAAUAAUAAUAUUGAAUUCUUUUUUAUUUUUCUGCUUUCAAAAAUUGUGCUUUUGUAUCCUUCUGUCCCAUCUCUCUAUCCCCUUUUUUUUUCAUUCCCUUGACAUUAGUAACAGUGAAAAAAAGAGGAGACCAAUCCUUUUUAUUUUUUUAUUUUUUGGUACUCUUAGAGAGAAAAAAAAAGGUGAAAAAAAAAAGGUGAAAGUUGAUAGGUUGCAAUUCUAUCAUUUAUUUUAUAAUUAAUUUCUCCUAUUACCUGACUUGAUGUGGAUUAAUUGCGGGAUUCUACUCACUUUUAGUAUUUUGCAUUUAUUUCAGGGAAUAGAACGAAAAUAUAAUAACAGGUGCUAAUUUGACAGAAAAAGAGUCCAAGGCACAGAGCUUAUCCCGGGGGCAUUAUUGGCAAAGGAAGACUUUUGCCCAUUUUGGUAAUUUCAAAAGAAGAGAGCAGGGCAGAGGCCUCUAUUUUACUGGAGGCUGGAGCGCCGCACAAGGUGUGCUUCUUCUUCCUUCGGAGGCUCCGUCCUCUCCGCAAGGGGGCUGCCGCACACAGUAGCCAUUAGAAUAGGAGCAAUUGAUAUAUGGCAGAGAAUGAGCACUAGCACCAGGGAGUUGCCUUUGUUGACUUUUCUUCCCUUUUAGUUCUUAGUAGUUGUUUUACCUUCCUCGUACGUAGGACCUUUAGCAUAGUUUUCCUUUUGACUUUUCCCUUGAGUCUUGGGUGGAUGUCUCCUGCGCAUGUCAGGAGCAAUUGAAGGUCUUGGUCACUUUCUAUAUUCUUCCAUCAACUGAGCGAACUGAGCUCCCUUGGUCAAGGACAAUGGCUGCGGCUUCCUCUCCAACUUUGCGUGGGAUUUGUUCACCAGGAAUGAACUAAUUUUUCUUUUCUAGUCAAGGAACAACGGAGGUCUUGGUUGGCCUAAAUUUGUGAGAUCGAUUUAAUUUUAUCUUUUUCUCUUAUUUAUUGGUAUUGGCAUAUUCUUUGAUUGCAGUGCUUAUGGUUAUUUAAUUAAUUGAUUGUCUUGGAUCCGGAUAAUUAAUCAAUUUAAUAAUCUAUUGUCAAUUGAGGGAUUGAAUCCGUAAUUGUUUAAUUGCCUCAAAAUAGUGACAACUGGCAUAAUUAGACUUGUGUCAGGGGAAUACGCGGGCUAAUCUAAAAUAACCCUGGUAGUGCGUUAUUUGAUUAGAAUAGGGCUCCUCUAAUACGUAAGGCAAUUGGGAAAUUAAAUUCUAUGGGCGUACCUAGGAUUAUUUCUCAAUUAGAGCAGUGAUUAACGGGCGUACCUUAAUCAUCGACACAGUAAGGAGGGGUUGACUGUCUUCGCUUGUUUGGCAGUUAUAACCUAUUUAUUGAUAAAUAAUUGGAAUUGCCUUUGCUUAUCGAUGAUCAAUUAGGUGAACCAUUGCUGAAGUUAUUCCUUGGCUAGAUCCUUUGAUUUUGGUAAAUUGUUAUUUUAAUUUCUAGUUGGCUAUUUUAUUUUUAUUAUUUUACUCUUAGUUGGAUUGUUUAAAUUGUCACCUCUGAGAUAAAAACACCCCCUUGUCACUGAGAAUUCGAAAAGAAACAAUUACUCCCAGUCCCUGUGGAUUCGACCCUACUUACCGCUAUCUACAGAAAUUAUUUUUAGUUUGAGCAGGUUUUAUUAUUGCACAGGUUUCGACAACCUGUCAAUUUUUGGCGCCGCUGCCGGGGACUGGUGUCAGAUUAAUUUGUUUCCUUUUGAGUUCAUUUUGUUUUCAUUUUUUAUUUAUUUUUUCUCUUAUUUUUUUGAUAUAGUUUAUGGCUUCUAACACUCCGUAUUUUGGUGAUGUAUUGGAUUUUAUUUCCGGGCAAGGCGAUGAGAUUUGUUUUUUUCCUGAGUUGGCAUAUGCAGAGGCAGUAAACUCUAUUAGAAAAAGAAUGGCUGCUGCAACAUGUAAAAUUUGUUAUGCCAGGGAUCAUUCAACCAGUAUGUGCCCCGAAUAUCAAGAUAAUCUGAGUGUUCCACUCAAUAAUUAUGGAGAUUUUUCACACUGGUCUCAAACGGGGUAUAACCCUAAUCCAUAUGGGUAUGAUCAAGGAGGGUGGGAUAACUCCAAUUAUAAUUAUCCAACGGGGCCAAUGAAUUUUCAGCAGUAUGAGUCUCAAGAAUCGGCAUCUAUGUCAGGUAUGUCUCUUGAAGAAAUAGUUAAACCAAUAGCUACUAACACAUACCAAUUCCAACAGGAGACACUAAUGGAGAAUGAGAUGAUGAAGGAUGCAUUAAAUUAUCUGGCAGAUCAACUACGUCUAUUGACAUCCAGAAUAAAUCGAUGGGCUUCUCAAAUGGAAAAAUUGCCCUCGAAAAUCGUUGUUGAUCUAGAAGAAAACGAGAGUGCAAUUUGCUUGACUAGUGAUGAGGAGAUGCAAGAGUGUCAAAAUGAGGAAUCUACAGAUGCAGUUGAAAAAGAAGCCAAAAAGAAAGAAAUGGAACCCCAACCGCAACCCAUUCACGUGAAAGAAUCCAGUGAACAAUCUCCAAAUGCGGUGACAUCUUCUCCACUCCUUCAUCAAUAUUCUCCUGACUCUUACUCUUCAAUUCCUGUUAACGAAAUUGACUUUAUUAUACCAGACAAUUUUGAAUUUCAUGACAGGAAUAAAUUAAGAGUGGCGAUGGCGAGAUAUCUUGAACCAAUAAAUGCAAGUGAGGGAGAAGUGAAUGGAGAAUGCAAAUUAUCAUCGACUCGUUUGGCGCCAUUCACUAGUCCAUGGAUGCCCGUAGCUCGUAUGCUCAAGGAUUAUUCUAUUUACGAGGGUUAUCAGGACUAUAUAGAGGAUGAAGCAUUAAAACGAGCCACACGAUUUUAUCCUCCAUGAACAAAACAUGAUAAUGUCUAGCCAAAGACAUUAAAGAGAGGCGCUCAUUGGGAGGCAACCCAAUUGUUCCUUUUAAUUAUUUGUUUGAUUUCGUGUGAUAGUUUAAAUAUGUUUUUCUUGAGUUUGAUUGGUUUUGGGUGUUAAUUUUCGUUUUUGCUGAUUUGUAGGUGACCUUCAGUCAUGACGCACCCGCGUGGUGACGUGCAUGAAGCUCACGAUCAGAAACUUCUGGGAGCUCUCUUGCCCUCAUGACGCGCCCGCGUGGUGAUGUGCAGGAAGCUCACGAUCAGAAACUUCUGGGAGCUCGCUUGCUCUCUUGACGUGCCCGCGAAAUAACUUUAUCAGAGGGGCUCAACAUCAUGUCCACUAUCUUUGAUUCAUCGCUGGCUCUUCCCACAACAUUUGGAACAAGAAUAGAGUCAGCCUGUCGGCUUGUGGUGGCUCCAUCGGCAGCUGGGAGUGCGGCUUCAAUUUGGUACUUCACAACCAAUCCCAACUCGUUGGCUUUACCGUUGAUCCUGUCUAGGUUGGUGUUGAUGUCCCUGAUUUUUGAAGCCAAUCUGGAACGAAAAACGAUUGUGCUAAAGCAGGAGAAUGAGAAGAAGAAGCAUACCUUCCUCUUCUUGACUUGACCACGAUACUUCACCUCCUGACGGAGAUUUUCAUAAUUGACCUCAUCCAGCACAUAUUCUGCUUUAAAAACCUCUCCUCGAGCUGCUUGAGCCAAUCUUGGACCCCUGGGCUAUGCAUUUUCCCGUCAGCAUCAGCCAAGAAACCUUGGAUCGUUUCAGCAGUCGCGCUUAUCCUCUCCAACUCCUUUUUGACCCCAAGAAUCAUACGGAUACGAUCAGCCGCAAGGGAAACAGCAGUCCCCAGAACGAAAUUGAUAGUUGUAUUAAUAGCAGCAUCAGCCAUUUUUUCUUGCUUCGAAUUGGAAUUAGGAGCAAAAGUUUUCUGUUCUCAGAGAAGGAAGGAAGGAUUGAUUCAGCAGCAAAUAGCGUAAACUCUGUGUAGUAUAGAAGCAAUGAUAAAUUUUUCUUUGAUCCAUGGUGGCGCCCUUAAAAAUUUGAAAUUAGCAAUAAAAAGUUCUCUUUGUCCGAAUCAGACAACAAAAGUAUGGCCUAGUAAAGACUAAAUCGUAGUAGCAGGCAAGCCUUGUUUUAAAUAUUUGCCUGGUAAGAAAACCACAUAAAAGUGUUAUUAAUCAGUUAAUUCUUUUUUAAUCUCGUCAGUUUAAUUUAAUAAUUUGGUCACAUAUCAUAUCAUGAUCAUCAUUAGUUGGCAUUAUUGGGACAGACAAGUUAAGGGCAAGUUCUUUCCGCUUUGUUUCUUCCUCCAUAAUAUGAUUAAGAUUUAAUUUAAUUUGUGAAGGUUAAUUUUUGAUUAUGGCAAGUUAAGGAGAAGAAAAUUCUGAUUAUUAAUCCAUUAUUCCAAAACUAUUUUUACAAUUGCUACUUUGUACAUGCAGGAACUAUUUUACUUCUUAACAAUGAUAUUGACUCAAACUUUUCCAUACACUAGUGUAAAAACAAUGUGGUGCUUACCCAAAAAAAAAGAGUUAUAAAUAAAUAAAAAUCGCUGACGAAUCAAAGCAUUUGAACUUGUUUUGGCCCCUACAAAAAUUUCAGCUAAAUACUUCUUACCCACCAGAUUAAAAAUCAAUUGUCCACCUUCAGUGAAUUUGUAUUUUUUUUGUGUGUCAUAACUAGUAAUCAUCACUAAAAUAGCAAAGCUGAAAAUGCUAAACUUUUAGGGUUCGCUGUUUUUUUUCCUCUACCUGUUUGAGAAGAAUGGUUUACUUUUUUUUUAUUUUCCACUGAAAGUUUCAAUCAGGCUCCUCUAUUUUGAGCCAAUGAAUGUGGCUGCCUUUGGUAGUCUAAUGUCAAUAAAAUGGAGUGUAUUUUUGGAAGGAAUACAAAUCAAACAUGGAGUCAUUUUUUAGAACUUUGGUUUCAACCUUCCCGGGAAAAUUUUGCAUGGAGUGAUUAAUAUAGUUUUCUGAAAAAGAACUUUAUUUUAAUUUCAAUCAAUUAACUUAUUCUUUGACUCCUUGCCCAUGAGGGGUAGGAAAAUCCAGUGUCAGUAGAACCACUCUAAUUUUUAUCAUUAUUAUUUUUUUAACUUCUCUUUGGAUAAUGGGCUGAUCAUGACACUAUUGAAAUCAAUCAGCUUCUUAUUCUUUUUUUUUUUUUUGUUCAUGACUGGGCUUAUUUCGAUGGAUUUGUAAGGCGUCACACUCUUGGCUAGGGACUGAGGGACCAAUUGCUCACAAGUUUUGAAAUGUUUAAUUUAUUGAAUUAAUUUGUUACACACCGAAAUCAUAUACACUUUUAUCAUUAGAUAUAUGAUGCAUAAUCUAAAAUUAAAUGUGAAAUUCAAAUUUUACAUAUGUGUCAUGUAUCUAAAUGUGAUAGUGUAUACACGAUAAGUACAGUAUAUAUAAAAGGGUUAUUAUCACUUUACCUCCUUAACUAUAUUACUACUACCAGUUUGCCCCUAACAUUAUCUUUUAGUCACUUUACCUCCAUAAGUAAUUCAACUCAAUACAUUAAGAAAUUUUGGACAAAAAUACCCUUUUAUUUUAUAACAUUACUACAUUGUUAUCGUCACUUUAUUCGUUUAGAUUAUAGUGAUACAAUACAAUCACUUUAGUUCCUAACAUUAUUUUCUAGGCAUUUUACCUCAUCAUUAAUCUAACUACUAUGGUCAAAAAAUUUUAAAUAUAUUUACCCUUUUUUAUAUAUAAUUAAAAAUAAAAAAGUUGAAAUGGUUAUUCUUCCUUUUUUUCACUUUAAAAGAUCAAAAAACAUAAAAAUAAAAGGGGUUUCUCAAAUUUCUUUUUUUCACACUUAUUAAUACUCGAAAAGAAAAAGAGAUGGGAAAGAAGGAGACAAAAAAUUAGAUUUUGCAAAAAAAGAAAGUAAAUAAAAGUAUAACAUUAUCGUAUUACUUUAAGGUUGUCGAGAUUAAGAUUGGAAUUUGGUAGUAAAUAGAAAUGUGAAAUAAUUUUAAAAUAAUAAAAGUAUUCAAUUCUUUCUUAUUUGUAAUUUUUAAAAAAAGAAUUGAACUUUCUCUCUCUCUCUCUCCCCUCCCCCUCUCCAUCUUUCUAUUUUUUUUCAAUAUUAAUAAAAUUGUCAAGAAGAAAGAAAUGAAUUCUUUGACUUUUUUUCUUGAUACUAAAAAGGAGAGUGGCGGAGCUAGGAAUUAACUUUGGGGGGGGAGUCUAUAGCAAUGAAAGUAAAAUAUAUUUACAAAAAAAAAUAAUGUAAACAUAUAUACCACAAGAUUAGAAACAACCUUAUAUAGAAUGAAAAGUACUUAUACAUUUCACAUAUACAAAAAUACCAUCAUAUUUACAAAUCUAUUUGACUAUGUGGGACAUAUGAAAUUGUGCACGACGACUUUUAAUUUUAUCAAAGUCAUCAAUGAUUGAAUUUAUAUCAAAAGUUCUAGCAAUUUCUUUCUUAAUAUACAUUAUCAUAGAGUUAGCAAGAAAGUCUUCCUCCAUCCUAGAAUGCAAACAAGUCUUGAUGAUUUUCAUAGCAGAAAAUGCACGCUCUGUUGUAGCUGUUCAAACAGGAAGAGUCAAAAUAAGAUGAAUCAAUCUAUCAAUAAGAGUAUAGCACAUUGACUUUCUUGUCUUUGCUAACACUUGGAACAACUCCUGAAGUGAUGACAAAUUUUGAAGCUGAGAAUUACAGGAAAACUCAAUCUGGAAAAGGUCUAAUUGAGUUCUUAAGUGUAACUUCUCUUGAUCUGUGAAGUCAGCUGAAUAAAACUUGUUUGCAAGUUGACAACUUUGUUCAAUAUUGAAAGCCUGAAAAUUAUCUUUGGGUGCAUUGCUAAACUAAGAAUAAGCAACUCUAUUAUAUCUUCCUUAAACCUAUUCUUCAUUCAAGUAUUUGAGAAUCAACCGUUGCCAAAAACACAUCAAUCCUGUAGUGAUGCUCCAUGGUAAUUGGAUCAUUUUGUUUUCGAAUUCUUCCUCGACCUGCUUUAUAAAUGACAUUCAUAUCAGGCACCUCUAUAUUUCGUGCAUCACAAAAUGUCUUUACAUUUGUGAACAAUUCAUUCCAUCCAUUAUCUCUGUAACUUUGAAGUCGAUCCUUUGUUACUGAAACCAAUUUAAGGGCAUUCAAAAUAUCUUGAGAUUUGCAUUGUAAAGCUUGAGAAAGUACUUGUGCAAAUCCUAAAAUGUCCCUCAUCAUAUGCAUAACAAGAACAAAAUCAAAGGAUGUUAUGAAAUCGUAAACUCUGUCAGCUUCCCUUCUUUGAGUUGAUGUAUUUCCAUAAUUGAUAACAUCAAUUAGGACAGAGCAAAUGUCUUCAUAUUCUAUGAAUAAGCUACAGAUAGAACUAAAAUGAGACCCCCAUCUUGUAGUCCCUGGCCGUUUUAAGGUACCAAUCUGAUUCUGACCCCUACCAGUCUCAAGUUCAUCAAUAGCAAUCAAUUCAGCAAUUCUAGCAACUCUAAGUUGGUCCACACGUUUGCAAGAAGAUGAAAUUAAAUUUAUAAGAAGAGAUAAGUAUGUAAAGAAUUGUUCCACAGGAAUUACCUCUUGAGAUGUUGUUACCAAUAUUAAUUGCAGCCGAUGAGCAAAACAGUGAAUAUAAUAUGCAUAGGGGCACUCCUGAAUAAAUAAUGCUUGCAGUCCAUUCCAUUCUCCACGCAUGUUACUAGCUCCAUUAUAUCUUUGGCCACGAAUGUUUUGCACACUAAGAUUAUGGCGAGAAAGGACAUCACAUAUCUCCUUCUUCAAAGUCAAGGAAUUGGUUUCGUGCACAUGAACAACGUCAAAAAAUCUCUCUUGAAUAUAGCCUUGCUUGUCCACAAAUCUAAGAACAAUAGCCAUUUGCUCUCUUUUUGAUCUAUCUUGAGCCUCAUCAACAAGUAUAGAAAAUUUUGAAUCACUAAUCUCCUCUCAAAUAUACUUUUGUAUCUUGCUCGACCAAAUGGAUAAUAUCUCCUUUUGGAUCGUAGGAGAAGUAUAAGAUGCAUUUCGAGGAGCAUUAUCAAGGACCACAGCAGCCACUUUUUCAUUAUAAGAAGACACAUGCUUGAUCAACUCAAUAAAAUUACCUCGAUUGUUAGAAUCUAAACUUUCAUCAUGACCCCUAAAAGCCACCGCUUGAAAUGCACACCAUUUUGCAGCAUCUAUGGAAACUUGAAAUUGCAACCGAUUUUUUGCAACCUGCUCAGAAUUUUGCUUCUCAAUAAUUUUAUCAAGAUGUUGCAAUGAGUUUCCCAAAUCAUGAUAGCAUUGCAUUGCCACUUUGUGUGAUGAGUUAGGAUCUUUUCCAAUGUGAUUUAAAAAAGCACAAUUUUUUCCAUCAUUUACCUUCUUCCAUGAUUUAAAUCCAUUAGUUGUGAAGGCCAUUGAUCCAAAACGGUCCGUUGGCUUGGAAAAAAGUGAGCAAGGAAGACAAAAGGCAGCCUUCUUUGUUGGAGAAAAUUCCAACUAAUCUGGAAACAAUUUAUACCAAGAGAAAAGGAAACGUCGGCCCUUCUUGUCAACAACCAUUGAUUCAAUCGGAAGCUCAGGUUGGUAUGGCCCAAACUUAAUAUAUGCUCUCCGUACCUCAACCCUUUGAUGCUCUAGAUAUUCCUAAAUGGAUUUUCGCUUUUCCAGGAUCACGUUCUAUGGAUGAAAUAUCAAACUCUAAUGAUUCAACUCUACAAAUUUUCUUUGUUUGAUGCUUAGGAGAAGAAUCACGAAGAGGACAAGGAGUUUCACUAUUUCCACUUGGUUCUAGAUGUCUUUUCUUGAAAAAAGAAUCAAUUGUCUUGUUGGCCAUUACCACUAUAUUUGCAACAAAACAACAACCUGUAAUCGAAAUAAAAUUGAUUGAGAAAUACUAGUUAUGGCCUAUAGAGAUGGGAAUUUGACCAAUGCAAAAAUUGGUUUCCCUAAUUCCCUUACAAAUUUCGGCCAUUCAGCCUGACUGAAAAGCCCGGCCAUCACCCAAGGAAGCCAACAGGAUCCUUAAAAUAAGAUUAGUAUGAAAAUUGGAAAAGGAAACCAGUCUCAGAAUCAACUAAAAUAAAUGCUUAUCACCCGAAUUCAGAAGGCCAAGUACGAAAAACAAUACAAGUCCCUCUCGAGCAAUUCAUCAAACAACUGGCGGGCGAACUUUUUACACCCACAUUUCACUAAAUAAAUGCAAUGUCAAACUAACCUGGUAAAUGGUAAUAGCUUGAAAUUUCAGAGCUUUUGGUACAUCCAGUUUCAAAGCCGCGCAUUUCAACUUUUGCAGAAAAAUUCGGGUGAGAACUGAGGAGUUACAAUUCUCUGCCAUAGAGUAUUAGCUUGUAUUUUGAAAUGAAAAAAAAAAUAAAAUUGGAGAUCGAAGAGGGAAUUGAAGUUGGGAAUUGAGAGUUGAGGCUUUUCUGUAAGAAGGAAAUAAGAGGUGAAUUGGUGAAAAACGGCAAUUGUAAAGUUUAGAAAAUAGUAGGUAAGUUAUUUGGACCAAAUCUGUUAUUCUCCGUUAAGAAAAUAGUGGCAAUUCUCUGUUAUUUGGACCAAGUCCAAAUAGCUUUCAAACAUUAUUGUUUGGGCCCUUGGGGGGGCAAAAUGAAUUUUUUGAUCAAUUUUGGGGGGGCAAAACAUAAUAAUAAAAAAAUUUUACUUAGAAUUUUUUUUUUUAACAAUUGGAGGGGGGCGGUUGCCCCCCGGCCCCCCUUCCCUCCGCCCCUGAGAAAAGCUACUCUAAAUUUUUUAUUAUUUUUUCAUGCAAAGAGGAGAGUAUUUGCUUCUAAAGUUUUUUAACUUGUUAAGUUGGUUUAAUGGUAAGAUAAAUUGUCUAAAAAAUAACUCUAGGGCCAUAAAUUGAUAAUGAGACUAUAGUUUAUGGGAGUAAAGUGAUAAUCAUUUUAGGGUUAAACACGUCUUUUCACUUUAAUUAACAAACUCCGUUUAGUUUGACCGUUAGUUUUGAGGGUAAAGUGACUAAAAGAUAAUGUUAAGGAGGAAAUUGAUAGUGACACCAAACGUUAAAGGGUAAAGUAAUAAUAAUCCUAUAUAAAAUUAACUCUAAUUUAUUAUGGUGAAUAACAAUAAUGAUUUAGCCUAAUUCCAAAACUCGAAUGAAAAGUGUAGGCUCGUAAUGCGGUAUAUCUAGUCCAUCAACUGGUGUCUAAAAUUGGUCAAGUUAUAAAACAAAAUGAGGGUCAAGGCAUUAGGAAUUAGAUGUCGUGGAUUCGAUUAUCAUGUAAUUAUAUUUAUAGAAAAGUGAUCGGUACGCUAAUCUAAGUCACGGUUGCAUGCGCUAGUUACAAUUAUUACACUGUUUUUUCAUACAAUUAUAUUAUCGUGUUGUACAUGUAAAUUUUACUCUUUUUAUUGGCAAAAAAUAUAAAUUUUGCUUGUAUAGACCAAAUAAUUAUAAAAAGGCAUAAUUUCAGAAACCUUUCUCGAGGUUUCUGACAAUUUCAUCUAGUAACCUUAAGAUUUUCAAUAUUACACUUACCUCCCUUGACCCUAUAAAAUGAUCAUAAUAACCUUAAUUUAUUAAUAUUUUUCAUACAAUUAAAUAAUACGCUCCUAAUCUUGUGCAUAGGAAUGCACCACACAAUUAAAUAUUUAAUAGAAACAAAAAAAGGUUUACUUUUAGAAUAACUAAUUAUAUCCUAAACAUAAUUCGAACAUAUUACAAAUUAAUUUUAACUUGACUUGAAAGAUCUAAAGAUGAAUAGAAGGAGAUGCAAGUUGAAGAUUUAAAUAUAACGGGGCAUAUAUUGGUACUCCAACAUUUGAGAGAUGGAUGUUAUAUUAAUACAGUUAGUCAAAUUUUUUAAAUUUUACGGUACUCUUUUUUUCUUUUGUAACUUAGAUUGAGAUUUUAGGAUUUUGGGACUGAGGUAGCGGUGGUCAUGAAGAUAGUGGUACUAAUUUGAGAUGUAAGAAUAUGAAAGGUUUAGAAUAGUAGAAAAAAGGGUUGAAAGUGGGUUUGAGGUUUUGUGCACAUUCCAUAUUUUUUUUUAUAGAAUUUUGUAAGAAAUAAAAUGAACUUUACAAUUUCAUAAGGGCAAAUUGGUUAUUCAUUCAAAAUUUUGAGCAUUGAAUAGUUUUUGUUACCUGAUAUUGCCGUUUGUUUAAAAAAAAAAAUAGUUUUUGUUACCAAAAUGAUAAAUUCAAGGGAGUUAAGUGCAAUUUUUUAAAUCUCAAGAGAACUAAGUGAAAUUGUUAAAAAUCUCGAGAGAGGUUUCUAAAAUUAUCCUCUAUAAAAAAUACAAUAAUUUAGGUAAGGAUACACCUAUUACAAGAAAUACAAUAACCGAACACAGCUGCACCUGCACAGGUAUCCCUAUUUCUACCAUCUCCUCUUAGGGUAGCUGGAUGUCUAUUGUAUCUUUUUUCGACAAACAUGCUGAGCCAUUCAUGAUGGUCGAUAAAUAUUGAUGGUCGGAGAAUUUCAAAUACCAUAUUGAAUUUUGCGUUAUUUUUUCCUUCUUUUUGUUUUUUUUCUCCUUUUAAAUCAAGAACAAACAAUUUGAAGGUAAACAGCCAUGUAGAGAAUCUCUCAAUUGUUGGUGGAAACCAUUCAUGUUAUCAGAAGUUGUCUUAAGCUUCGAAUUAUGCCAUGUUUAGAGGGCUAGAUGUCCAGCUCAUAUUCUGUAUACUUGCUCCUUUAUUUUUCUCGUAGCAUUUCCACUGAAACAUUGGCCGCCUCUGCAGCUGAUUUGAUUUAUUAAAUACAUGUUUCCCAUCAAGACAAAAUUGAAUUCCCAAUCUUUCCACAUUGCAGCAGAAUAUGAUCUAGAAUCCAGCUAUUCAAAUGAACCUUUUCACAUUGAACGUCGAAGUACAUUUCAACUAAAGGCUUCAGUUGAGAACUUCCCCAGUCGGUCGACCAAAUAUGAAUGCACAGCCAACUCUUCUUCCUUUUUGUUUUGUUUAGUCUGAAUGCUAUUUGGCAGAGUUUAGCAGAGACAACAGAGCAUUUUUCAUUUCACACACACACAGAGUAUGUAUAUAUAUAUAUAUAUAUAUAUAUAUAUAUAUAUAUAUAUAUAUAUAAUUUUCCAUACAUGUCAUGUAUCCAAUCGUGAUAGUGUAUUUAUUCAUGCAUCCAAUCGUGAUAGCAUAUACACUGUCAAUAUAUAUAAGAUUAAUUAUGUAUUGUGUAUACACACACAUAUUGGUUCUUCUUUUUAUUUACCAAAGCAAAACUGUUCCCUUCCUUUUUUUUUUGGUUUGCAUUCUUAGUAAUGCUGAGAGAGAGAGAGAGAGAGAGAGAGUUCAAUUUUUUUUUAAAAAAAAGGAAAAAUAAGAAAGAAUCUAGUAUACUUAUUAUUUUAAAAUCACUUCUUAUUCUUCCACCUACCACCCAAUUCCAACACAAACAAUCUUAAAGUAAUAAUAAUAUUGAAUUCCUUUUUAUUUUUCUGCUUUCAAAAAUUGUGCUUUUGUAUCCUUCCGUCCCAUCUCUCUAUCCCCUUUUUUUUUCAUUCCCUUGACAUUAGUAACAGUGAAAAAAAGAGGAGACAAAUCCUUUUUCUUUUUUUUUUUUUGGGUACGCUUAGAGUGAAAAAAAAAGUGAAAGUUGAUAGGUUGCAAUUCUAUCAUUUAUUUUAUAAUUAAUUUCUCCUAUUACCUGACUUGAUGUGGAUUAAUUGCGGGAUUCUACUCACUUUUAGUAUUUUGCAUUUAUUUCAGGGAAUAGAACGAAAAUAUAAUAACAGGUGCUAAUUUGACAGAAAAAGAGUCCAAGGCACAGAGCUUAUCCCGGGGGCAUUAUUGGCAAAGGAAGACUUUUGCCCAUUUUGGUAAUUUCAAAAGAAGAGAGCAGGGCAGAGGCCUCUAUUUUACUGGAGGCUGGAGCGCCGCACAAGGUGUGCUUCUUCUUCCUUCGGAGGCUCCGUCCUCUCCGCAAGGGGGCUGCCGCACACAGUAGCCAUUAGAAUAGGAGCAAUUGAUAUAUGGCAGAGAAUGAGCACUAGCACCAGGGAGUUGCCUUUGUUGACUUUUCUUCCUUUUUAGUUCUUAGUAGUUGUUUUACCUUCCUCGUACGUAGGACCUUUAGCAUAGUUUUCCUUUUGACUUUUCCCUUGAGUCUUGGGUGGAUGUCUCCUGCGCAUGUCAGGAGCAAUUGAAGGUCUUGGUCACUUUCUAUAUUCUUCCAUCAACUGAGCGAACUGAGCUCCCUUGGUCAAGGACAAUGGCUGCGGCUUCCUCUCCAACUUUGCGUGGGAUUUGUUCACCAGGAAUGAACUAAUUUUUCUUUUCUAGUCAAGGAACAACGGAGGUCUUGGUUGGCCUAAAUUUGUGAGAUCGAUUUAAUUUUAUCUUUUUCUCUUAUUUAUUGGUAUUGGCAUAUUCUUUGAUUGCAGUGCUUAUGGUUAUUUAAUUAAUUGAUUGUCUUGGAUCCGGAUAAUUAAUCAAUUUAAUAAUCUAUUGUCAAUUGAGGGAUUGAAUCCGUAAUUGUUUAAUUGCCUCAAAAUAGUGACAACUGGCAUAAUUAGACUUGUGUCAGGGGAAUACGCGGGCUAAUCUAAAAUAACCCUGGUAGUGCGUUAUUUGAUUAGAAUAGGGCUCCUCUAAUACGUAAGGCAAUUGGGAAAUUAAAUUCUAUGGGCGUACCUAGGAUUAUUUCUCAAUUAGAGCAGUGAUUAACGGGCGUACCUUAAUCAUCGACACAGUAAGGAGGGGUUGACUGUCUUCGCUUGUUUGGCAGUUAUAACCUAUUUAUUGAUAAAGAAUUGGAAUUGCCUUUGCUUAUCGAUGAUCAAUUAGGUGAACCAUUGCUGAAGUUAUUCCUUGGCUAGAUCCUUUGAUUUUGGUAAAUUGUUAUUUUAAUUUCUAGUUGGCUAUUUUAUUUUUAUUAUUUUACUCUUAGUUGGAUUGUUUAAAUUGUCACCUCUGAGAUAAAAACACCCCCUUGUCACUGAGAAUUCGAAAAGAAACAAUUACUCCAGUCCCUGUGGAUUCGACCCUACUUACCGCUAUCUACAGAAAUUAUUUUUAGUUUGAGCAGGUUUUAUUAUUGCACAGGUUUCGACAACCUGUCAAUUUUUGGCGCCGCUGCCGGGGACUGGUGUCAGAUUAAUUUGUUUCCUUUUGAGUUCAUUUUGUUUUCAUUUUUUAUUUAUUUUUUCUCUUAUUUUUUUGAUAUAGUUUAUGGCUUCUAACACUCCGUAUUUUGGUGAUGUAUUGGAUUUUAUUUCCGGGCAAGGCGAUGAGAUUUGUUUUUUUCCUGAGUUGGCAUAUGCAGAGGCAGUAAACUCUAUUAGAAAAAGAAUGGCUGCUGCAACAUGUAAAAUUUGUUAUGCCAGGGAUCAUUCAACCAGUAUGUGCCCCGAAUAUCAAGAUAAUCUGAGUGUUCCACUCAAUAAUUAUGGAGAUUUUUCACACUGGUCUCAAACGGGGUAUAACCCUAAUCCAUAUGGGUAUGAUCAAGGAGGGUGGGAUAACUCCAAUUAUAAUUAUCCAACGGGCCAAUGAAUUUUCAGCAGUAUGAGUCUCAAGAAUCGGCAUCUAUGUCAGGUAUGUCUCUUGAAGAAAUAGUUAAACCAAUAGCUACUAACACAUACCAAUUCCAACAGGAGACACUAAUGGAGAAUGAGAUGAUGAAGGAUGCAUUAAAUUAUCUGGCAGAUCAACUACGUCUAUUGACAUCCAGAAUAAAUCGAUGGGCUUCUCAAAUGGAAAAUUGCCCUCGAAAAUCGUUGUUGAUCUAGAAGAAAACGAGAGUGCAAUUUGCUUGACUAGUGAUGAGGAGAUGCAAGAGUGUCAAAAUGAGGAAUCUACAGAUGCAGUUGAAAAAGAAGCCAAAAAGAAAGAAAUGGAACCCCAACCGCAACCCAUUCACGUGAAAGAAUCCAGUGAACAAUCUCCAAAUGCGGUGACAUCUUCUCCACUCCUUCAUCAAUAUUCUCCUGACUCUUACUCUUCAAUUCCUGUUAACGAAAUUGACUUUAUUAUACCAGACAAUUUUGAAUUUCAUGACAGGAAUAAAUUAAGAGUGGCGAUGGCGAGAUAUCUUGAACCAAUAAAUGCAAGUGAGGGAGAAGUGAAUGGAGAAUGCAAAUUAUCAUCGACUCGUUUGGCGCCAUUCACUAGUCCAUGGAUGCCCGUAGCUCGUAUGCUCAAGGAUUAUUCUAUUUACGAGGGUUAUCAGGACUAUAUAGAGGAUGAAGCAUUAAAACGAGCCACACGAUUUUAUCCUCCAUGAACAAAACAUGAUAAUGUCUAGCCAAAGACAUUAAAGAGAGGCGCUCAUUGGGAGGCAACCCAAUUGUUCCUUUUAAUUAUUUGUUUGAUUUCGUGUGAUAGUUUAAAUAUGUUUUUCUUGAGUUUGAUUGGUUUUGGGUGUUAAUUUUCGUUUUUGCUGAUUUGUAGGUGACCUUCAGUCAUGACGCACCCGCGUGGUGACGUGCAUGAAGCUCACGAUCAGAAACUUCUGGGAGCUCUCUUGCCCUCAUGACGCGCCCGCGUGGUGAUGUGCAGGAAGCUCACGAUCAGAAACUUCUGGGAGCUCGCUUGCUCUCUUGACGUGCCCGCGUCACGUUCGCGGGAAAGGUAAGGAUUCAAAAAAAAAAAGGAAAAAAAAAAGAGAAAAAUUUCUCAACCGUAGCUAGGUUUCUCAAUAAAAAAUUUUUUUUUUCUUUUUUUCUUCUGCUUCCCUUUUCACCGUAGCUCAGUUUUCCAAAAAAAAAAAAAAAUUUUUCUUUCUUUCUUCUUUCUUCUUUCUUUCUUCCUUCUCUCCUGCUCUCUCUCUGUUGUCCGAAUCCCUUUUGCUUUCCGCCUACUCGCGCCGCCCACCUCACUCACGCCGCCACCUCGCGUCUCGCGCGAAGGACCAGCCAGCCAUCCACUUCGCACCUCGCUGCCCGCCUCUGCUGCCCACGUAGCCGCUCGCCCCUGCUCCACCCUUGACCACAGCCACGCGCCUCACUUGCGCGCGCCUGAAGCCACCCGCCACUGUCACCUUCAGUUUGGUUGUCAUCUACGGUGGAGGUAAUUUGGAACUUGCCCCCCAAUCUCUUAAUAACUAAUUGGUACUGUCGGGGUUUUUUCAUAGUUAGCAUUGUUGACGGUUGGAAUUUAUUUUCUCAAUUGGUGAUUUCCGCCAGUGGUACUGGUCGGACUAUUGUUGAUUGGAACUGCUAUUUCUUUUGGGUUGGGUUAAAUUGUGCAAUUCAUUGGCCAACUGGAGCCAUUUGUUGGGACUUUGGGUGAGCUGAUUGCUGUGACUGUUUGUUAACUUUGGAGGACACUUUGGACCUCAUGUUGCUUGUGGACAUUGGUUGACUAGUUGUGAAUUGCUGGGCAUUAUUUUGCUUGAAUUGCUGGAUAACUCGCUGAGGUUUCUUUUGGGAUUUUGGUUGAGUUAUUUCUGAAAUUGCUUGUGAAUUAGAGGGGCUGGCCGCAUGAAUUACUUGCUAAAAUUCUUUUGUUUGUUAUUAAUUGGGUUACUACUGGGAGAGUUUUGCUUUGUUGUUUGCUGAGUUUCUUUUGCCAGUUGCUUCUGCUGGUUUCUAUACUUGUGGGAUCUUCUGUUGCUUUGAACUGACUGUUGGGACUUUGGGUGAGCUGAAAUACCGCACUUGUUUGUUAAAUUGGGAGGUUUCUAUGCCAUUUACAUUGCUUAUUCCAAUUGGGUGCAUCUGAUUGAAUUGCUGGGGUUGCUAAUUGCACUGUUUUGGGUUGUUUUGCUGCCUUGGUUGUUGACUGGAUUUAAGUUAACAAUUUGAAGAAUACUCUGCCCGUUUGUUUCACUUGGUUGACGUUUUGGGUGGCACGAGGGCACUUGAAUCUACUCGUUGACUUAGGUCCAAUUUAAGUGAUUAGUCGGUGCCAAGAUGGCUGCUGACUUAGGUUGCUAUUUGGGUGACUGUUUGAUUGAGAGCUGAGUAUUUUUAUUGAUUUGUUACUGUCUAAUUUCUGCAUUGCUAUUGCUGAUUUUGAGUUCAAACGGUAACUGGCCAAUUGGAGCUAUUUGUUGAGAUUUUGGGUGGACAGAGUUUUGCAUUUGCUAGUUGAAUUGAGUUAGAUGUCUCAGCACUUGGGUGCAUAUUUCCGUCACAUCGGUUUUCCUCCACCAUUCCCGCCUAUCCCUUCACCACUCAAGAGGGAAGUUUCAUUGUUCUCUUCACUCUAAUUACUUUAUUACCUCCAUUGAGGACAAUGUAGGAUUUAGGUGUGGGGGGGAGCAGUUAUGGUGUUAGUUUUUCUAGUUCUUAGUUUUCAGAUAUUUUUCUUUUAUUUUUAGUCUGUUAUUUGUCUAGUUUUCGUUUACUUUUUGUCAUUUAUCUGUCUAGCUCUCCUAUGACUGCCAAGUUUGAUGUUGGAUUAUUGCCUUUAUUUCUACUUUUGCCAAGUUUUAAUAAUAAAAGGAUAUCCAGUUCACGUGGUUGAAUUCAAAAACAUCUCUUUGGUGAAUAUCGAUGAUUGUUUUACUCUUAUAAUUUUUGGUUAACUUUCCUAGGCAUAGGGAAUGAUUAUUGGCAUUUUCAUGUGAAUUGGUCCGGUUAUUAACUUUAGUUCUCCAUGUUUGAAAAUGAGGCUAGCUGAUACAAGUUUUCUUUUGGUUCUUGUGUUAUAUUGAGUUUUUGUGAUUUUUAGCUAUGCAUAAACUUGACUGUACUCCGCUAUUAGUUACUACUGAAUAACCGGGGAUUUGCACCUAAAAGUGUCGAUUCUCGCGUCAAAAAGUAGUAAUUGCUAUGAGUACGUGGUCACGUGGCGAUAGAAGCUGAGUAACCGGGCUCCCAUCUGGCCAAGUUCGCGUCAAAAGGCUCUAAUGGCUAGCGACUAAGUCUUUUGUUACUAUUCAAAAAAAAAAGAGAGAAAAGUAGAAAAAAAUGUGAAAAAAAAAGUGAAGGUUGUGUUAGUGUGUAAUAAAAGUCAGCUUGCCGAAUUAUGGAUUUAAUGUUGAGAUUUUGGUUAAUAGUUGGACCAUUUGCUGAUAAAUGUUAUGCGUUAUUCCUUUUUCUUAGAUUAGUUAUCCUGAAAUUAGAGAAGUUUGUGGUUUAGAAGCUAACCGGAGUGAUGUUUCUUGGACUUGACUAUUGAUGCUUGAUUAUUAUUUUUCUUGGUAUCUUGGCAAUAUGGUAGAUGGAGUAAUGACCAUUGUCAAAUAUUGGUGUUUAUUUGAUGUUCUCAUGCUUGAGGACAAGCAUGGUUUAGGUGUGGGGGAAUUGAUAGGUUGCAAUUCUAUCAUUUAUUUUAUAAUUAAUUUCUCCUAUUACCUGACUUGAUGUGGAUUAAUUGCGGGAUUCUACUCACUUUUAGUAUUUUGCAUUUAUUUCAGGGAAUAGAACGAAAAUAUAAUAACAGGUGCUAAUUUGACAGAAAAAGAGUCCAAGGCACAGAGCUUAUCCCGGGGGCAUUAUUGGCAAAGGAAGACUUUUGCCCAUUUUGGUAAUUUCAAAAGAAGAGAGCAGGGCAGAGGCCUCUAUUUUACUGGAGGCUGGAGCGCCGCACAAGGUGUGCUUCUUCUUCCUUCGGAGGCUCCGUCCUCUCCGCAAGGGGGCUGUCGCACACAGUAGCCAUUAGAAUAGGAGCAAUUGAUAUAUGGCAGAGAAUGAGCACUAGCACCAGGGAGUUGCCUUUGUUGACUUUUCUUCCCUUUUAGUUCUUAGUAGUUGUUUUACCUUCCUCGUACGUAGGACCUUUAGCAUAGUUUUCCUUUUGACUUUUCCCUUGAGUCUUGGGUGGAUGUCUCCUGCGCAUGUCAGGAGCAAUUGAAGGUCUUGGUCACUUUCUGUAUUCUUCCAUCAACUGAGCGAACUGAGCUCCCUUGGUCAAGGACAAUGGCUGCGGCUUCCUCUCCAACUUUGCGUGGGAUUUGUUCACCAGGAAUGAACUAAUUUUUCUUUUCUAGUCAAGGAACAACGGAGGUCUUGGUUGGCCUAAAUUUGUGAGAUCGAUUUAAUUUUAUCUUUUUCUCUUAUUUAUUGGUAUUGGCAUAUUCUUUGAUUGCAGUGCUUAUGGUUAUUUAAUUAAUUGAUUGUCUUGGAUCCGGAUAAUUAAUCAAUUUAAUAAUCUAUUGUCAAUUGAGGGAUUGAAUCCGUAAUUGUUUAAUUGCCUCAAAAUAGUGACAACUGGCAUAAUUAGACUUGUGUCAGGGGAAUACGCGGGCUAAUCUAAAAUAACCCUGGUAGUGCGUUAUUUGAUUAGAAUAGGGCUCCUCUAAUACGUAAGGCAAUUGGGAAAUUAAAUUCUAUGGGCGUACCUAGGAUUAUUUCUCAAUUAGAGCAGUGAUUAACGGGCGUACCUUAAUCAUCGACACAGUAAGGAGGGGUUGACUGUCUUCGCUUGUUUGGCAGUUAUAACCUAUUUAUUGAUAAAUAAUUGGAAUUGCCUUUGCUUAUCGAUGAUCAAUUAGGUGAACCAUUGCUGAAGUUAUUCCUUGGCUAGAUCCUUUGAUUUUGGUAAAUUGUUAUUUUAAUUUCUAGUUGGCUAUUUUAUUUUUAUUAUUUUACUCUUAGUUGGAUUGUUUAAAUUGUCACCUCUGAGAUAAAAACACCCCCUUGUCACUGAGAAUUCGAAAAGAAACAAUUACUCCCAGUCCCUGUGGAUUCGACCCUGCUUACCGCUAUUUACAGAAAUUAUUUUUAGUUUGAGCACGUUUUAUUAUUGCACAGGUUUCGACAACCUGUCAAAAGUUUUUCCAAAAUUUGUAUUGUUUUGACUACAGAUUGGGAGAAGGAUAUUUUCAUUAAGAAAUUUUCAACAUAUUGAGUUGCUUAAUGGUGGAGUGAAAUAUUUAAGAAAUAACGUUAGGUGGUAAACUGAUAGUAGCACUAUAGUUUUAGGAAGUAAAAUGAUGAUAGCCCUGUAGUAGUGCAUAAGAGAUGAGGGUACUCUUCUUCUAAAAUUUUCAACAUGUUGAGUCGGUUUCGGUAGAAGUAAAGUAGCUAAAAAAUAACGUAAAUGGGUAAAUUAAUAAUCAUGCGAAUGGAUAAAUUAGUAAUAGUGCUAUAGUUUAACCGAGUAACGUGAUAAUACCAUUUUUCUUGUCCCCAUUUCCAAGAAGUAACAAACAUGUAAUUAGUUACAAAUCUUAUUCGAAAGUUCCAAUACCACUCUUAUAAGCUUACAAAGAGAAAAAAAAUGUGUUGCUUUUUUUUCCUUACAGAAGAAUUUGCUUAACAACAAUAAACUAAUCUAUAUAUAUAUAUAUAUAUAUAUAAUAUAUAUAUAUAUAUAUAUAUAUAUAUAUAUAUGAAAAUACCUAUUUUAAUUAGAGUAUUUAUCACUCCUAUGUGGCAUGCUUAAUUGAAAAGAAUUAACGAGUUAUGGAUCAUUUGGAUUUUACCCUUAUUGAAUAUUAUAUUAUAUGUUUAAAAAAUUGUCCCUAAUUUUAAAAUAAAUUUAAAAAAUAACUUAUCUUAUCUUAAUGAUAUCUAAAAUGACUUUUAAAAUAAGUAAUCUUAUUUUAAUGAUAUUUGCUUUCUAUCAAAUUAUUAUAUAGAACUAUAGUAAACCCUUUUCAAAUUAUAAUUAGUAAAAUCUUACAUAUUCCAUAAAUUACUUCCUUUCAUCACCAUAUUGUUGAUUAGUAUUCAAAUUACUCAUCAUCUCUUUCCUUAAUUUUGAAUUAACUUAGUGUAAAAAAGAGAAUUAAUUAUUGCAUCGACAGAAUUACCAAUAUUGUUAGAAACUAAAUAUUUAUUAAUGAAAAAAAGUGGAUUGCUGGAACUUUUCUACUUAAUUAAAUGUGAAUAUAUAGUUAUAGAUUUAUGAUUAUUAUAAAAAAAGAAAAAAUCGUUCAAAACAUCUCUCAUAUUUUAUAAAAUGAUUUUUUCGUCCCUCACUUUUAAAAGUGUAUUUUUCGUCCCUUACAAAUUCACAUUGGUCAAAUUUGACGCCUACCUAAGUUUUCAACUAAUUUUUGGCAGGAAUUCAUCAAGUGCCUUGCAUAUGAUCAUUUUUAAGGGUAAAAUGGUCAAAUUAAAAUUUACCUAAUUCGAUCUAUAAUCCCUUAUAUUUUACAAAAUGAAUUGUUUCGUCCCUCAUAUUUCACAAAAUAAAAUUUUUAAUUCCUCAAAUUUCAGAAAAUAAAUUUUUCCAUCCCUCAUUGACCAUGUGUACAAAUAAUUUUUUUUUAAAUCCAUGUAUAUAUCUAUUUGAUUUUACCCAAACAGUACGAAUAUCAUGUAAUAUAUCUCUAUUUGAUUUCAUUUAAACAGACUAAUUGUAAUUGUAUACAUGCUAUUCAAUAGAUAUAUACAUGGGUUUAAACUUAACAAUAUUGGUUUAAACCCAUAUAUAUUUAUUUAUUUGAUUUCACCAUGUGAAUCUAUUCAAUAUUUAUAACCUUUCACUUUUGGUAAUAAUUCAUUUAUUGAAUUGUGUAAUAAGGCUAUCUAAAAAUCGAUCCUAAUUCGAAUUCUAUAAUCAUGCUAACAAAUUACAGUUUAAAUUUAAAAUUUUUACUCACUACCUUUAAGUUUUUGCCUUGUGAUUGUCGUAAAAUUUGAAAGUAUCAAUCACUUACUUUUUUUGUCAUACUUUUCCUUUGUGUAUUUUUCUGUCCAAAUUUAAUUCGAUAUAAACACUUGACAAUGUUUAGGAUUAAAUGUCUUCUUUAUUUUCAAUUUUCGAGUAAAAGGAAAUGAACAUCAGUGAAAAACUAACAAUUUUUAAACCCAUAUAUAUAUAUAUAUAUAUAUCUAUUUAAUUUCACUUAAACAGUACGUUCAAGCGAUCAAAUAGAUAUAUACAUGAGUUUAAAAAAUAUUUAAUUUCACUUAAACAGUACGUUCAAGCAAAAUCAAAUAGAUAUAUACAUGAGUUUAAAAAAAAAAGUUAUUCGUAUACAUGAUCAAUGAGGGAUGAAAAAAUUUAUUUUUGUGAAAUGUGAGGACGAAACAAUCCAUUUUUGUGAAUGUGAGAGAUAAAAAAAUUUCAUUUUGUGAAAUGUAAGGAACUAUGGAUCGGAUUAUGUAAAUUUGGAUUUAACAAUUCUAUCCUUAAAAAAUGAUCACGUGCAAGGCAUGUGGUGAAUUUCGACAAAAAAUUAGUUGAAAAUCUAGAUAAGGACAAAAUUUGAUCAAUAUAAAUUUAUAAAGGACGUAAAAGUAUACUUUUAAAAGUGAUAGACGAAAAAAAUCAUUUUACAAAAUAUGAGGGAAGUUUUAAAUGAUUUUCCCUUAUAAAAAUUUAAAUUAUCUUAAAGAAUGUUUUAAAAAAAAAUAUCUAUCAAGUUUUUGAUAUGAGAUACAUUAUUUAAUAUAUACUAUCAUAUUAAAGUGAAAGUAUGUAAAUAAAUUUUUAAAAAUCAGUAAAUAGUUAAACAUUUAGAGUACAUUAAUUUUUUAAAGUGAAUAUGAAUGGACAUGUACGAUUGUUAUUAAUUUUCAUAUUUAAAUUAUUCAUAUUUAUAUAAAUUCACAAUAAAAAAAAGACCCGUACUAAGUUACGGGUAAAAUUCUAGUGGUUCAUUAAGACGUUAUUUGUUGAAGCUCCUGACUUCCACCAGGGAACUCGGAAUGUGCAAUUGUACGUCUACAAAAACACUCAAAUUAUUUUCGAUUGGCAGUUUCUGCACAACAAUAUUCUUUUGAAACAAAUUCUCCCAAAAAGAAGAGCGCAUAGCAGUAACUAAACAAAUCUGUUCCCUAAGCUUUUUCUUACACUCGUAACAUUUGACAAUCGAUGCGUGUAACUCCAACAUUGUCCUUCAAAUCGAACCAUUCAGGCCGCAUUGCUUUUCUACUCUUGAGGGCUCGUGUUAAGAAAAUUAUACAGAAAUGGGGCUUCACGAAUUUCAUUCGCACAAGGUGGUAUAAAUUAACAAUAUACUCUCAAUUUACACCAAAUUGCUUUCAACUUAUAUUAAAUGAUAGUAAUCAACUUAUAUCAAAUUGUACUUAAUUUAUACAAAAUAAUAACAAAUCAACAUACUUAUUUAAUAUGAACAAAUCAACAUGCUUAUUCAACCACCUAUUACCACUAUCGAUCAUUGCCACCACAUCUUUCCUCCUCCCUCAUCCUCUCUCCUUCCCCUUCCCUUCCCUUCCCUUUGUCCCUAGUAUGGUGGGCUGCGACCAGACCAAGGGGGAGGGUAGGCCGCGACUAGACCAAGAAGGAAGAGAGAGGAAGGACUGCGAAGCAGGGGAGGGGAAAAGGGAGGAAUAAGAGGGAGGAGAGAAGAGAGAGGAGAGAGGAGUCGCAGUAGUGAUAGUGGAUGUGGAGGAGAGAGGAGUGGAGAAAUGGUAGCGACGAUAGAUGGUAGUGUGGGUGGCUGGUGAUAAUGAGUGGAAGAAGAAAAAGGUGAUAGAAUUUGUUAUUUUUCUUUUUAUUUUAUUUUAUUUUAUUUUUUGUAAGUUGUAUUUGAGAUUUUAGAGUUAUUUUUGAAGUUGUUUUUGAAAUUUGGUAUUGUAUGUCAUAAAUAAAUAACACUGUGGGGAAAAUAAUAGUUAAUAAGUUUUAAAGAAGAAACUCUUUAAUUUGGGCCAGAAUGUUUCCAAGCCCAAAGCCAAACAAAAAAAAUAUCUUAGCUUGAGUCAGGUUUAUCUAACUGAAAUGGAUCACGACCAAGCCUAAUUAAUAUUUAUAGUUUGGGCCAAGACUUGGGUUUCCAAAAGAACCCAAUUGAAACGCUACAUACUAUAAUUUGUACGCACAACAAGAACUUGCAAGGCCAUUAAAAGGACAAAUGGUUAGAAGUGUGAUUGUUUUCUUCAUUUGAGAAAACAAAACGAAGAUGUCAUAGUUAUUGUAUGAAUCUCCUCAAUUCCCCAUUUCCACUUUCCGCUUCUUUGAUCACAGUAUUCCAUCCCUUCCAAACAGGACAAUAAAUCGGAUCAAUCACCUUGAUACUCGACUCGAAUCAAACUCGUUCAAACUUGUUUAUUUAGGUAUCAAUCCAAAUUCGAACAUAAUUUUAAACUUGAAAAUAUUAACAAACAAAUUACGAUCUUCAUAUUGUUCAACUCUAUAUAUUCAGGAACAUAUAAUAUAAGUAAAUUUCAUAAAAAUAUGUCUAAAAUUUCCUUCCUGAACUUCACUUCUUUCCUUCCGUAUAUUGCUUAUCUUAUUAAAUAACAAGCAUAUAAUACUUAUAUCUCUUAAAUAGGCAUAAUUGAUUUUAAUCAUAUCCAUAAUUUAUCAUAAUAGAUUUCUUGAAUAGGUAUAAUUGACUUUAAUCACAUCCCUAAUUCAUCGUAUAGAUUUCUUGAAAAUCAUGGGGCAAAAAUUAAGGGAAAAAAGCAAUAAAUUAGGGUGAAAAUCUUUAUUUAAUUCAACAUAAAAUUUCAAGUCAUGCUAAACCGAGCUUUGAUUGUAUGUGCUUGACUUCGAUACUAAGAUAAGGCAAGCCAACUUUUUAUGAACAUACAUUAGAAAUUUCAAGCCAAACUUGAUCAAUUUCUUUCAAAAAAUUGUCAAAUACAAGACAAGUUCAAAGAUUACUUUUAAUCUUCAAACCAAUUUUGAACAUACUUCUGUCCAACUCAAUGACACUUGUUUUCAGCCCUAUUCUCCAACUAUAUAUAUACACACACACAUCCUAUAUAUAUAUAUAUAUAUAUAUACACACCUAUACACAUAUAUAUAUACACAUACAUUGAUCAACUGACUCUUUAAUUGAUUUAUACAUUACAAACCAGGAAACAGUUCACACGCCAAUCUCAAUUGUGAUACUAUUAUUCUCAAAUUAAUCCAUUUAAAUGGGAAAAAAAGACAAAAUGGAAAACCAAAUAUCUUCACUUAUCACAAUGCAACAGUUAUAUUCUUUUGUUCUUGAUGUUGGUUCUAGGUCAAAAUAAUCAUAUAGGUAACAAUAAUUUCUCUAAUAAAAUUUAACAAAGAAAUUAACAAAAAUCUCAUACCUCAAUAUUGCAUUAAAAAUGCAAAUAAUUUGUACCAUAAAAAGUUAUUUUGGCGUGGGUUGCGGCAUGGACUAGGUCGCUCUCUUUAAGACGAUUCAUGCCUCUACGAAGUAUCCUCCAGUGUAGUAGGUUUCAGCAUGUCACCUCUAGGAUACAAUAGCCCAACCUAUCUCAUUGUAGCCUACUCCAAUCUACACUAUUGGAAUAUGACAGAAAACCUUACAUAACACCGUUCUUUCUUAUAAACUCUUAUAGUAGUGAGAUGAAGAAAAAUAGAAGAUAAUCUAAAACAGCAAAAUACGUGUAAGACUCGGUGGAUAGAAAUCUCUAUUUAUAGACUGAGAAUUAGGAGUAUUAAAAUACUAACAUUAAAAGGAAUUAGUACCUCAUAUUUUCAGCUACAAAUUGGCAAUACACAUGCACUCAAUGAAUUCAUAAAACUAAUCAUCGCAUAGGUUACACACUUCAAGCUAUAAGUUACACUUUUCAAUGAUUGAAUUUGUAGCUGAAAUUUCAUUAAAGAAUUUGUAAUUUAUUGUGUUUGAAUUUCAAAUAAACAUGUGACAUUUUUAAUUAAAAUAUCUAACAAUCCCCCACUUAUUUAAUAAAAAAUAAUAUAGUGUUCAAUACUAAACACUUAAUAGGGCAAAGAUUAAAAGUUCAUGCAUAAUAAAGGUGGCAGUGCCUUUAAACCUUCAUUUAGCAUUCAACAAUUCCUGUACUAAAGUGAAGGUGGAUUUAGCCUUUAAACGAUGGCUACUUGAGGGCACGUGGAAUCAUAUCACAUACAUGAACCUUUCAAUGUUCUAAAACAGGUUUCAUAAGCAAACACAUUUAUGGCCUUGUGCUUUAUUCUAGUUUUCAUGACAACCCUAGAGAACUAAUCCAAAUUCUCGUAGGAAACAACCCCCGUCCACAAUUAUAUAGGUGAAUCUAUCAAGAAUUCUCCCAUGAUUUAGACAUCCUACCCAUAAGGGCUACCCAUAAGGACUUGAAAUACUCAACCUCACUUAUCGUGAUUCCAUCACUAAUGCACUUACGCCAUAGGGAUAGACAAUUUAAUCAAAAUAAUGCAUAUUAAUCAAUCAAACCACUCUAUGAUUUGUUUGUCUCCAACCUAGUUCUUGGGAUCUCCAGUCCCUAAGCAAUUGUAUUCUCGUAGACGAUUUUUAAUAUAUAUUGGGCUUUUGUCAUAUCCCCUUCGAUGUAUAUCAUAUCUUUGACUUUAAUUUGAGAUUUAUCUUUUACACAAAUAAAAUAGCAAACAUAUGAUGUUCUCGAAUUUUUCCAAAUAAUCUCUCUUAGUGGGCCAAAUAUAUUGAAUCAAUCUCUAGUGAGAAAAUUUCUCAUCUAUUUAUAUUUGCCAAAUAGUAUAGGCAUAUUUGUUCAUAUUCAACUUUUUCACUUUUUUCUCAAUGGCUAGUAGUCUAGUAGCGCACUAGAAGCCCUUCUCAAAAAACUCCAUGGUUAUUUUUGCUUUUGCAAAAAUACCAAGAAAAUAAUUCAAAUACCUUCACAUCAGGUCAUACUUUUCAGUGAGUGCUAGUCUACAUAACUCAAAAAAAGAGUGAAAAUAAAUCCAAAAAAAAAAUAAUGUUAUACUCAUAAAUUGAGCAAAUAAAAUGAUAUCUCAUUAUUUUUUCACCACUUCCACUAUCACGGUGUUUUAUUUCAAAAAUACAUUUAUCAAGAGUUGCACACGAGACAUCAAAAUGGUAGCAAAUUUUAAAAUAUAUUAAAAUCCUUCACCUUCCAACAGAGGAGCAGUAAUGCAUACUAUCACUUCAUAAUGCUCCAAUUCCGACUUUCCUUUUCAUCAAUACAUGCCAACAAAUAAUAAUAAUUUAAGGAAGGCAUUAAUGUAUGCAAAAAAUAAUUUGAGAUAGUCACUUGACAAAACUAUUGCUUAUAGCAAUUAAGAACAAAUUUCAUACUAGCCAUAGAGAUUUACUUACCCCCACUAUUUAUCAUAUUUCUAUAGGAUGUGAUGAUUUGAGAUACAGUCUAUUAUAGGAUUAAAAAAGAUAUUUGUUCUAAGAUUACUGCACAUAGAAUGACUUAAGUACUCAAGGGCUUAAUGCCAUUAUCAAUCACUAGAUCUAUUGACAGUUAUCCAAAGCUAAUAAUUUGUACCAGUUAUCACCAACAAGCAACUAUGAUACUCGACUAUGAAAUUUUAAAACCAGAGAUGUGGCAUCUCAAAGGAGUGAGAAAAAUUAGGUCUAGGUACAAAAUAUGUCAAUAAUCGAAAUUGUAGAGAAAGACAUUUUUCAUAAGCUAAGAUAAUUGACAAUUUCAAAUUUUGUACAAAGUAGCAUGUUUAGUUUCUCAAAUUUGUUCUUAUAUUGCCACAAUAUCUAGCCUCUAACUUUUCAGGUUACUCACAAACUAAUAAGCAACAAAAACUUAGCUAAGACUCACUAAUGCACCUGAGUCUAAAGGAAACCACAAAUCCAAUGAUUUUUCCUUAAUCACGCUAGUCAAGAUUAAGCAAAAAAUUCUUUUGCAAUAAGAGGCUAAUUGUCUUAAAAUUGUUGGUUUUAGACCAAAAUAAUCAUAUAAGUAACAAUAAUUUCUCUAAUAAAAUUUAACAAAUAAAUUAACAAAAAUCUCAUACCUCAAUAUUGCAUUAAAAAAUGUAAAUAAUAUGUACCAUAAAAAGUUAAUUUGGCAUGGGUUGAAACGCAGAAUAAGUCACUUUCUUUAAGACGAUUCGCACCCCUAUGAAAUAUCCUUUGGUGCAGUAAGUCUAAAUGUGUCGCCCCUAGAAUAAAAUAACCCAAUCUAUCUCAUUAGUCUACUCCAAUUUACAUUAUUGGAGUAACAGAAACUUUACAUAACACCGUCUUUGCCCUAUAAACUCUUAUAGUAGUGAGAGAAAGUAAAAUAGAAGAUAGUCUAGAAAUAGCAAAAUAUGUGUAAGACUCAGUAGAUAGAAACCUCCAUUUAUAGGCAGAGAAAUUGGGAGUAUUAAAAUACUAAUAUUAAGAGAAAUUAACGCCUCAUAUUUUCAACUACAAAUUGAAAAGUUCCAGGUUCAUUGUAUAAUGAUAAAAAUUCACUAAAUGAAUUCAUAAAACUAAUUAUUACUUAGGUUACACAAUUCAAGGCAUAAAUCUAAGUCUCAUUUUAAAGACAUAUGUUACACUUUUGAAUAUAGUUAUUAAACCCAACCUGAUCCGACAGUUGAACCGAUCAACCGAUGGACCCACAUGGAAUCGGGCCGGUUUAGCAAUUGGAUCGGAGUUGCAGAUAACUCGUUUGAACCAUUUGACUCGGAUGGUCAAACUGGUGACCUGCUAAACUUAGCGGUUUUUAUAAACCCGAUGGAUUUUGGAAAUUUUUUUAAAAUUACCUUUUUACCUAAAUUUUUAAUUUGACCAACCACAUUAACAUGGGUAUUGUUGUGUUUUUGACAAUUAGAUGAGAAAAAUUGAAAAGGGAUUUGGGAGUAGGGGUUUCUUUCUUUCUUUAACACUUAGAUUUAUUAUUUAUGUUUGUGUAUAAUAUUAAUAUGAAUUCAUGAACUAAGGAACAUACAUGGGUAUGGUUUGUAUGUAGGAACUAUGAAAUAUAAAUAGGUUAUGACUUGUUAACAUUUAAGAAUUUCUGUACUUAUAUUAUUAUUUAUAUGUUUAUUUAAUUAUAUUAUAUAUUUUUUAUUAUAUAAUGUGACUUGACGGUUCAACCGGUGACCACUGACCUGCUAAUCCGGUUCUUCUGCUGUGUUGAUUUAAUAACUAUGCAUUUGAAUGAUUGAACUUGUAACUGAAAUUUUAUUAAAGAAUUUAUAAAUUAUUGUGUUUGAAUUCAAAAUAAACAUGUGAUAUUUUUUAUUAAAUAUUACACAGUUGACUCCUCCACUUGAUUCACUUGUCGACCACACAAACAACGUGAAAUGUCUCCAUUAUCCCUCAAACCAUACAUUCAACAGAACAAAUAUCAGUUAAGGCGUUGCAUUGAUCUGAUGAAAAAGCUAGGUACAAUUUGUCCUACUAGUAGUAGUUUCCAACAUUGAUAGCCCCUGGUCCCUGACCACCAUGACUCUUGUUUCUGCCAGCAAAGAACAUUAGUACGAGUAACAAAAUAGAUGCAACUGUAGCUCACAACCUCGUACAACAAAAUCAAGCAAUAUGGUUAAGCAUUUACAUCAUACCUUGCAAUGUUUUAAAGUGACCAUAGAAUUUCUCUGUAUAUUACACACACACACACACACAUAUAUAUAUAUACAUAUAUAUAAGUAAAUUUUAUAUACACUGACAAUAUAUAUAUUAUCAUUGUUAGAUUCAUAAUAUGUGCAAAAAUUAAAUUUCAAAUUUAAAUUUUAUAAAGUUGUCAUUCAUUCAAUGUUAAUAGUGUUUACACUAUCAGCGCAAGAAAGAUUUAUAAUAUAUAUAUAUGUAUAUAUAUGUAUGUAUGUAUAGACAAACUUCCUAAAAAGAUUAUCAUGACUUUUGUUCUUUGCUUUUGACAGUAAAAGCCAAGAAUUUGAUUAACAAUUAUGGCUGCAAAUAGUAUGGGAUAGUAAAAGCUAGAGUAUAUAAAAUAAAACCACUUUGUACAGAUGAAAUGGAUAAACUAAGUGUACUUCCUUAAUGAAUUACCCGGAUAAAACAUGAUCAGAACAAAAAAGCCAAAAAUAGAUUAGUGCAAGACUUCAUAUCUUUCAAGUUUGAAGCAAGCAAAGACAAUCGCUAAACCAGAUCGACUGGAGUGAGGCCUUUCAGUUUCCGUGGGGGUGCUUUAUAUAGCUGCAAGUGGGAUUGUUUGUAGAUCAAGAUGUAUACUCGUUAUGAUAUUUUGUUAAUGUUUGCCAGGAAUUUUGGCCAUGGUUAUUUGUGGAAUAAUUUCUUGCAGGAAAUCAGCCCUAGUUUCCUCACCAAUUUGGUGCAAAAGAGACAUGCGCCUUUUUAAUCCAUUAUUAGUAAAUUUAGGAGAAACAAAGAAAAAUUGAAGAUGUUGGAGGUAAAACAAAUUUUAUUUUGAAGUAUGGAGACAUAACUAAGAGAGAGUGAACUAAAGCUUCUUUCAAAAAAACAAAUAGAAAAAAAAAGAAACAAAAAAAGACAUAUUGAAAUUUAAGUUUGUAUAAGAUUGCACAUAAUAACAAGUUGGCUUUAAGUUGGGUUGAGUGAUAAGGUAAGAUAAUGUAGGUAGAAGAUUCUGAAUUUGAAACCUUUUGUUUUAAAAAAGUAGGUUUUAAGUUUGUAUUUUCUUGGUUUAAUCACGUAUUGCCCCUUGUAAUUAGGGUCAAGUAUUAUCCCCUCUAUUUACUAAACUUACAAAUUACCCCGUCAACUAUUAGGCAAAUAUGUUAUUGUUUGGAAAAAAGACUAUUAGGUAAAUAUAUAUAUCUCUAGCAAAAAGAUAAUUAUGCCCUCAUUUGUUAGAUGAUCCUUUUUCUUUUCUUUUUUUCCCAUCCUUUUUCCUAAUAUAUAUAGUUUUUUCUUACUCUAUAGACUGUGAUUUACAAAUUUUAAAUAAGGUACCAAAAACUUCUUUUGUGGUUUAACAUAUUUUGUUAUUUUCUUGUAAAUAAAUUCUUUUAAUUAGUAAAUAUAUUUGUCACUAUUUAGUUAUGUAAAAUAUUUAACUAUCAUAAAUUAUUAAACGAUAUGUGAAAGUGUAUAUUUAAUAAAAAACCUAAAGCAAUUUCUAUUUUUCUUUAACAGUUGUGAUGUUUAUAAUGCACUAAUUGUUUAACAAAACUAAAAGGUACAUAAAGUACUGUCAUUAAAUAUUCAAUAGAAAAGGGGCGGAGGGAUGGGUUGGGUGGUAAGCAAGAGGUUUCAGGUUUGAGUUCUUCUGCUUACAAUAAAAAAAAUUCAAUAGAAAAAAUAACUGUGUAUAAUUAAGUGUCAAGUAAACUGAUAAUAAGCACAAAGAAGAAAAGUAGACGACGAAAAAGAGAAAAUAGAAGUAAUAUAUUUGUACUAAAUAUUAAUUAAUUUUAGUAACAAUUAAUGCAUAACAAUAGUAACAAUUAAUGCAUAACAAGGAGUUACUUAGAAUAAAUAUAUAUUUUUUAAUUUUUUCAUGAUAAUUAAAUUUUUCAUAAAACAUUCUUUAGUACUUUAUUAUGAAAAUUUGUAUUUCAUACUGGGAAAGAAAUUAAACAAUAAUAAGAAAAACAACAAAAAGAAGGAGAAAAUGACAAAUGGUCAUUGGACAAUAUUUUAAUAACAACAUUGGCAUAAUUUAUCUUUUUUGCUGUCCAAAUACAUUAGACUAUUACCAUCAUAGGAUAAUUUGUAGGUUUCAUGAAUACAAGCAUUUGCUACUAAUACCUAAUUACAAGGAAGCGGAAUGUAUUUAAACCAAUUUCCUUCUCCUUCUCCUUGAAAAUAUAAACUCCCAAAAUAGGCCUUAAGCGACAUUUUGUCAAAACAUCAUGGGUCCAUAUGGAAUUUAGCGCAACAAAUUUUGGUCACAUGUGCAAAUAGGUUCCAAAUUGUGCCAUUCUAAUUUCUAAAUAGAAAUUUAUCUAUAAAAAAAAAAAAAAACAGCAAUCCGGACAAGUCCCUGAUUCCUUCCCACCACAAAAAAAAACAAAUUCUGCUGUACAGAAAAAUUAUACUCCUACUAAAAAUAAUUAUUUUUUUUAAAGAAGAAAAACUAAAAAAUAAAAUAUCCUUCCCAUUUUACCCUUGGGAAUUCCUUCUCUCUCUCUCUCUCUCUCUCUCUCUUUCCCUUUCACUCUCGUUGGUUUCACCACCACCGUUCACUGCCUCCACUCUCCAUUCGUUUCUCUCCCUCCACUUUCAAUCCUCCAAACGACGUCGUAGCCGAAGGCGGGCCGAAACCAAAAAUCCGCAAAAGAGAGAAGCCAUCUUGGGUUCCAUCCAACAACUCCACAAUUCUGCAGAUUUAUCAUCUAUUUCUAUAAAUUCUCUGUAAAAAAAGAGAAAAAUUUUUAAUUGUUAAAAAUGAGCUCCGAUUCGGCUGUGCCGUCUCCCGGUUCUGUUCAUGGCGGCAGCCUCGAUGAGCAGAUUUCUCAGCUUAUGCAGUGCAAACCCUUGUCCGAACAAGAGGUGAAUGUGCAAAAGUUAUUUACGUAUUUGUUAGAGAUGCUCUUUGAUCUGUUUCUUGAAUUUCGGUUUUUCUUCCUUUCCUUGUGGGAGUUUACGGUACUUUUUUUGGCGAAAUUAAGGAGCUUUUCGUGUACGUGGUUGAAUCUGGUGAUGUAGUGAAAUGGGUUGUUAAAUCAGAUCUAUUUUGGAAUUUUUUUAUUUUGUAAUGGAGGAGAAGGUUGGAAAGUUUUGAACUUUUUUUUGGUUUUCGAUUUUUUUUGGGAUAACAUCAGAAUGCACCAGAAUUAUUUGCUUGUUUUCUUUCAUUUAUAAAACCAAAGGAAUGGAAUUUUUUUUGGUUUUUUUCCUUUUUUUAAAAAAUUAAUUGACCCCUUAUUCUUCAAUGGGAUUCUGGAAAUUUAGCAUUUGAGUUCUGUUCCUGGAUAAUUUAAUAUACAAAGAGAUUUUUCGAGUUUUUUUUCCUUUUUUUGGGACAUGGAGUUUACGCACUUCGUAGUAAGGUUGAUUGUGCUACAAAUUUCGUUAUGAUGUAGAAAUGGUCUUUCAGUAGAAACAACCAUUUUAUUUAGUUUAUUUUAGUUUUUUUUUUUGGGGGGGGGUGGUGGUGGGGUGGAGAGGGGGAGAAAAUGCUGAUCUUUUUACUAUUCCUGUAGAAGGGGAGGGGUGAGGGGAAGAAGCUGAUGGGGUAUGGGGACAGUGAUAAUUGAAAUUUUCACUUUAAGAUGAGGAAUAAACACUGUUAACCAUUUGGAAUAUUCAAUUCUAGACCUUUCUAGGUUGAGCAAGUUCUUUAUUGUUAAAUUUUGAUAGAGGAUUACAUAUCUUGUUACAGUCACUGAAACAUUAGAACAAGUCUCAGAGAAUAUUUAUAAUAGGCCAGCUGUUUUGUUUGUGUUUGGGAUAAGUUCAUUUGCUAGAUAUGUUAUGGGGUUAAGGGGGGAGAGCAGGAUGGGAUUGGGAGCAUCAAAUUGUAGUCAAUCUUCUCUGAAUUUGUGGCAACUGAAAUUUAAUGUGGUUGGGGCUAGUUAUGAAGAAUCUUAAAAAAAAGGAAGAAUUACAGUUUGAGGCGAUUUUCCAUAGAAUGAGACACAGCUUUGUAUGCAUAUUUAGAGUGAUCAGUUGCGUGUCAAGAUGUAGAUGUGCAAUGAUUUAAAGGAGGGAGGGCAAGAUGAGAUUGGGAGCAUCAAAUUAUAGUCAAUCUUCUCUGAGUUUGUAGGAACUGAAGUUUAAUGUGGUUGAGGCUGGUUAUGAAGAAACCUAAAACAAAGAAGAAUUACAGUUUGAGGCGACUUUCCAUAGAAUGAGACAUAGGUUAGUAUACAUAUUUAAAGUGAUCAAUUGCAUGUCAAGAUGUAAAUUUGGAAUGAUUAUUAUCCAAAAUAGGUAAAUUCUAUCUGUGGUAAUGCGUCAUAUACACAUUUGAAUUAUUUAUCUUGUUGUGUAAUCCUAUUGAAUUUUUUGUUUUGGUGGUUGAAAUAUUAUUUUUCAAGUGCUCUUUUCUUCCUGUAUAUAGGUGAGACUGCUAUGUGAGAAGGCCAAGGAGAUCUUAAUGGAUGAGAGCAAUGUUCAAGUAUGAUUUUCUCUGAUAAUUUUAUUAAUGCUGCAAUGCACAAUCUUCUGGUUGCUUAUGUACUUGAUUUUUGUUGUCCGUGAACUAUUAUAUUGAGGUGCAUGUAAGAGGAACUGUUGGUUACGGUAGAACAUUCUUCUGAUGGUACAUGGUUGGGAGAAAACUUGUUGUUUAACAUUUAAUUGUAAAAGUAAUAUUUUAUGUAGGGGAGAAAGUUAAAGAAAAUAUGCUAACUUGUUUAUGCAUUUACAUGUGGUGGAUUUUUUGGUUAUGUGGAGUCAAAAGGUUUCAGCUUUAAUUCAUGCUGCAUGUUUUGAUCUCCUUUAAAUGAUCUAAUUUUUUUCAACUUAAAGCUGUUGUUUCGGUGAUUUUGAGGUUUUGGAGUUGCUUUUGUGAAUUAUCAAACUGACAAAGCUUUGUUGUUGUCCUCCUAGAAAAUUUUUUAUGAUAUCUAUGGUUCUGCUGCAUAGUCUGAAAUCACAUUUUUUUAAAUGAUGUAGCUAGAAAGUUUUUUGCCCAGAAUUUGCAUGAACUUGGUAAUAAGUUUUUCUUCUGAUAGAUAUAGGCUGUGUUUGUUGGUCAUAGUUGGUCUCAACAUCAUAUAUAGUGAGGCAAUGAUCUUCAAAGCAUUUUUAUUGACUUAGCAGAAACUCUAUGUUUAAUAUGCAUGCAAGGAGCUUUACUAUGCCUUUUGAAUGGGUGUAACAUGAAGCCUGACAGUUUUUAUUCAUUUUGGUCUUUCAUUUGGUCUUGUCAUAUUGUUUGUUGUCUAUCAAAGAAUCUUCCUGGUUUAUAGAAUGUAAUGUGAUGUAAGGAGUUUCACUUUCUUUGAUGUCUGUGUAGCCUGUGAAGAGUCCUGUGACCAUAUGUGGUGACAUUCAUGGACAAUUCCACGAUCUUGCUGAGCUUUUCCGUAUUGGUGGCAAGGUAUCUGCUCAAUCAAUACUCUGCCUCCUCAAUCAAUUGGUUUCUUGAGAUAACUGUGUUCAGUUGUUUCAUCUCUCUGUACUUUGGGUAUUAGACCAAGUUUUUAUAUUGGGGCAGGAAGGGUAUAUAAUUUUUCCAAAUGACCUGAAUGGAUUGGUCCCAUCGUAGCAUGAUUCUCUCUCUCUCUCUGCGGUUCAAAUGCUUGUCUAGUUGUUUGUCCUCCUAUUGCAACAUUGUUAUGGUGCUGGAGUCUUCUAGGUCUUGUCAGUUAUUCAUGUUUUUUAUAUUUUGGUAACAUAAUCUAUAUCCUUGGGAUUUGACUUGAUUAAGCUUUUUUUCUCCUUAAUAUGUUUGUCAAGUUGAAUCUUACUAAUUAAGUUUAUUUGCGUGCUUUGCAGUGUCCAGAUACAAAUUAUUUGUUUAUGGGAGAUUAUGUAGAUCGUGGGUAUUAUUCAGUUGAAACUGUAACUGUGAGUUUUAAACUUUUCUUUCAAUCUGUUACAUAUUAAUGAAAAUAGUUUCUUUGCUUAGCCAUGUUAAUCGUGAUAACCAGAAUAUCUGCAAUUGCAUUACUUCUUUUUUUCUCCUCUCUCUCUUUUUGUUAGGAGACUCAAAUUUAUUUUAGAUAUUGGGCAGCUGAUGGUGGCAAAUUAAGUAUAGGUUGGCAAUCUAAAUUCAGGUUUUAACUAUAGCUUGUGCAAUGCUAUGGCUAGAGAAAAAUUGAUCUUGAGAUGUGUAAAUUGAGGCUUUGAAUUGGAAAAAAUGAUCUUCAUGUGUGUCAGUCCUGUUAGUUAAAAAUUUUGAGUUGCCAUUAAAAAAUUUAAGCUGGGUGAAUACACUGAAAUAAAUUCUCCUUAUUCCUUGCAUGAAAUUGAGCAUGCUGUGUGCACAACUGUGUCCCUGCAAACUUAUUUUUACACAAUAGAUCAUCAUGUUUUGGCAAGUUAUUUUGUGUUUUUUCGCUAGUCUUCUCAAAUAUGCUUCCUACUUUGUUGUAGCAUGCAGAAUUUGGUUUAAAAUAUUUGUGAGGGCAAAAAUAGUUAGUGACUUUAUCUUAUACUUUAGUAUUUAGAACACAAAGGUAUAUGCCAGAAUUUCCUAUUCUAUAUGUUUCAAUACUCAGUUCCUGAAACUUUUGGUGGUUUUGGUCUAAUAGUUAAUGUAUGUCUUCUUUUUUUCUUUGUUUUUCCCCUUCUUUCUUUCUUGCCAUGUUUCUUUAGUUAGUACUGCAUUUUGGGUGCUGCAAUGGUUGUUCUAAUUUUGAUUAGUCAAAUUUCUUCUCAGCUUCUGGUAUCCCUCAAAGUGCGUUACCCUCAACGAAUUACUAUUCUAAGAGGAAAUCAUGAGAGUCGACAGGUAUAUAGACUAACCUGUCUUGCUUCUCAUACACUUUCUUUAGCUGUUAAACAACCCAGUUAUGGCUCCCAUUUCUGUUCACUAGGAUGAGUCCCCAAUGUGUUGAAAUUAACAUUAAGUGGAGCUGGGUGGUAGCUACCUUUUUUAUCGUCAGAAGUUGUAAUUUGAGAGAUUAUAGGUCUAUUCUCUUCUGUAUUCUGCUGGAUUUAUUUCAUUUUGAAAUUUCCCAUCAUGUUAUGUCUUUUGGGUUUGGAUGCUUUAUGCUAAACUGGCUCUUUUCCCCCCAUUUCCUGUCUCAGAUUACUCAAGUAUAUGGGUUUUAUGAUGAAUGCCUAAGGAAGUAAGUUCUUGUCUUCUUUUUCAGUUUCAGACUUUCCUUUGGAAAUGCUACUCCCUUUGUCCCUUUUGGCUUUUAUUGUUCAUGCUUAAGUUGAAAAUUUGAUGCUAAGCUAAUUUGGCAGGUUAAAGGUUGAGCAAAAGUUGGUAGUAUAAAAGUUGAACUCAAUGAACUCAGUAUCAUCAGUUGAUUAAUUAUCUUGCAUGUGAAGCUAAUUAUCUUUCAUGUGAAGCUUUAGAUGAUAAAAUCUACUUUUCAUGGAAUAUAUAUAUAUGGGGCUUAUUGCUGCUUGCUUAAGUGCAUUGAAUUUAGAAUGGUUUUGACCUUUCUGAAGAUACACCUUGCAAUAUGCAUUGGAGUAAUAUUGAUUUGUCUAGAUGUUAUUGGAACCUUUGUACAAUUCAGCAUUGUACCUUGGCACACUGCUUUUAUGAAUUUGUACACAGUUGCUGGCAAACUUCUUUUGCUUUGCCAAAAGAGGUGUCAUUUGCAACUGAUUUUGUUUUAUAGAAGUAUUGCAUUAGGAAGUUGGCAUCCUGUUACCCCUAUCCAUUUCUAAUUGUCAGGGGUGUCGAAUUGGUGCAAAAUGUGACAUGAACAAAAUCUUAAUGUUGAAAAUGAUACAGACAAUUGAGGGAAUUCAAGGGAAAACAGGUGUUGAAAAGUGUUUCAGAUGUAGUAGCCACAAUGGAUUUCUUUUACUUGUCUACGUUAUAGAUCCCAAAUUGUCUACUUGAUCGUGAACUCAUUGUAUUUAAUGUCUACGGCUGCAGUGUAUUAAUUGGAACUGACUGUAUUAAUUGUUGGCUAUCUCUACCUUGCAGAUAUGGCAAUGCAAAUGUCUGGAAGAUUUUUACUGAUCUAUUUGACUACUUUCCACUCACUGCGCUGGUAAUUAACAUUCCUUUGGCAAUUAUUGGUGUACUUUUUCCUAAAUUGAUCAGGACUUUUCUUCUUGUGGACAUUGCAGAGUGGUUAGUGUUUGAAUUUUUUCUUGAAGUCACAGAAAUUGUUUCAUUUGAUUACAUGUCACAGCAUCUUGACAUUAGAUAUGCAUUUGUUGGAAGUAGCGCUCUGAAGGUUGAUAAAUUACUUCUGACAUGUUAUAAUAUGUUAAAAGAUGUUAAAUAAGUCUUGUAAUUUCAGAUGGUUGGGAUUUUGACUUGGUUGCAGGUGCGGCCGUAAAUGAUAAAGAUGUUCUUUGCAACCACUUUAUUUGGAUGUCAAAAACAUAAUCCCUUAAUGCUCAUUUUCCCUGGUCAUCCCUGACAUGACCAUCCUCCAAUCCAAGCCCUUGUUUUUCAAAGUAAAUGAAUUUUUGUUGGGAUCAUUGGCUUAUUGCAUUUUUUGAAGUUAUUUGAUCGAAAGUGAAAUGGGGGAACAAAACUUGAAUUGUGUUCAAUCAUUAAUCACUUCGGGGGAUAUGGUGAAGCACUGGGAAUUGUUGGUAAAUUCUUUGGCCAGACAAUGAAUGAUUAAUGAAUCCAAGAAGUCAAUAUGUAAUUUAGAUUUCUCAAGUUGUAAAACAUGUGGCAGCAAUUCUAUUGCUUGUGCAAUUCUUCAGAUUUGCAGAUGCCCCACCCCAUUUGGUAUUGUGGGUUAUUACGUCAUAGCCUUCAUUUUAUCUUGUUUUUGCUCUUAAUUUCUUGGAAAGAGGUUUUCUUGUGACUCUGCAAGGAUGUGGUUUGUUUGGGAGGAGAGAAGUGAGUAAAACUGAUUAAUUGCCUGUCCUCUUUUUCUACCUGCUUUGGUGGAAAAAUUGCGCACUUUAUAGCAGUUGCCAUCAAGACUGUCUCCUUAACCAUAUUAAGGAUCAGUCUUUCGACUGAGCACGAAGAACCUUUAUCACCACAUACUAGUUUCAUUGGUGCUACUAGUUUGGUGGUAUCUGUCAGGAGCACUGCUUUUAUGUGUGCUGAAGUGCAAACUGGAGUGCCAUGGUCUUAUGUGAGAAAGUUGAAUGGAUGAUUCUUGUAGUCUUAGUGAUAGUUUUCUCAACUUAGAUGGGCUCUCUAGAUUAUAACUGUUUCUCUUGCCUUGUGUCUUGCUGUUGACGAUGUGGUCAUAUCUUGUACGUGUUUAAUGUCUUGUCUUGAAAUAUUCUAGGUUGAGUCAGAAAUUUCUGUCUGCAAUGGAGGGUUGUCUCCGUCAGUUGAAACUCUAGACAAAUACGAAAUUUUGAUCGUGUACAAGAAGUUCCUCACGAGGGACCCAUGUGUGAUCUUUUGUGGUCUGACCCUGAUGACCGUUGUGGUUGGGGCAUUUCACCCCGCGGUGCUGGAUAUACAUUUGGCCAAGGUAUCUGCUCUUCCCUUCAGUUGUUUUCGUUGAAUCAUUGAUAUCACGCGAAGUAAAACUUUCUUGUUUCUCGAAUUUCAACAGGACAUAUCAGAGCAAUUUAAUCACACCAACAAUUUAAAGCUUAUUGCUAGGGCACAUCAGUUGGUUAUGGAAGGAUUCAAUUGGGCUCAUGUAAAUAAUCUCUCAACACUGUGAUGCCUUACCCCCCCCCCCUUUUCACCCUCCAACUUUUUCCAAAAUGGGAUAUGACUGUUCACAUUAUAAUGCUAAUUAUUACAGGAUCAAAAAAGUUGUUACCAUAUUUACGCACCAAAUUAUUGCUAUCGCUGUGGAAACAUGGCGUCCAUCUGGAAGUGGAUGACUGCAAAGGCCAGCACAUUUAUUCAGGUAAUCUGUCUAAUUUGUUUCGCCUACACAUUCCCCUUUCAUGUGUUUAAUGGUGAGUAGAAGGAAAAGAGUCUUGCUUGCAUUAGCUGUUUGGAUGUAUCGUUUGCUUCUUUUUGCCUUUUGAUCCCCGAGUUAAACAUAUUUGUGGCUGGCAGUUUGAGCCUGCUCCUCGGAGAGGAGAGCCAGAUGUAACUAGGAGAACACCAGAUUACUUUUUAUGAUGAAGCUGGCAUAUGCUAUGGUUCAGUGACUGUGUUACAGAAGGUCUGUGCUUGCUGCUUUGUGCAUCAAGAGCUGUUUCUGAGAUUUGUUAUCAUUAUGUUUCAAAUGAGGUGGUUGGCAGAAAGAAUUUACAGAAGGGCAGAUGAUGCACUCUCUUGCAGUUGCUAUCCUGAAACUGUACGCAGAUACAGCAAAACGAGGUGUAGGAUCUGGGACACUUACUGCUGCUUAUGUACCAUUUCAUGGAAUUGAUGCGGCAUCAAUUUUUUCGUAUAUCAAUCUUUCAUCCUCCCUUUUUACACGUCCUUUAGUUAUCUAAGCGAGUCCAUUCUGUUCUUACAUUUUCCUUCACUUUUGUAGGACAAUUUCUAGUUCGUUCUUAUUGUAUUCCCUUGUAGAAGGGCAUACUCUCACUUGGGAUGGGGUUUUUGUGAGGAAAGAUGGUCUGUUAUUAGGCUUCUUUCGGAUGUUUUCAGUGGAUGUUCUGCUAUUGUUUCUGGCCCCUAAGUGGAUGGGUUUGCCUCAUUAUGGAUUCAUUAAACGUCCAUUAUAGCCAUCUUAACACAGUUAACAUCGGUAUUUCUGUUCAGUCUGACGUUUGUCUGAUUUGCUUGAUGGUAUUAGUGGCCAACCAAAAACAAUUGCAGGUUGAUGGAUCAAGUUAAAUGACUUGUGCUAAUGACUAUCUAUAGGGAUCUUAUGUUUUUGAUUAUUGGAAAUCUAGUUUUGCGAGUGAUGUUUCUUUAUCUGGAAUUCUGGAUUUCUCUACUAGUUGUGGUAGUUUUUCCUCUGCAGACAGUCACAAGCUGAUUUGCUCAAACUCCAGGCUCCAGUAGAUGUUUCGUUGUGGAUUGG
rnacentral:lncRNA from 1 species